rnacentral:lncRNA from 1 species
GCUCUGUGAGCACCCCAUCCUCCUCCCUGGACCCGCACCUAGCUUUCGAACACCCCAAUUUACCGGAGCCAUCCGCGAUGCUCACAUGCAGCGGCAUCGCCGUCGCCAACGUCCGGUCGAAUUCAAGCAAUCCUGAACCCCUCCCGCUCCACCUUGGCCACCAUUAUCUCAACCACGGUCCCUAGGUUCCAUCCCCAAAGCCAAAUCUCAUCGGUAGCGAAACGUAGGCAGAAGCCAGUGCGUCGGAGCCUCCCUUCCGCAAUGGUUGGAGGUGUGCUCACUCCCGAGCUCUCCGACGACUCCCAUGCCCCCACAAGAUGAGGCCCUUCCCCCUGAGCACGCCGGUGUGCCCAGCUCUAGGAAUGGUGCUUCCUAGCACCCGCAAUCGCCGUCGGCGUCGGCCCUUCACUGUGCCCGUGCGCGCGAGGGGGGAGAAGACGAACCCAAUAGGUGGGUUCCACCUGUUGGCGGGUCAACCUCGGCCUCGAUGGCGCAGAUCCCAGGGUGUGUUUUCGCUUUAGAAAGGUGUGUUCUCUGGAGUGCAUUUUCCCUUUCCCGAAAAUUUAUUUGUGGUCAAAAACGUUUUCUUCUCUCUUUUAUUUAAAAACAUAUUUUUGACCAAACUUUGACUUCUUAUAACUUUUAAACUACAACUCCAAAUGAGUUGAUUUUUUUUCUGUUGUUUCUCAAAUUUCACCUAGUUUAUUCUAUUAUUUAUUUCAAAAAAAUUAAAACAACUUUGAUACACGUUCUUAGGAAUGUGUUUUAAUUCCGGUAUUUUCAAAAAUAGGACAAUUUGGAGGGAAGAACUCUUUCAAGAUUUUUGGGGUGCACACCACCCUUAUUCAUACCAAAGGCGAGCAUCUUGAACCACGAUUUGUCUUAAGUGUGUGAUUGGUUGUUGCGAUGAAUGGAUGCAUGGUUAUGUUACUCAGAUAAAAACUCCCAUUAGUAACAUAUUUUGCAUGAAAUCAUGUGAUGGGUAUUUAUUUGUUGUUGAUCAUAUAAUCCUAGUGAUGAGUGGGUACUCCCUCAUUGACGGGGAUACGGCCCCUGGAUAUACCAAAGCGUAGGGAAUCCCUCUCGAAGACAUCCGGGCCAGCUGGGCCCCCUACUGGUCGGCUAGCUACACGCGGCUCACCUAGCCACUGUGUGGUGGGCCGACUAGUGGUGUUUGACCCUCCCCUGGGCGCCCUCGACCGGUUGGCCACAGACGGCCCACCUGGCUAGUGCACGAUGGGCCGGCUCACAGCAGCCGGCGGGUCAGUGCCUCCUUCCGGCCAUACUGACGUACGACGUACAAGACCAUACCCUAACUGCAGGGGCACGCAUGGCUACAGUGCGCAUGGACAGGCCUGGCGCGGCUACAGGCGUCAUGAUGCAAGGCUUCGCAUGGCUACAACGCCACCAGUCACGCCCGAGACUGACCAGGCGAGGCGGACCUAUAGCUAGGGCCUACCCCUACCAACUCCCUAGCGGCCGGCACAUUAUCCGCUACGGCACACGUCCGGUGGGACCCAUGUCGGACAAGACCCGACAGCCGAAGGGACCCACGGCUACCCGGAGAGGCUGGCAGCUGGGCCCCGCACACCAUUUGUACCCAUUAUUGUAUACAUUUGGGUGCACUAUAAAGCCCAACCCCAGUCCCCUGAGAGAGGGGGGAGCAACUAGCGAAUCCUUAGACACACACCAUCGAGGCAGCGAGAGCUUCGCCUCCCUCCUUACGAGCAGCUCAACGAGCACCACUGUAUUGUGAUCUCAUAUAGUCACACCGGCAGGACUAGGGUUUUUACCUCACUGGAGGGCUCUGAACCUAGAUAGAUAGGCGUCAUGUGUCUCGCGCCAUCACACGUUCCCAGACACCGUCAGUUUCCAUUGGCCUCAAACCACGAUCUAAGACACCCUGUGCAUCUGCCGUGAAAAUACCACGACAGUUGGCGCCCAACAUGGGGCGGGCAGCGACACCGGCCGGAUUAAUGUUCUCAGCGGGACACUUCACCCCUUCUGGCGAGCGCAUAGCACAUGGCUUGGUCGUGCGCUACGGCGCGCUCGAUUGUGUCAAUGGCAACGCCCACCGCAUCGAGGACGCAUACUUCCCCGACAACGGCCCCAUCCUCGCCUUCGUGUCCCACAGCGUCUAUGUCGCCGUCGUCUCUCACGAGUACCCCGAUGAGGUGCUUGAUACGUCUCAAACGUAUCUAUAAUUUUUGAUGGUUUCACGCUGUUAUCUUGCCUUCUUUGUAUGUUUUAUGUACCUUUUUAUAUCUUUUUUGGGACUAACUUAUUGAUUCAGUGCCAAGUGCCAGUUCCUGUUUUCUCCGAGUUUUUGACUCUUUUCAGAUCUGAUUUUGGAACGGAGUCCAAACGGAAUAAAAUCCCUGAAAUGAAUUUUUCCAGAACAGAAGAAGAUCGGGGGACUUGAGGGCCAAGGCAGGAGCCCCACAGGUGGCCCACAAGCCGUGUAGCUGCGGCCAGGGGGCCCGCGGCUACCAAGCUUGUGGCCCCCCUGGAGCUCCCCUGCCCUAGCUCUUUCUCCUAUAUAUUCCCUAAAAUCCUAGAAAAAAUAAGGGCGUCCACGAAACCACUUUUCCGCCGCCGCAGGCUUCCGUUUCCGCGAGAUCUCAUCUGGAGACCCUUCCCGGCACCCUACCAGAGGGGACUUUGAAGGUGAAGGGCUUCUUCAUCAUCAUCAUCGCCCCUCCAAUGACUCGUGAGUAGUUCACUUCAGACCUACAGGUCCGUAGUUAGUAGCUAGAUGGCUUCUUCUCUCUCUUGGAUCUUCAAUACAAAGUUCUCCAUGAUCUUCAUGGAUAUCUAUCCGAUGUAAUCCUCUUUGGCGGUGUGUUUGUCGAGAUCCGAUGAAUUGUGGAUUUGUGAUUAGAUUAUCUAUGAAUUAUAUUUGAGUCUUUGCUGAUUUCUUAUAUGCAUGAUUUGAUAUCCUUGUAAGUCUCUCCGAGUCUUGGGUUUUGUUUGGCCAACUAGAUCUAUGAUUCUUGCAAUGGGAGAAGUGCUUGGUUUUGGGUUCUGCCAUGUGGUGACCUUUCCCAAUGACAGUAGGGGCAGCAAGGCACACAUCAAGCAGUUGCCAUCAAUGGUAAAAAGAUGGGGGUUUUAUCACUGGUUUGAGAUUAUCCCUCUACAUCAUGUCAUCUUGCUUAAGGCGUUACUCUGUUCUUAUGGACUUAAUACACUAGAUGCAUGCUGGAUAGCGGUCGACGUGUGGAGUAAUAGUAGUAGAUGCAGAAAGUAUCGGUCUACUUGUUUUGGACGUGAUGCCUAUAGAUAUAAUCAUUGCCAUAGAUGACGUCACGACUUUGCCCGGUUCUAUCAAUUGCUCGACAGUAAUUUGUUCACCCACCGUCUACUUGCUUUCAUGAGAGAAGCCACUAGUAAACACUACGGGCCCUGGGUCUAUUCACANNNNNNNNNNNNNNNNNNNNNNNNNNNNNNNNNNNNNNNNNNNNNNNNNNNNNNNNNNNNNNNNNNNNNNNNNNNNNNNNNNNNNNNNNNNNNNNNNNNNUCCACUACUAGUACUGGGUUAUCGAGACCAUGGAUCUCUUCGAUAGGUGGUAGAUUUUUGACAUCUUCACAUCUAAUGCCUUUCUCUUGCAUAGAUUUCUUGGCUUCUUGCAUAUCUUCAGGACUGAGGAAUAGAAUACCUCUUUUCUUAGGAGUUGGCUUAGGAGGUGGUUCGGGCAUAGUCCAAGCAUUAUCGUCGAUCAAGAUGUUAUUCAGUAGAGUCUCAGCUUGUUCUAUAGUUCGUUCCCUAAAAACACAACCGGCACAACUAUCUAGGUGGUCACAAGAGGCAUCGAUAAGUACGUUAUAGAGAAUAUCAAGUAUCUCGUUCUUCUUAAGAGGGUGAUCAGGAAAAGCAUUCUGUAGCUGGAAGAGCCUCCCCCAAGCUUGUGGAAGACUCUCUUUUGGAGUUGAGAAAAGUUGUAUAUUUCCUGCAAGGCAGCUUGCUUCUUAUGGGCAGGGAAAUAUUUCUCACAGAAGUAAUAGACAAUCUCCUGGGGACUACGCACACAUCCAGGAGCAAGAGAGGUGAACCAGACUUUAGCGACAUCCUUUAGAGAGAAAGGAAACAACUUAAGGAUAUAGUAGUGGCGGAUCUUCUCCUCAUUAGUGAAAAGGUUAGCUAUUUUGGAUAGUUUGGCAAGAUGGGCUAUGACCUUCUCAGACUCAUAACCGUGAAAAGGAUUAGAUUCGACUAGAGAGAUUAUCUCAUGGUCGACAGAGAAUUCAUAAUCCUUAUCGGUGACAAAGAUAGGCGAAGUGGCAAACUUCAGGUCAUUUUUCAUCCUAGCUUCCCAAGAUUUUUCCUUCCACUUGAGAAGUAAUUUCUCAGCGUCAUACGCAUCCUUACACGCAAUAAAAUCCUCAGCUAUCUCUUCCUCCAUAAGUAAACCUCAGGUAUGUCAGGCAAUUCAUAUCUAGGAGAGCUAGAUCUAACAGGAGCAAAAGCAGGUUCUAUCUCAAUAGUAUCGGCAGUUUUAAAAGCAUCACGAGCAUUGGUAGUAACUCUAGCCAUAUGAGCAUCAAGGAACACUCCUAGUGGAACAUCAGGCAAAAGAGUAUCUCUACCAGAAUCAAGCAUAGCAUCACUAGCAGUAUCAGGCAUAGUAUCAAGCAUAGUAUCAUCAGGCAUAGUAUCAAGCAUAACAUCUCUAGUAGUAGUAUCACAAGCAUCAUCAAGCACAUGCGACAUAUCAAGAUUUCUAGUAGGAGGUGAUGUCGCAAACUUACUCAUAAUAGAAGGUGAAUCAAGUGCAGAGCUAGAUGGCAAUUCCUUACCUCCCCUCGUAGUUGAGGGCAAGACUUUGGUCUUCGGAUCCUUCAGAUUCUUCAUAGUGAUCAGCAGAUAUAAAUCCCAAGUGACUCAGACAAUAUAGCAAUACCUCCCCGGCAAUGGCACCAGAAAAAUGCUGAUUGCAAUCUCUGGUGAUGGCUAGACGAAUGGUGAUGACAACAAACCUUCACCUGCAACGGCAGCAGAAGAAUGCUGCUAGCACUCACCGGCAAUCAAACUAGAAGAUUGUUGUUGAUGGCCCACUAGCGCGUGGGUUCGCAGCAGUUUUCGAGGGUAGAGUAUUCAACCCAAAUUUGUUGGUACGCCAGAUUGGAGGUGGGAGAAUACUCUCGAGUAUUAGCAGCUGAAUUGUUCAGAUUCAACUGCACCUGAAAGAUUAGUAUCUGCAAGCACAGUAGUAACAACAAAGUAGUAUGAGAACAACGAUGUCAGAAUCGAUCUGUUGAUGGCAGACAAAUCCUAACGAUUGUAUCAAUGGCACCAAGUUGCCGUGUUGACGGAAGUUGUCAGUUCCCGUCAACGUCCAGUGAACCAAAAUUGUAACAGGUAGUAGCAUUGUAACGAGCAAUAGAAGCGGCAAGGAACAACAGUAGUGACAGUAGCAGCAAGUAGCAACAGUAGCAAGCGACAGUAAAAGCAACGGUGGUAGCAGCAGCAGAGCAAAACUAGUAACAACAGUACCAACGGUAGUAGCAGCAGUAGAGCAAGACAAGUAACAGCAGUAGCAACAGUAGUAGAAGCAGCAGAGCAAGACAAGUAAUAGCAGUAGCAACAGUAGUAGCAGCAGCAGUAGGACAAACUCGUAGGCAAUGGGUCGGUGAUUUGUUUGGAUGAUAUUCAUCAUGCAACAUCUAUAACACGGACAGAUAUGUGGCUAGCUCCCGUUCGUCAAUGUGAUGUAGGCAUGCAUUAUGUGUGUCGUCAUACGUGCUUAGGGAAAAGAACUUGCAUGACAUCUAUUGUCCAUCCCUCCCGUGGCAGCGGCGUCCAAAAGGAAACUACGGGAUAUUAAGGUUCUCCUUUUAAUAAAGAACCGGACCAACGCAUUAGCACUUGCUGAACACAUGAACUCCUCAAACUAUGGUCAUCACCGGGAGUGGUUCCGGUUAUUGUCACUCCGGGGUUGCCGGAUCAUAACACAUAGUAGGUAACUACAACUUGCAAGAUCGGAUCUAAAACACACAUAUAUUGGUGACAACAUAAUAAUUUCAGAUAUGAAAUCAUGGCACUCGGGCCCUAGUGACAAGCAUUAAGCAUGUCAAAGUAGUAGCAACAUCAAUCUCAUAACAUAGUGGAUACUAGGGAUCAAUCCCCAUCAAAACUAACUCGAUUACAUGAUAGAUCUCAUCCUACUCAUCACCGCCCAGCGAGCCUACGAAUAGAUUACUAAUGAACGACGAAGAUCUUCAUGGAAUUGGAGAGGGAAGAAGGUUGAUGAUGACGAUGGCGACGAUUUCCCCUCUCCGGAGCCCAAGACAAACUCCAGAUCUGCCCUCCAGAUGAAGAACGUGUGGUGGCGGCGCCUCCGUAUCGAAAACGCGAUGAAAACUUCUCUUUUUUAUUUUUUCUGGGAUGAAAGGGAUCUUAUAGACCUGAGAUUGGGGGCGGCAGUGCCGUGUGGGCCCCACAAGCCUGCCCACCGCCACCUGGGGGUGGUGGCGGAGCCAGGCCUUGUGGCCCACUGGCCCACCCCCUGAGGUGGAACUUGGCGCAGAUAUUUUUCUUAUUUUCCAAAACUGCUCCCCGUAAAUUUCCAGGACGUUUGGAGAACUUUGAUUUCUGCACAAAAAUAACACCAAGGCAAUUCUGCUGAAAACAGCGUCAAUCUAGGUUAGUUCCAUUCAAAUCAUGCAAAUUAGAGUCCAAAACAAGGUCAAAAGAGUUUGGAAAAGUAGAUACGAUGGAGACGUAUCAACCACCCCUGAGGAAAAUCUGGGUCCCCAAAAGUUGCCUUGAAAAUCAUCACGUGAAUGUCCUCAUGACACCACCUGUGAAGAAUCUGAAUCACAGAUCAAAUUCCUCAGGAGGACCAGAAUCUUCAAGAGGAUCAAAAUCCUCAACUACUCAAAACUAUGCUCGUACUCGUGCUAAUGCUACUGACAUGCAGGGAAAUUACAAGGGAUAUGAAUAUGAGCAUUACUCCUCAAAUCAUUAUGUUCAUAAAUCCUCAAAGAACUUCUCUGACUACUCAUUUGAGUACUCUAACUCCCUUACUGCGAAGAGAAGUGCAUUAGCUUCAAUGCCCCCUUUUUCAUAUGGUGCUCGCAGAAUGAUGAACUCUUUACCACCCCUUCAGAUGUGGGUGGUGAAGAAAUUGAACUAAUCACUUCCGUAGGUCAGGUCUCCAGAUGAAAAUCAUCAUCUGAAGAAUUUGCUGGAGACCUGAGGAAAAUGCUUGAUCGGACGCAAGCUAACAUUGAUGAAAUGAUAACAAUUCACACGUCCUCAAGUCUACUGUUUAUGAUGAAAUUUCUAUUUGAUGAAAUUGAUAUCAUAUUCUUAAAGUCUGAAGCAUAUGAGAUGGUAAGCUGUACUAAUUCAUCUGCAGGAUGACAAACCAAAGAGUACAGAGUGGGUUCUUGAUAGUGGUUGCACACACUACAUGACUGGUGACAAAAGCUUGCUGAUGAAUAUGCCACUGAGUCCAUAACCACUGAAGCAAAUCACUUAUGCUGACAAAGGUAAAAGCAAGCUAUUGGUACUUGGCAAAGUGGCUAUUUCCAAGGACAGGAAUAUGGACAAAGAGAUGCUUGUUGAACCCCUUGGGUUUAACCUCAUGUCAGUCUCAAUGCUUUGUGAUCUUGAUAUGGUUGUUAUCUUUGGAAAAUAUAGAUGUGUUGUCAUCAUGGAAUCUGACAGAUCCAAAGUCUUCGAAGGUGUUAGAAGAGGGCAUUUGUACAUUCUUGAUUUCUCUACAGGUCCUCAACCAGCCACAUGCUUACUAGCAAAAAUCUCAGAAGGCUGGCUAUGGCAUCGAAGACUUGGUCAUGCAGGUAUGAGGAAUUUGCACACGUUGGCGAAGAAGAAGCAUGUCAUUGGCAUCGAAUCAAUCAAAUUCCUCAAGGACCAUGUCACGCCCAAGAUGCGACUCUAUCCUCAAUUUGGCACGAAGGCUCGUCAGGGAUAGAAGCGCAUCUCGUCGUGUCGCAAGAAUGGAUAUCAUUACAAGUACAUGUCCUGAAAAGAAGAGAUAUAUAAAGAGUUGGCUUACACUCGCCACAAGCUACAUCAGAGUCACAUCAGUACAUUACAUAAUCAUCAAGUGUAAGAGCAGGGUCCGACUACAGACGAAAACAAACGAGAAAAUAAGAACGACGUCCAUCCUUGCUAACCCAGGCUGCCGGCCUGGAACCCAUCCUAGAUCGAUGAAGAAGAAGAAGAAGAAGCAACUCCAUAUGAAUAAUCAACACGCUCACGUCAAGUAACCUUUACCUGUACCUGCAACUGGUGUUGUAGUAACCUGUGAGCCACAGGGGACUCAGCAAUCUCAUUUCCAAAGGUAUCAAGACUAGCAAAGCUUAAUGGGUGAGGUCAGGUUAAGUGGUGAGGUUGCAGCAGCGGCUAAUCAUAAAUUUGGUGGCUAAACUUACGAGUACAAGAAAUAAGAGGGGGAAGAUCUAUGCAUAGCGGACGUGAACUACUGAUGAUCAAAUGAAUGAUCCUGAACACCUACCUACAUCAGACAUAACCCCACCGUGUCCUCGAUCGGAAAAGGAACUCACGAAAGAGACAGUCACGGUUACGCACACAGUUGGCAAGUUUUAAUUAAGUUAACUUCAAGUUAUCUAGAACCAGUGUUAAACAAAGUUUCCACGUUGCCACAUAACCGCGGGCACGGCUUUCCGAAAAGAUUUAACCCUGCAGGGGUGCUCCAACUAGUCCAUCACAAAUUACCACAAGCCGCAUAGAAAUCCUCAAUCACGAAGCUCGCGAUCUCGUCGGAUUCCCUAGUGGAAAACCUCAACUCUGAGAUUACCCAAAGCAUCACCGGAAUCCCGAUGCACAAGAUAUCUCGUCAAAGGUAAAACUAAUCUAGCAAGGCCACCCGGUGUGUCGACGAACCCGCUAGGAGUCGCGUAUCUCGUUCUCAGGACACACCGACUAUGCAAAUUGGACGGUAGCCAAACCUCGAGUUGCCCCGAGGUGGCACCGCCGACUGCUAGGUGGGUGGACCAACACUCAUGCGGAGCACUGGCCCGGGGGUUGAUUAAAUUAUCCUCGGGGUCUGGAAAGUCCCUAUGCAAUUUUAUUAGGUGAUUAGGCAAAUGUAGUACCAAUGUUGGGCUUUGCCAGACCAGCUUUAAUCUAAAACAAAUUAUCAAGGGGGUCCCCAUAACAACCCCGACCGUGUUAGGAGCGCUCAUUUAUGGAACAUAACACCGGUAGCCGAAAACUAAGGGGGCAAAGGUGGAACAAAACACCAGGCUAAAAAGGCCGAGCCUUCCACCUUUUACCAAAUAUAUAGGUGCAUUAAAUUAAAUAGCAAUUGAUAUGGUGAUAUAACAAGGAACCCAUGCUUUUGCAUGGAAGCAUCUGCACCUGCAACUAGCAACGCUACACAAGGUUAAGCAAGUGGUAACAUAGCCAAUCAGUGGUCUGCUAGGUCGAACAGGUUGAAGGUUUCAUGGCAUUGUUGAGAGGCUGAUAUUUAACAUGUGGUAGGCAACGAGACAUAAUCGAUAGAAGUGAUAAAACUAGCAUGGCAAUGAUAGUAAUGGUAUCUGGGGAAAUGAUCAUCUUGCCUCAGAUCCCGCUUGGAAGAAGAAUGCCUCCGUGAAGCAGACGAACCGACGUAGUCGAACGGGUCCUCACAAUCCGGCACGCUGCGGAACUCUAUCGAGACGAAGCAAACCGGAAACACAAAUCAACACACGGAAUUCACCACACGAUGCACAACACAUAUGAUGCAUGAGCAGAUGAAUAUAUGUAAGUCACGGCAUGACAAUUCACACAAUCAAACACUACACAUUAAGUGAAGUUCAAUAUGCAACGAGUUGCAUAUUGACAAAACUCCACGUUAAUUAUUUAGUUAUAUCCCGAUUAGGUACACGACAAUAUUAAAUGUGGUUAAACAUGGCAAAAGGUGAGGCGUAAUUAAUCUACCUAUCUAGGCAUUUUAAAUGAGGUCGGAAAUGACAUAUAGCACCUCCGAGAUGACCUCACAUAUUGUUAAUUUACAAUUCUGUCCAGAUCUGAACUACUGCAUUUAAUUAGUUGUUAAACAGCAAAACAAAUAGGUUCACGUGAUUCUACGCGUCAUUUCAAGCAAUCUACACAUAAAGAACAUCUCCAACGGAGCUACGGAUCAAAAGUUACAAGCACCGCAAGAUAUGAUGGCAUGAAUGCAAUAUGUGUGCAACGGCGGUCACGAGCACCUCAAAACAUACAACCAUCAAGAGAAAAUUAAAAUACACAAGAUUCUAAGCAAGUUUCAUGUAGGACACGAUCAAAUCGGAGCUACGGUUCAACAACUACGAGCAAAACAAGAAAUGACUACAAGCUGCCAAAAUCAGCCACAUAGCAUUUUCUACACCCGACAACUAUGGGCUACACAACUCCGAUAUGCUCAAGCAAGGCAUGGAACGGAAGAGGGCAAGAAGCACUACUACAAACAACUAACAACAACUAGCAUGGCAUCAUGGAUCUCUAGGAAAAGAAGACACAAAAUGGCAUCCCACACACUAUUUCAGACUUAGUGAAAAUUACACCUCAUGAGAGUGCAGUUUUCGAUCUGAAGCAAUAUUGACAGCAGAAAAACCCAUAUCUACAGGACUCCAAUUGACAUGAAACUUCACAGCAUGCUAGAGAAACACAAGGAGUACAACUAAUUCCAUUGGACCAACCUCAAAAGAGCUACAGAUCAAAAGAUAGAAGCAAGACAAGACAGCAACAAAAUAUAACAGAUUCCAGACUUAGAAAUAUUUCAGCUCCUCCAGAUCAGCACUAUUUCUAGCAACUUCAGAUCAAUAAAACCACACCUAAACAUGCAUUUCUAUUGCAACUAAAAAUGCCAGGGGCUAGUCUAAACACCCAAGAACAACUCCCUAGUUGACAACUCCGUCAAACGAAGAACGGAUUAAAUCGUACGAAUCAAACAAAAGGGCAACAUGGCAAAAUAUCUCGCGAACUAACUUAGUCAAAAGCUAAAACUAAUUGCACAGAAAAAUCACAUGGAUUUUUCUACCCCGAAAACAUAAAAAAAAUAUGUGGGGUUGCAACACAAAAUAAUGCCACACAUUAAUGCGAGAUAAUCUCCUAUAUACGGGAAAAUAAACUACCGGCAAACCCUACACGCAAAAAUACCAAUGACCGCUGUAACAUUCAUGGAAAAAUGGUCCCUAAAACAUGGAUAUUUAAUCUACGGUAUACGGGCAGUCCGGACACGCAUGAGAAAUAACUACGGAACGGAUCCUAGUGAAACAGCACGCAAUACGACGCAUUAGGCACUCUAAACGGUGUCAAAUAAAUAUGCAAGUUGUGGAAUCGUGUUCUACUCGCGAAACUACCCCAAAACCAUAUACAAUAUGUUGUGAUCCGACUGACAGUUAAGAAUAUACGAGCGUUUUAAUAUCUAACAUUUCCUGAAAACAUAAAUUUGCAGAAAAACCUAAAACUAAAUGGGCCUAAUAGGGCGGCGUAGGUAAGCUAUUCGCCGCUCGGGCGCAGCAUAGGGGGCCGGGGCUUACCUCGGCUCUGGGCCGGCUCGGUGGAGGGGAGUAGCUGGUGGGCCGCGGCGGUUGAUGGGCCGGUCGGGGCGCUGGCUUGGGCCGAAUCUCACUACCACGAGCGGGAGGCUCCUGGGCCGCGGGAGGACUCGUCUCUCUCCCGUCGCGGCACGAGCGAGGCCCCGAGCCACGUCACUGCAACCAGCGAGGCAACAGAGGCCGACGGGGAGGUUUCAGGGGCGCGAGGGGGCGGUGGAUCCAGGUCGCGGCGGUGCAGAUCCGGACACACUCCGUCGGCUGGCAGCGUUGAUGGCCUAAGGCGGAUGGCGGCGACGGUCCGGCGAGGCACGGCGGGGCCGUGGCGGGAUCUGAGGGCAGGAAUCCAUGGCGGCGGAAGCUACUGGCAGGCGGCGCAGGUAGGACCGACGCGGUCGGGGGAGGAGCUGGCACGGGGUUGGCCGGCGUGUGCUGGCGCGAGCGCGGGGGGGGGGGAGCUCAGGGCAGGAGGGGCGCACGAGCACGGGCAUAGGAGGCGCUGCCAUGGACGGGAGGAUCUGCGGGCAUGGGAAAUCCCAUGUGGUCGCCCGGACAUUGUCCACUGGGGUGGACAUUGUCCGGUAGGUGAGAUUUUGGGCAAAUCUGAACCAUUAGAUGUGAAUCCAAUGGCCAGAUUUGUUCAGAGGGUUUGGGUUGCGGGAUUUAGAAGGGUGAGGGCUAGCAGGUGGAUGUUUUGACGGGGUGGCUGCAAAAAUGGCUAGUGGAAGCCCUAGUGAAGUGAGAGGUGUCUCUCUAGGGGGGUGUUACUUAUAUAGGGUUGGUCUCUGGUGGGGUGGACCUCGUCCGUCCGAUCGCGAUCCGAUGACCACGAACGGAGGAAGUGGCUAGGUGGAACUAGCGGCUGUGUUGAGCGGUUAUCUGGAGAGGAGAGGGAGAACGGGCGGGGCGGCAACGAAUUUAAAAACACCGACAAACGUCCGACGAAUAACCGGAGACGGUGCCGCUACGGUCGAUCGUUCGGGUACCAGACGGACUCCGAUCGCGACGAAAUUCGAUAGGCGGCCUAGCUAUAACUAAUAAAGACCGCACGUCAAAUCUCAACCCGGUCAGAGAAAGUUUUCAACACACUUUUAAAACAGGGUUUGACGAUGCCGCGGGCGCGUGCGUGUGCGGUCGGGCUCAAAACAGACGACGUCAAGAACCGGCAACUAGCAACGGAUGCAAGUUUUGAAAACGGGCGGCAACGGAGAUUCCGAUGCAAUGCAGAUGAUGCGCAUGAUGCGAUGAUGAUGCGACAAAAGAAAAUAGACAAACGACAAAAACGGAAUAGAAGGGGAAUCUUCUGGAAUGUCGGCACCGGGCUGUCACAGACCACCUCUGCGGUCCUUGUGAAUCUGGAAAAAUGACCAGAUCCAAACAUCCUCGAAGACUAUCAUGACUACUACUCGUCCAUUUGAAUUGCUUCACAUGGAUUUAUUUGGACCUACUCAUUAUGCCACUCUAACAAAUGCAACAUCUUUAUGCGGCUUUGUCAUAGUUUAUGAUUAUUCCACAUAUACUUGGGUGCAUAUCAUUCUGUAUAAAACUAAAUUGCAGGAAGUAUUGAAAUGAUUUUCCUCAAGGUCCUCGACGAACUUCGGCGUCAAGAUCAAACACAUCAGGAUUGAUAAUGAGACAGAAUUCAAAAACACUGGUCUUGAUGCUUAUCUUGAUAAACUUGGUAUUACUCACGAAUUGUCUGCUCCUUAUACUCCUCAAAAGAAUGGCGUCGUCGAAAGAAAGAACAGGACUCUGGUUGAAAUGGCAUGGACCAUGCUUGAAGAAUAUCAGACUCCUCGUCGUUUCUGGCCUGAAGUAAUCAACACUGCUUGCCAUAUCAUCAAUAGGGUAUAUAUUCACAAAUUCCUCAAGAAAACCUCAUAUGAACUCCUCACAGACAAGAAACCCAAUGUAAGUUAUUUCAAAGUCUUCGGUGCAAAAUGCUGGAUUAGAGAUCCUCACCAUAGCUAAAAAUUUGCACCUAAAGCACAUGAGGGUUUUAUGCUUGGUUACGGAAAGGACUCGCACGCCUACAGAGUCUUCAACACCUAUCACAACAAGGUUGUUGAAACUGUAGAUGUGCGGUUCGAUGAAACUAAUGGUUCGCAAACAGAGCAAUUGCCUCCUGAUCCAGAUAAAUUAUCUCCCGAGGAAGCGAUCAAGCUCAAACCUACUGAAGACAUUGUUCCUACUAAGGAAAUUGCUGAAGAAAUCACUCUCAACACUGAUGAAAAUCAAGAAGAUGCUCCUGAGGAAAUUGCUCCACAACAAAUUCCUCAGCCCAGACGAAAUCCUCAACCAGCUGAUCCAAGGAUUGCAAAUUAAGUAGAACUUGACAAAAUCCUCGAUGACAUCAAGGCGCCAGGUCCUCUCACUCGCUCAAAAUCUUCACAGUUAGUUAAAUUUUGUGGAGAUUCUUCUUUUGUGUCUAUCACAGAACCUUUAAAAGUUGUUGAAGCUUUCAUGGAACCUGUGUGGAUUCAAGCCAUGCAAGAUGAACUUCCUCAAUUCAAGCUAAAUGACGCGUGAGAGCUCAUCAAACGACCAGAUCCUCGCAAGCAGAAUAUCGUCGGCACCAAGUGGAUUUUCCGAAACAAGCAAGAUCAGGAUGGUCAAGUGAUGAGGAAUAAGGCACGACUUGUAGCCCAAGGCUACACAUAGGUAGAAGGAAUUGAUUUCAAGGAAACUUUUGAACCUGUUUCUAGACUUGAAGCUAUUCGAAUACUACUUGCUUAUGCUAAUCAUCAUAACAUUAUCUUAUAUCAAAUGGAAGUGAAAAGUGCAUUCCUCAAUGGUAAGCUUGAGGAGGAACCAAGUUUUGAGGAUCCAAAGAAUCCACACAAAGUCUUCAGACUCAAAAAGGCACUCUAUAGCCUCGAGCAAGCCCCUCAGGUGUGGUAUGAUACAUUGAAGGAAUUCCUCAUGAAGAAAGACUUCAAACCUGGUUCACUCGAUCCAACUGUUUUCACAAAAUCCUAUGACAAUGAACUAUUUGUGUGUCAAAUAUAUGUCGAUGACAUCAUAUUUGGAUGUACUGACAAACGUUACAGUGAUGAAUUUUCUUACAUGAUGAGUGAAGAAUAUCAGAUGUCUGUGAUGGGGGAGCUGAAAUUCUUCUUAGGUCAUCAAAUUCGUCAACAACGCAAUGGGAUCUUCAUAUCAGAGGAGAAAUACCUCAAGGAUGUUCUAAGGAAAUUCGACAUGCAUGAGUGCAAAGGUGCCAAGACUCCCAUGCCUACCAACGACCAUCUCUGCACUGACGAAAGUGGUAAAGAAUUAGAUCAGCAGGUAUAUCACUCAAUGAUUGGCUCUUUACUGUAUUUAUGUGCAUCUAGGCCAGAUAUAAUGCCUAGUGUUUGCAUGUGUGCACGUUUUCAAGCAAAACCGAAGGAAUCACACCAUAAGGCUGUGAAGCAUAUUCUUCGAUACUUAGCUCACACACCAACACUAGGAUUAUGGUACCCCAAGGGCUCAAAUCUUCAUCUUGUGGGAUAUUCUGAUUCUGACUAUGUUGGUGACCGUGUGGAUCACAAGUCAAUUUCUAGCACUUGUCAUUUCCUCGGAAGAUCAUUAGUGUGUUGGUCCUCAAAGAAGCAGAACUGCGUUUCUCUCUCCACUGCCGAAGCUGAGUACAUUGCUGCUGGAUCAUGUUCUGCUCAAUUGCUAUGGAUGAAGCAAACCCUCAAGGACUACGGCAUCAACAUGAAGAAUGUGCCUCUCUACUACGACAAUGAGAGUGCUAUCAAGAUUGCAUACAACCCAGUACCACACUCGAAGACUAAGCACAUCCAGAUUCGUCAUCAUUUUCUUCGGGACCAUGUCCUCAAGGGCAAUAUCCUCAUCGACCAUGUGAAGACUGACGAUCAACUAGUAGAUAUUUUCACUAAGCCCUUGGAUGAGAAAAGGUUUUGCAAGUUGCGGUGUGAACUAAAUAUCUUAGAGUCUUCAAAUGUUUUGUAAAAACACACACACAUCCUAACACUUAUGCAAAAUUGAUGACUUAGAUGUGCAACACACGAAGAAUUGAUUUUCUUCAAUCAAUGAAGAAUAUUACUCUCAGUGUGAGGAAAUUAAUGAAUAAUCUGGUUCUCAGGGCCCUACGACAAUUGUGCGAGGCACCUGUAAUCAUCAUUCUUAUACGAUGGGUCAUGCUACCACCCAACUUUGAAAAUCUUCAAGCUGUUUUUUUUUCAAAGUUGAAAUUCAUCAACCUAACGCUUUGUCACAAAAUCCUCAAGUUUUUCAAAAUCUUCAAAACACUUGAUGAUUUUCAUCUGCCUAGAUAUAUAUAUAUAGACUAUGAUUUCAAAGUCCGCGACAACAUUCACUUAUAGCUAUUUCUUCAAUUUGAUAUUUCAUCUAAGUGAAUGUGAUCGGACCCUACUCCCCUCUAUGCUAUACUCACCCAUUCUAUUCAAUUCUUCAUAUGCGUUAUACUUGAAACUUUGUUCAAAAUCCUCACGGUGUCCUUGUCAGCUGAGGAUUUUACAACGAAAUCCUCAAAUCUUCAAAAAUGAUUUUUAUAUUGUUACACAGUAACUGAACCCCACUUCCCAUGAUCAGAUAAGCACGAUCUCCACUGCUUUAAACUCAGGCUACACGUGUCAUGCGGAGACGAAUGGGCAAGGGCAGUUCGGUCCGCAAGUUUCACCUGAACUAUAAAUGCGUCCUUACCCCUUUUGUCCAAACUCUUCAUUCUCUCGUCCUUCUCUCCUCCUCAAGCAAAAACAUAGCGCCACCGCUAUCAAUCUCGUCGCUGGCGAGGAACAGCUUCACUGUCUCGAACUCUCCAUCACCGAACUCACGACGGAAGCGGAACAUCUACAUCCGCUGCCGCCAUAGCCGUCCUCUACUGCCAAGUUAGGGCGGAGCAGACUCGAACCGAAGAGCAUCCUACUAUUACUGCCUCUGUUCUUCGUGCUCACCAUAUAGGGUAAUUAAAAUCCUAUUUUACUGUCCCUUUUUAUCUACUAUUUUACCUUAGAUUUGAGAAACAUGUUUUUUCUUAGUGUCUAUCAGCUUGGCACACUCUAUUCCUCAAAACACUUGAUGAAUUUCACUAAGCCACUAAACUUCUUCAUGUGAUUCCUCAAUUGUGCAAAUUUUCGAAUAUGCACAACUCUGGAACCCAAGAUCACAGUGCUUAGACAAAUUCCUCAACCCACUGGUCAAAUUCCUCAACUUUACAAUUUUCAAUUUCUUCAAAUCUGAGAACGCAUAUGACCUUUCCAAAUUCCUCGCACCUAUACUCUGUUCACACGCACAAAAUGUCAGCUGAUGAAUCUCUAGGUUGUCAUCAACUUAACUCAUUUGCAGCGUUCCUUGAAGAAACUUUGCUAGUGUCAUCAGAAUCCUCAAGAGUGCAAAUUCCUCAGCAAAAGGCUCUGCUGAAGAAAACGUAUCUAUAAUUUUUGAUGGUUUCAUGUUGUUAUCUUGUCAUCUUUGGAUGUUUUAUAUACCUUUUAUAUCUUUUUUUGGUACUAACUUAUUAAUUCAGUGCCAAGUGCCAGUUCCUGUUUUUUCUGUGUUUUUGGCUCUUUUCAGAUCUGAUUUUGGAACGGAGUCCAAACGGAAUAAAAUCCGAAUUAAUUUUUUCCCGAACGAAAGAAGAUCAAGGGGCUUGAGUGCCAAGCCAGGAGGACUACAGGGGGGCCACAAGCCCCCCAUCCGCCACCAAGGGGGCGGCGGCCAGCAGGCUUGUGGCCUCCCUGGUGCCCCCUGACCUAGAUCCUUCGCCUAUAUAUUCCCUAAAAUACAGAAAAAAAUCAAGGGAUCCAUGAAAAUACUUUUCCGCCGCCGCAAGCUUCCGUUUCCGCGAGAUCUCAUCUGGAGACCCUUCCUGGUGCCCAGCCGGAGGGGACUUUGGAGUUGGAGGGCUUCUACAUCAACAUCAUCGCCCCUCCAAUGACUCGUGAGUAGUUCACUUCAGACCUACGGGUCCGUAGUUAGUAGCUAGAUGGCUUCUUCUCUCUCUUGGAUCUUCAAUACAAAGUUCUCCAUGAUCUUGAUGGAGAUCUAUCCGAUGUAAUCCUCUUUGGCGGUGUGUUUGUCGAGAUCCGAUGAAUUGUGGAUUUGUGAUCAGAUUAUCUAGGAUAUAUAUUUGAGUCUUUGCUGAUUUCUUAUAUGCAUGAUUUGAUAUCCUUGUAAGUCUCUCCGAGUCUUGGGUUUUGUUUGGCCAACUAGAUCUAUGAUUCUUGCAAUGGGAGAAGUGCUUGGUUUUGGGUUCUUACCGUGUGGUGACCUUUCCCAGUGACAGUAGGGGCAGCAAGGCCUGCCAUAGAUGACGUCACGACUUUGCGUGGUUCUAUCAAUUGCUCGACAGUAAUUUGUUCACCCACCGUCUACUUGCUUUCAUGAGAGAAGCCACUAGUAAACACUACGGCCCCCGGGUCUAUUAACACCUAUCGUUUCCACUUUCGCUUUUACUUUUCUUUGUUACAUUGUUGCUUUUAGUUCUCACUUGGUGAACAAUCUAUAAGGGAUUCACAACCCCUUCAUAGCGUUGGGAGCAAGCCUUUUGUGUUUGUGCAUGCACUUGUUAUACUCCUUCACUGGAUCAAUACCUUGGUUCUCAAACUGAGGGAAAUACUUACCAUCGCUGCGCUACAUCACCCUUUCCGCUUCAAGGGAACACCAACGCAAGGCUCCAAGGCCACGGGGGAAAUCCUUUGCAUAUUUUCCUAGGAAGUCCCUUAAGGCGUAGCCGUAGCAGAAGGAUUCCUGGUGCCGUAACACGCCUAUUUCUGGCGCUGUUGGAAGGUCUUUUGUUGCAGUAGCAGAUGUAUUUCUGGCACCGUUGCCGGGGAAGAAGAGAUCUAUCCAAGUAGGUCUCACAAACUCAUCUCUUUCAUUUACUUUUUUUCCACUUGCCUCUCGUUUUCCUCUCCCCCACUUAGCUUUGCCGUUUUCAUUUGCCUUUCUCCUUUGCCUUUUUCGUUUGCCCUUUUCUCUCGCUUGCUUUAUGUUCGCUUUUGUGCUAUGUGCCUUCAUUAUGCUUGCAUCUUCGCUUGCUGAAAAUCUAUUGAUAUGGAUCCUCAUCCACUAGCUAAUGUCUUUAAGAGACCCACUUAUGUGGAACGAACUGCUAGUGAGUUGAGUGCACUUGACUAUCUGUAUGGAGUUUUGCUUGAGAUGCGUGAAUCUGAAAAUUGUGAGGAAGAAAUUUAUGAAGUGAUUCACGAGGGCUCCUUGGAUUAAAAGCAUGAUUGCAAUGGUUUCACUAUAAAUUCUAUUAGUGACAAUCAUGCUAAAAAUAUGCAAAACCGUAAGCUUGGGGAUGCUAGUUUUUCUUUGUCCACUACUUGUUGCAAUAAUCAUGAUUGAGGUGAUGAUCUUUCUUAUGAUCUUGAAAAUUUGUUCAAACCUCAUGAUGAAUAUGAUUUUUGCAAUAACAUUGAAAGUGGGUUUGGAGAAGUCAUGACUUUAGUUGAUUAUAAUCCCACUAUUUUUUAAGAGCGUCAACUUUGCAUGCAUGUGGAUCAUGAAAAGAAUAUCCUAUGGGAUAGAUAUAUUGUUGAAUUUGAAUAUGAUCCCACAUGUAAUUGCUAUGAGAGAGGAAAAUAUUUUGGUAGAAACUUUCAUGUUACCAAAUUACCUCUCAUUAUGUGGAGAUUGCUAUUGUCUCUUUCUUCUUCCUUGCAUAUGGCAGCUAUUGGUUAUCUUGACAAUCUGUUUUCCUAUAAAAUGCCUAUGCAUAGGAAGUAUGUUAGACUUAGAUGUGAUUUUCACAUACUUCAUGAUGCUCUCGUUGUGCUUCAAUUCUUGUCUUUUGUGUGAGCAUCAUUGAACUAUCAAUGCCUAGCUAAUGGCGUUAAACAAUAGCGCUUGUUGGGAGGCAACCCAACGAAUCUAUCAUUUUUAUUUCUGUUUUGUGUUUUCCACACUUUCAUAAUUCUGUUAUGAUUCUGUUUUUUGUGUUUCUUUUUGCGUUUGUGCCAAGCAAAACCGUUAUGAUUACUCUUGGGGAUGAUCAUUUGGUCAUGCUGGAAAAGACAGAAACUUUCUGCUCACGAAAGGAAUUUUCAUUUUUUUUUCUGUAAGAGAUUUUGAGUUGAUUCUUAUUGCUUCUGAUUGCUACGCAAAUUCUUCAUACUGUCGUAAUUUUUCAGAAUUUGUGAAGUACAGAGGUAUACGAAAUAUACAGAUUGCUACAGACUGGUCUGCUGUUAACAGAUUCUGUUUUUCUUGUGUUGGUUGCUUAUUUUGAUGAAACUAUGGAUAGUAUCGGGGGGUAUUAGCCAUGGAAGAUUGAAAAUACUGUAACCCAACAUCAGCAUAAGUAGAAUUUAAGUUUGCUACUUUACCUAAGGAAGUGGUGGUUUGCUUUCUCAUACUAAUGUUAUCACGAGUUUCUGUUUAAGUUUCCUGUUGUGAUGUUUUCAUGUUUUGGGUGAAGUUCUUAUGGACAAAAAGAUAAAGAGUGGCAAGAGCUCAAGCUUGGGGAUGCCCAAGGCACCCCAAGAGAUUCAAGUAUGCCGUAAAAGCCUAAGCUUGGGGAUGCCCCGGGAAGGCAUCCCCUCUCUCGUCUUCAAUCCAUCGGUAACGUUACUUGGGGCUAUAUUUUUAUUCACCACAUGUUAUGUGUUUUAGCUUGGAGCGUCUUCUAUCGUAGGAAUAUUUUAUUUUUGUUGUGUCACAAUCAUCCUUGCUGCACACCUAGAGAGAGAUACAUUCACUCACCGUGAUUUUGUCGAGCUUCACUUAUAUCUUUUGGUAGACAAUUCAGCUCACAUGUGCUUCACUUAUAUCUUUUGAGCUAGAUACUUUUGCUCUAUGUGCUUCAUUUAUAUCUUUUAGAGCACAGCGGUGCGUGCCUUGGUAGUUUAUCUAUGCUUUGAAAGUAGUCUCAAAAGGGGUAGUUAUCCAAAGGGAUACGAAAACUUCCACCUUCAUGUGCAUUGAAUAGUUAGAGAAGUUUGAUUCAUCUCAAUUAGUUUCGAGUUGUGGUCUUGGUAUUAUUGAUGUCAUGCUAGUAAGGUGUUGUGGAUCUAUAAAUACUUGUGUUGAAGUUAGUGAUUCCCGUAGCAUGCAUGUAUGGUGAACCGCUAUGUGAUGAAAUCUGAGCAUGAUUAGUCUAUUGAUUGUCAUCCUUUGCGUGGCGGUCGGGAUCGCGCGAUGGUUUAUACCUACGAACGCUUCCCCUAGGAGUAUGCGUUGAAUGUUUUGUUUCGAUUACUAAUAAAACUUUUGCAACAAGUAUAUGAGUUCUUCAUGACUAAUGUUGAGUCCAUAGUUUAGAUGCAAUUUCACCUUCCACCAUCACUAUCUUCUUAGUGCCAUGCAACUUUCGCCGGUGCACAAAAGCCACCAUUAGCCUCCCUCAAAACAGCCAACAUACCUACCUACUAUGGCUUUUUCAAAGUCAUUCCGAGAUAUAUUGCCAUGCAACUACCACCAUGACAUGUGCCACCAUGUCUACAUUUCCAUUGCAUGAUCGUAAGAUAGCUAGCAUGAUGUUUCCAUUAAUGUCUAUGCCAUGCUAGAUCAUUGUCACGGUACACUACCGAAGGCAUUCCAUAUAGAGUCAUCAUUGCUCUAAGUUUUGAGUUGAGAGUGUGAUGAUCAUCAUUGAUGGAGCAUUGUCCCAUGUGAGAAAUAAAAGGGGCCAAAGAUGCCCACCAAAAAAAAGAGGCCAAAGAGCCCACCAAAAAAAAUAAAAAAAAUGAGAGAAAAAGAGAGAAGGGACAAUGAUACCACCUUUCCACACUUGUGCAUAUUAAGCACCAUGAUCUUCAUGAUUGAGAGUCUCUCGUUUUGUCACCACCAUAUAGCUAGUGGGAAAUUCUCAUUAUAUAACUUGGCUUGUAUAUUCCAAUGAUAGGCUUCCUCAAAAUUGCCUUAGGUCUUCGUGAGCAAGCAAGUUGGAUGCACACCCACUAGUUUUCUUUAAGAGCUUUCACAUACUCUUAGCUCUAGUGCAUCAUUUGUAUGGCAAUCCCUACUCAUUCACAUUGAUAUCUAUUGAUGAGCAUCUCCACAGCUCAUUGAUAUGCCGAGUUAAUGUGACCAUCUUCUCCUUAUUUUGUCUUGCAACCUCCACCACACUCCACACCACUUAUAGUGCUAAAACUAUGGCUCACGCUCAUGUAUUGCGUCAGAGUUGAAAAGGUUUGAGAAAGUAAAGGUGUGAAAGAAUUACUUGGCCAAUACCGGGGUUGUGCAUGAUUUAAAUUCAUUGUGCAAUGAUGAUAGAGCAUAGCCAGACUAUAUGAUUUUGUAGGGAUGACUUCCUUUUGGCCUUGUUAUUUUGAAAGUUCAUGAUUACCUUGCUAGUUUGCUUGAAUUAUUAUUGUUUCCACGUCAAUAGCAAACUAUUGUUUUGACUCUAAUGGAUAUGAACAUUCACGUCACAUAAGAGGAGUUACAAAGGACAUCUCUGCUAGGUAGCAUGAAAGCAUCAAAAAUUCAUUCUUUAUCACUUCCCUACUCGAGGACGAGCAAGAGUUAAGCUUGGGGAUGCUUGAUACAUCUCAAACGUAUCUAUAAUUUUUGAUGGUUUCAUGAUGUUAUCAUGUCAUCUUUGGAUGUUUUAUAUACCUUUUAUAUCUUUUUUUGUGACUAACUUAUUAAUUCAGUGCCAAGUGCCAGUUCCUGUUUUUUCUGUGUUUUUGGCUCUUUUCAGAUCUGAUUUUGGAACGGAGUCCAAACGGAAUAAAAUCCGAAUUAAUUUUUUCCCGAACGAAAGAAGAUCAAGGGGCUUGAGUGCCAAGCCAGGAGGACUACAGGGGGGCCACAAGCCCCCCAUCCGCCACCAAGGGGGCGGCGGCCAGCAGGCUUGUGGCCUCCCUGGUGCCCCCCUGACCUAGAUCCUUCGCCUAUAUAUUCCCUAAAAUACAGAAAAAAAUCAAGGGAUCCACGAAAAUACUUUUCCGCCGCCGCAAGCUUCCGUUUCCGCGAGAUCUCAUCUGGAGACCCUUCCUGGUGCCCAGCCGGAGGGGACUUUGGAGUUGGAGGGCUUCUACAUCAACAUCAUCGCCCCUCCAAUGACUCGUGAGUAGUUCACUUCAGACCUACGGGUCCGUAGUUAGUAGCUAGAUGGCUUCUUCUCUCUCUUGGAUCUUCAAUACAAAGUUCUCCAUGAUCUUGAUGGAGAUCUAUCCGAUGUAAUCCUCUUUGGCGGUGUGUUUGUCGAGAUCCGAUGAAUUGUGGAUUUGUGAUCAGAUUAUCUAGGAUAUAUAUUUGAGUCUUUGCUGAUUUCUUAUAUGCAUGAUUUGAUAUCCUUGUAAGUCUCUCCGAGUCUUGGGUUUUGUUUGGCCAACUAGAUCUAUGAUUCUUGCAAUGGGAGAAGUGCUUGGUUUUGGGUUCUUACCGUGUGGUGACCUUUCCCAGUGACAGUAGGGGCAGCAAGGCACACAUCGUGUAGUUUCCAUCAAGGGUAACAAGGUGGGCUCUGUCGUAGAUAUGAGAUUGUCCAUCUACCUCAUGUCAUCUUGCUUAAGGCGUUACUCUGUUCUUUCGGACAUAAUACACUAGAUGCAUGCUGCAUAGCGGUCGACGUGUGGAGUAAUAGUAGUAGAUGCAGAAAGUAUCGGUCUACUUGUUUUGGACGUGAUGCCUAUAGAUAUAAUCAUUGCCAUAGAUGACGUCACGACUUUGCCCGGUUCUAUCAAUUGCUCGACAGUAAUUUGUUCACCCACCGUCUAUUUGCUUUCAUGAGAGAAGCCACUAGUAAACACUACGGCCCCUGGGUCUAUUCACACCUAUCGUUUCCACUCUCUCUUUUACUUUGCUUUGUUACAUUGUUGCUUUCAGUUCCCACUUGGCAAACAAUCUAUAAGGGAUUGACAACCCCUUCAUAGCGUUGGGAGCAAGAUUUUUGUGUUUGUGCAUGCACUUGUGAUACUCCUUCACAGGAUCGAUACCUUGGUUCUCAAACUGAGGGAAAUACUUACCACCGCUGCGCUACAUCACCCUUUCCGUUUCGAGGGAACACCAACGCAAGGCUCCAAGGCCACGGGGGGAAAUCCUUUGCAUAUUUGCCUAGGAAGUCCCUUAAGGCGUAGCUGUAGCAGAAGGAUUCCUAGUGCCGUAACACGCCUAUUUCUGGCGCCGUUGGAAGGUAUUUUGUUGCAGUAGCAAUCACAUCAAGCAAAAGGGUGGAAAGAAACUUCUACAAAACACUGCAAUUGAUAUCCCCGAGGAUAUAUACCUUGAUUAGUAUACGCCAGAUGAGCAAGAACCUAUGGCGAAAAGGAAAAUCAGGCUUCCGAGGAUAGAACGCACGUGGACUAAGGAAUGGAAGGAAUAUCGUUUCGUCACUCCCAAGUAUGCGAAGAAAUUCACCCUCAAGCCACCUUGCAAAAGGCCUCCUCUUGGUGAUCAUCAAGUAGCACAUCCCUCAAGCAUCAAAACUGUUAAUGAUUACCCUGAGGAGAAAGACAAACAAUCGUCUAAACUUCAGUAGAAAGUAGAAGAUGCAGUGAGGAAAUUCAAUGAAGAAUAUGCUGCUGAAGCUUCUCGUACAUCUAUUCCUCAAGUGAAGUCUGUGCCACAGAAACCAAAGCAGAUUGUCAAGCAACAAUCUGCUCACUCCAGCUCUUAUGUACCAUCUGCCACGAGCUCACAGACAAAGUCUUCACCAACACCAUUGAAGACUAAAAUCACUGUUGGAAGGGGCAUCAGGCCCAACCCAAUCAAAGUCAUCAACGGCCCUUCUGCAUCAGAAGGAAGUGAUGAAUUUGAUGAUGAAACUCUUCAAGCCAUCAUCAGAAACAAGCAGGAAAGAGUCGCAGAAGCUUCCGGGAGCGCUAUUCCUCUUGCCAUGGAUCCAAAGGUUCUGCUGGACUACAUCAAUGUCUGGUAUGAUGAUCCAAACACACCCAUUGAUGACUUGAAGCUUCCCCCAGGUAUCAGCCAUAUGGUGGCCACAUUCAUCAAUGAGGCCAAAUGGAAAGAGACGCAAGCCCAGCAAGCAAAGCCUGCAAAACUGAAGAAGGAGAAAUUCCUCAGGCGGAAUCUCCUCAAUGUGACGCCUGAAGAUCUUGUGUCUACCCAGGCUGAACUAAAGACUUUGACCAACAAGUACACGAAACUAUCUGAUCGUCAAAGUCUCAAGUAAAAUUUCAUCAAGUUUGGAACUAAUGCAGUUGAUGAAUAUAACAAGAAGGCUGCUCCUCCAGCAAAACCAAAGCAGCCUAAGCCCAGUUAUUUUGUUCAGCUGACUGAGGAAGAUGAAGAAGAAGAACCUCCUGCUGAGGAAAUGCCUCAAGAUAGUCGAGCUGAUGAGGAAAUACCUCAAGACACUCUAGCCGGUGAAUCUGCUCCAGCUGAAGAAAAUGCUUCAGCUGAGGAAACUGCCAGGACUUAUACUGCACCAGCUCCUGAAGAGAAAAUUCCUCCACCUCAAUACUCAAAGGUGAAGAAGAUGGUUCCGUCUUCUUCUGAUGUGAAGAAAACCUAGGCUGCUGAGAAAGAAGCAAAGAAAAGAAAAGCUUCCGUGACACCAGAAUCAUCAGAGACCAAGCGCCUCAAGACACUUGAUGAAACUGCUCCAGUGGAUGUUGUGCCUCUGAAGGUAGCUCCAUCAUAUACUUUGGUUCCCUUCGGAAUUGACUAUGUCAUUCAUGAAGAAGAUGAGGGAAUUCCGAUUGAUGAGGAAAUGAAAGAUGUUGAUUCUAAAGAAACCAUGGAUGAGGAAAUUCAAAUUGACGAUAUUCCUCAGUCCUUCAUUCCUCACAAGAUGUGUGAUGAACCUGCUCAACGAUCAUCUGCAACAGUUGAAGAUUUUGCCUCCUCCACCAAGAUAAUUCCUCAAGCUGAGGAAAAUCCUCAACCCAAGGAAAAUCCUCAACCUGAGGAAAAUCCACAACCUAAGGAAAACCCUCAACCUGAGGAACAAGCUGAAGAAAAUGCUCCUGCACCCAAUACCAAAACUACUAUUGUUGUGGUCAACUCUGAAACAACAAUGAUAGUAUCUCCUCAAGAAAAACAGCAUAAUCUUCAACCAAUGCAAAAUCGGCCUUUUUCAAAGAGGCCAAAGUUUCGGAAGGAAGAGUUCUAUGAAGAACGGAUAUAUUUCAUCAGCGAUAAUCCAUAUGAUAAGCUUUGCAUCAGGUACAGGAAGUUUUGGAGAAGGACUCAGCUCAACUACUAUGCCUCUGUGAUCUGUGGGAGAAACAAAAUAUUUCAGCAUGGGCAAAUUCCUCAUGUUGAGAUGGAAGAAAUUCCUUGCUUCGCCCCAGUCCUCAAUGUUCUUCACGAAGUCGGACUGCUGCCUCUCUGCACUGAUAUCAGUGAUUGGAAUAGUGAUAUUGUUCUUCAGUUUUAUGCUACUUUGCACAUCUCUAGAGACCCGAAGGGUAUCAACACUUGGGUGCUGGACUGGAUGACUCAGCACACUCAUUACAAAGCUCCUGCCACUGAGCUGCUGCGACUGCUUCCAGUUUCAAUUCCCUCAGAACAAGAUGUGCUGAUGUAUGAUGAACGGGAGUUUCCCAACAAGCUGAUGGACGUCCUCAUGAAGCCUUUGGCCAAGGAUCAACCUCCAAGAACGACCUUUCUGGUUCAAGACUUGUGGUAUGAACCGAGGACUUUCUACAGGAUCUUGUGCAGUGUCAUCGCUCCAAUCAAAGGCCAUGAUGAUGAAGGUGUCGUAGGCAUCAUGAAGAAUAUCCUCUUCAACAUCAUCCAUAUCAUACCAAUAAACCUUCACGACUUCUUCCUGAGGACUCUGGCUGACAAUGCUAUGACACCCUUCUACCUGAAGAUUUACGCUCCAUGGAUCAUGAAAUUCAUCUGACGCAGGUCAGGCAUCAACUAUCAUGCUGAUUUUAACAAUCACAUUGGAUAUCUACCUCCUAUCCGAGUCAACAAGAAGACUUUUGAGCCUGUUGAAGGUAAAGGAAAAUCUGUCAUCGAUGAAGGAAGUCGGCCCCUUGAUGGCCAGUUUCGCGAACCAGAAGCAUAUUCUUCAUGGGAUGACACUGAAAAUCAGGAGCCACCUAACCCUGUUGACCCAAGGAUAAUGACUAACAGAGAACUAAUCCUUAGUCUUCACCAGAAGGUUGAUCGCAAUCACAAAUGGGUAAAACGUCAAUUCAGUGCCAUUGUGAAAACCCUCAAUGAGACCCAGAAUGCAGUGAAGAAAAAUCACUACUGUCUUCAUGAGGUUUUUGAUCGCACCUGGGCCACUCUGGCUCAUCCGAAGACUCAAUAAGAACUUGAUGAAUUGGAGUUUACUCAGGACUUCGACUGGUCGUGGCCUCCCAACAAGAAAUUCAAGCCAAUUCCAGUUCCAGACCUUCAGGACAGUUCCUUUUCUUCAUUCCCCACUACAGAAUCUGAUGAAGAACCAGAAGACACUGCCACUGGCCCAAGGAGGAAGCCCGUCGCCAAGAAUCCUCACGCGUCUUCUUCAUCAGCCAAGAAGCAAAAGUCUUCACGGGGCGUUAGUCCUCAUUUUGUCCCUUUUCGUCACUUGAUGACAAAGGGGAGAAAUCUGAGAGUUAGUCUUCAUGCGGGAUAUAUUUUGGGGCUUAUGAACUUUAUUAAGUUACAAACUCUUGGUUCUUCUGAAGUGUUUUAUGUAAUGAGUUGUAACUUAAGCCCGAUGGUACUCUAACGCUUUUGAACGUUUUUCUUUGCAUGCUUAUUCCUCAAAAUAUUAAUGCACGCAUGUUGGAAUUCGUCAAAUACCAUUUCUCAUCAAGCAUUCUCAAAUUCUUCAUAUUAUAUGUCACAUAUAUGCAUGAUUUACAAGAUACAGGGGGAGAUCUCCAUGAUAUAAAUCAUCAAUGUGCAUUUGCUGUGAAAAGCAAAAUACUCAAAAUAUGCACACCUUCAGGGGGACUCUCUGAGUAUCUUGAUUUCAAAUUCCUCAAACUGAGUAUUUACACUUAAUAAUUUUAUCCCCGUUGAAAACUUAACCUAAUUGUCAUCAACCACCAAAAAGGGGGUGAUUGUAAGUGCAUCUAGUGCCCUUGGUGAUUUUGGUGGUUUGAAGACUUGUAGGUUAAAUAUCUAAUGUGUUCAUGAGUGUACACAGGAUCUAUAAGUCGCUGAGGAGUUUGAAUUAUACGAUGAAUAUUGACCCCUAAAAAUGUAUAUCUUCGGCUCAAGAAAUUGGUAUGAUGCUGAAGAUUUGGAUCGCGAAGAAAUUACGAUGAAUUUGAUAUUCCUCCUGAAGAUAUUGAAGAUGAGGAAUUCGGUGUGUCCUGAAGAAAAACAAUCCGAAGACUUUGAAGCGUGUAGAUCUAUUCUUUCUGUUUCAUUUUCCUCACUCUUGAGUCAUAGGAACACCGUACUGUUAAAGGGGGUCGAGGUAACAUUAUGGAAUGUAUUUCCUCAUGAUGCUCAACCCAAGCCUAAUCCUACCAAAAGCCUCAAGUGAGGAAUAUGAGAGGCAUGAGGACUCUCAUAGUUGAUGGUCCUGACCGUUGCCGCAAUUCGUGCCACAUCACCGAUCUUAUCCACACCAACGGUCAUAAUAUUUAAGGGCAUUCAUGUCAAAUCAUGUCGGGAUGCUCCCAGGCUAUAAAUAGCCGCCCCCACAACCAUUAGCUGGUUGGCUGCUCCACAAGAAACUAACACUUGUCAUUUAGAGCAACCCAAAUUCCACAGAGAGUUCGAGAGUAAAUCAUCAGUGAGGAAAUACCCCAAACAGCAAACCACAAACCAGAAACCAAGUGAUUGAGCAUCAAUGAAGAAUUUUUUCCUUUGUGGAACCGAAGCCUUUUACCUUUGAGGACUUUGCAUCCUCCAGACGAUAAGGCGUCAUGGUCUAGAGCAAUCCAACUGUCAAUUGUGGAUCGCCGGGUGACCAAGUUUGUGAGGGUUUGGAAGUCUGCCCUGAAGACUUACCACGAGUGUUGGGCGAGGACUGUGUGUCCUUAGCUCAAAGAGAAUACGGUAGGGACUAUGUCUCCUGGGACUGUGUGUCUUUUGGUUUCAAUACCCAGCCGCUCAAAACCAGACGUGCAACUAUCACAACAGUUGGAACUGGGUCAUGAACCACUGUCUUCACUGUGAUACAGGUUCUAUUUCUUCAAUUUUUUCAAUUCCUCAAUAUCGUAUGUUGAAAAUUUUCAUUGUCACUGUUUGAAGAAUUUUCUGAAGACUUUCUCUGAAUUUCCUCAACCUCAAAUUCUUCAUGCAAGUUAAUCCUCACCUUCUUACUCUGUGCCUGCGUACUGUGCAAACUCCUUUUCAUAUUCCUCAUCUUGAAAACUGUUGUAGUGAUACUUUGCACCCCUGAUCCUUUGUUGUUUCCACUCCAAGUUAUUCAUCAGUGAGGAAUUUCCUCAAAAGGAAUUUCCUAAGAGGUGAAUUCUUGAAAUCUCCUAUUGACCCCCCUCUAGUCGAUAUAACACACUUUCAGGCUUUCCUUGGAUGACUUUGUCAGCCAAUUAUGCCUUAUUGCGCAUCCAAUAAACCCAUGUGGACCCCUUGGGGCGCGGUGGGCCCACCCAGUGGGCCCCCGGAACCCAUUCGUCACUCCCGGUACAUUGUCGGCAAUGCUUGAAAACCUUCCAAAAUCCAAAUACCAACUUCCUAUAUAUCAAUAUUCUUUUCUGGACCAUUCCGGAACUCCUUGUGAUGUCCGAGAUCUCAUUCGGGACUCCGAACAAAACUUCGGUCACCAACACAUAUAACUCAACUAUACCGAAACGUCACCGAACCUUAAGUGUGCAGACCCUGCGAGUUCGAGAACUAUGCACACAUGACCUGAGACACUCUCUGGUCAAUAACCAACAGCGGGACCUGGAUGUCCAUAUUAGUUCCUACAUAUUCUACAUAGAUCUUUAUCGGUUGAACCUCUAUGUCAAGGAUUCAUAUAAUCCUGUAUACUGUUCCCUUUGUCCUUCGGUAUGUUACUUGCCCGAGAUUCGAUCGUCGGUAUCAUCAUACCUAGUUCAAUAUCAUUACCGGCAAGUCUCUUUACUCGUUCCGUAAUACAAGAUCCCGUAACUAACUCCUUAGUCACAUUGCUUGCAAGUCUUGUUGUGAUGUUGUAUUACCGAGUGGGCCUCGAGAUACCUCUCCGUCACACGGAGUGACAAAUCCCAGUCUUGAUCCAUGCCAACCCAACAGACACCUUUGGAGAUACCUGUAGAGCACCUUUAUAUUCACCCAGUUACGUUGAGACGUUUGAUAACCCACAAGGUAUUCCUCCAGUGUCCGGGAGUUGCAUGAUCUCAUGGUCAUCGGAACUGAUACAUUGACAUGCAGAAAGCAGUAACAAUAAACUGACAUGAUCAAAUGCUACGUUUAUAGUUUGGGUGUUGUCCAUCACAUCAUUCUCCCAAUGAUGUGAUCCCGUUAUCAAUUGACAACACUUGCCUAUGGCCAGGAAACCUUGACCAUCUUUGAUCAACGAACUAGUCAACUAGAAGCUCACUAGGGACAGUGUGUUGUCUAUGUAUCCACACAUGUAUUUGAGUUUUCAAUCAAUAUAAUUCUAGCAUGGAUAAUAAACGAUUAUUAUGAACAAGGAAAUAUAAUAAUAACCAACUUAUUAUUGCCUCAAGGGCAUAUUUCCAACAGUCUCCCACUUGCACUAGAGUCAAUAAUCUAGUUCACAUCACUAUGUGAUUGUAAGGAAUCUAACACCCAUACAGUUCUUGGGUUCGAUCAUGUCUUGCCUGUGAGAGUGGAUUUAGUGAGCGGGUCUGAACCUUUCACAUCCGUGUGUGCUUUACAAAUCUUUAUGUCAUCCUAUAGAUGCUGCUACUACGUGCUAUUUGGAAAUAUUCCAAAUGACUGCUCUACUAUACGAAUCCGGUUUACUACUCAGAGAUAUUCGGAUUAGUGUCAAAGCCUGCAUCGACAUAACCCUUUACAACGAACUCUUUAAUCACCUCCAUAAUCGAGAAAAAUCUUUAGUACACUAGUUACUAAGGAUAACUUUGACCGAUGUUUAGUGAUUCAAUGCUGGAUCACUUUUUGUACCCCUUGACAGACUCAUGGCAAGGCACACAUCUGGUGCGGUACACAGCUUGGCAUACUUUAGAGCCUACGGCUAAGGCAUAGGGGACGACCUUCGUCCUGUCUCUUUCUUCUGCCGUGGUCGGGCUUUGAGUCUUACACAAAUUCACACCUUACAACACAGCCAAGAACUCCUUCUUUGCCGAUCUAUUUUGAACUCCUUCAAAAACUUGUUCAGAAAUUCGUUGAAAGUUCUUAAUAAGCGUCUUGGUCUAUCGGGAUAGAUCUUGACGCACAACGUUCAAGUAGCUAAAUCCAGGUUUUUCUUUGAAAAACACCUUUCAAACAACCCUUUAUGCUUUCCAGAAAUUCUACACUACUUCCGAUCAAAAAUAUGUCAACCACAUAUACUUAUCAGAAAUUCUAUAGUGCUCCCACUCACUUCUUUGGAAAUACAAGUUUCUCAUAAAUCUUUUAUAACCUAAAAGCUUUGAUCAUCUAAUCAAAGCGUAUAUUCCAACUCUGAGAUGCUUGCACUAGUCCAUAGAAGGAUCGAUGGAUCUUGCAUACUUGUUAGCAUCCUUAGGAUUGACAAAACCUUUUGGUUGUAUCACAUACAACCUUGCCUCAAGGAAACCGUCGAGAAAACAAUGUUUUGACAUCCUAUGUGCAAUAUUUCAUAAAUAAUGCAGCAACUCCUAACCUAAUUCCAACAGACUUUUAGCAUCACUACGAGUGAGAAAGUCUCAUCAUAGUCAACUCUUUGAACUUGUCAGAAACAUCUUUGCGAUAAGUCGAGCUUUUCUUAAUGGUGACUAUUCACCAUCAUCGUAUGUCUUCCUUUUUAAAAAUCCAUAUGUACUUAAUAGUCUUGCGACCAUCAAGUAGUUCUUCCAAAGUCUUUACUUUGUUUUAUACACGGAAACUCUAUCGUAUGUCAUGGCCUCCAGCCAUUUGCCGGAAUCCGGGCCCACCAUCACUUCUCCAUAGCUCGUAGGUUCAUUGUUGUUCAACAACAUGACCACCAAGACAGGGUUACCUUACCACUCUUUAGCAGUACGUGACCUUGUGUACCUACGAGGUUUAUAGUAACUUGAUCCGAAGCUUAAUGAUCACUAUCAUCAGUUUCCACUUCAAUUGGCGUAGGCGCCACAGGAACAACUUCCUUCACCCUGCUACACACUGGUUGAAGUUACGGUUCAAUAACCUCAUCAAGUUCCACCACCCUCCCACUCAAUUCUUUUGAGAGAAACUUUUCCUCGAGAAAGGACCCAUUUCUAGAAACAAACACUUUGCUCCCGGAUCUGAGAUAGGAGGUAUACCCAACUGUUUUGGGUGUCCUAUGAAGAUGCAUUUAUCCACUUUGGGUUCGAGCUUAUCAUGCCGAAACUUUUCCACAUAAGCAUCACAGCCCCAAACUUUUAAGAAAUGACAGCUUAGGAUUCUCCAGACCAUAGUUCAUACGGUGUCAUCUAAAUGAAAUACGUGGUGCCCUAUUUAAAGUGAAUGCAGUUGUCUCUAAUGCAUAACCCAUAAACGAUAGUGGUCGUUCCAUAAGAGACAUCAUAGUAUGCACUAUAUCAAAAAGGGUGCGGCUAUGACGUUCGGAUACACCAUCACACUAUGGUGUUCUAGGUGGCAUGAAUUGCGAAACAAUUUGACUGUGUACCAAAACUUGCAACUCAGAUAUUCAUCCUAUGAUCAUAUCGUAGACAGUUUAUCCUCUUGUCACGACGAUCUUCACUCUGAAAUCGCUUUGAACUUUUCAAUAUUUCAAACUUGUGAUACAUUUAGUAAAUACUCCUGUAUCUACUCAAAUCGUUAGUGAAGUAAGAACAUAACGAUAUCCACUGCGUGCCUCAACACUCAUUGGACUGCACAUAUAAAAAAUAUAUUACUUCCAACAAGUUACUUUCUUGUUCCAUGUGGUAUGAUGUACAUGUCUCAAGUGAUUCAAAAUCAAGUGCGUCCAAACGAUCCAUCUGCAUGGAGUUUCUUCAUGCGUUUAUACCAAUAGGUAUGGUUUGCAUGUCUCAAACGUUUCAAAAAAUGAGUGAGUACAAAGAUCCAUCAGCAUGGAGCUUCUUCAUGCAUUUUACACCAACAUGACUCAAGCGGCAGUGCCACAAGUAAGUGGUACUAUCAUUACUACUUUGUAUCUUUUGGCAUAAAUAUUAUGAACAUGUGUACCACUAGAAUCGAGAUUCAAUAAACCAUUGAAGGUAUUUAUUGAAGCAAAUAGAAUAACCAUUAUUCUCUUUAAAUGAAUAAUCGUGUUGCACUAUACACGAUCUAAUCAUGUUUAUUCUCAACGCAAACACCAAAUAACAAUUAUUUCAGUUUAACACUGAUCCCGAUAGUAGAGGGAGUGUGCGAUGUUUGAUCACAUCAACCUUGGAAACACUUCCAACACAUAUCGUCACCUCGCCUUUAGCUUGUCUCCGUUUAUGCCUUAGCUUUUAUUUCGAUUUACUAACACUUAGCAAUUGAACUGGUAUCUAAUACCCUCGUUCUACUAGGAGUACUAGUAAAGUACACAUCAAUAUCAUGUAUAUCAAAUAUACUUCUGUCGACUUUGCCAGCCUUCUCAUCUACCAAGUAUCUAGGGUAGCUCCGCCUCAAUAAUCGUUCCCCUCAUAACAGAAGCAGUUAGUCUCGUGUUUGGGUUCAACCUUGGGUUUCUUCAUUAGAGCAGCAACUGAUUUGCCGUUUCAUGAAGUAUCCCUUCUAGCCCUUGCCCUGCUUGAAACUAGUGGUUUUACUAACCAUCAACAAUUGAUGCUCCUACUUGAUUUCUACUUUCGUUGUGUCAAACAUUGCGAAUCGCUCAAGGAUCAUCAUACCUAUCCUUGAUAUGUUAUUGUUCAUCACGAAGCUCUAGUAGCUUGGUGGCAGUGACUUUGGAGAACGAUCACUAUCUCGUCUGGAAGAUUAACACCCACUUGAUUCAAGCGACUGUUGCACUCAGACAAUUUGAGCACAUGCUCAACGGUUGAGCUUUUCUCCUUUACUUUGUAGACAAAGAAUCUAGUUGGAGGUUUCAUACCUCUCAACAAGGGCACGAGCAUGAAAUCCCAAUUUCAUCUCUUAGAACAUCUCAUAUGUUCUAUGACAUUCAAAACGUCUUCAGCGCCUUAAUUCUUAGCCGUUAAGUAUUUCGCACUGAACUAUCAUGUAGUCAUCAAAAAACGUGUAUGUCAGAUGUUCUCAACAUCCACAGACGACGCUCGAGGUUCAGCACACCAAGCGGUGCAUUAAGGACAUAAGACUUCUGUGCAGCAAUGAGGACAAUCCUCAGUUUACGGACCCAGUCCGCAUAAUUGCUACUAUCAUCUUUCAACUAAAUUUUCUCCAGGAACAUAUCUAAAAAUAGUAGAGCUACAACACAAGAUACAACACUAUUUGCAAAGACCUUUUGACUAUGUUCAUGAUAAUAAGUUUAAUUAAUCAUAUUACUUAAGAACUCCCACUCAAAUAGACAUCCCUCUAGUCAUUCGAGUGACGCAUGAUCCAAAUCCAUUAACUCAAGUCCGAUCAUCACGUGAGUUGAGUAUAGUUUCAGUGGUGAACAUCUCCAUAUUGAUCAUAUCAACUAUAUGAUUCAGGCUCGACCUUUCGGUCUCUUGUGUUCCGAGGCCAUGUCUGUACAUGCUAGGCUCAUCAAGUUUAACCCGAGUGUUCCGCGUGUGCAACUGUUUUGCACCCGUUGUAUGUGCACGUUGAGUCUAUCACACUCGAUCAUCAUGUGGUGUCUCGAAACGACAAAUUGUCGCAAAGGUGCACAGUCGGGGAGAACACAAUUUUAUCUUGAAAUUUUAGUGAGGGAUCACCUUAUAAUGCUACCGUCGUUCUAAGCAAGAUAAGGUGCAUAAAAGGAUUAACAUCAUAUGCAAUUCAUAAGUGACAUGAUAUGGCCAUGAUCUUGUGCUUCUUGAUCUCCAUCACCAAAGCACCGGCAUGAUCUUCAUCGUCACCAGCGCCACACCAUGAUCUCCAUCAUCGUGCCGCCAUCGAGGUUGUCGUGCUAUCUAUGCUAUUACUACUAAAGCUACAACCUAGCAAUAUAGUAAACGCAUCUGCAAACACAAACGUUAGUUUAAAAACAACCCUAUGGCUCCUGCCGGUUGCCGUAGCAUCGACGUGCAAGUCGAUAUUUAACUAUUACAACAUGAUCAUCUCAUACAUCCAAUAUGUCACAUCAUGUCUUUGGCCAUAUCACAUCACAUGCAUACCCCGCAAAAACAAGUUAGGCGUCCUCUAAUUUGUUGUUGCAUGUUUUACGUGGCUGCUAUGGGUAUCUAGUAUGAUCGCAUCUUUCUUACGCUAAGCCACAAUGGUGAUAUGCAAUUUGCUAUUUAACCUUCUCCAAGGACCGCCUCGGUCAAAUCCGAUUGAACUAAAGUUGAAGAAACAGGCACCCGCCGGUCAUCUUUAUGCAACAAGUUGCAUGUUAGUCGAUGAAACCGGUCUCUCAUAAGCGUACGAGUAAGGUUGGUCCGGGCCGCUUCAAUCCAACAAUACCGCCGAAUCGAUAAAAUACUAAGGAGGGCAGCAAAAAGAACAUCAACGCCCACAAACUCUUUUGUGUUCUACUCGAGAUAUCAUCUAUGGAUGAACCUAGGUUAUGAUGCCACUGUUGGGGAACGUUGCAUGGGAAACAAAAAAUUUCCUACGCACACGAAGACCUAUCAUGGUGAUGAUCAUCUACGAGAGAGAGAUCGGAUCCACAUACCCUUGUAGAUCGCUAAGAAGAAGCGUUAUUGAACGUGAUUGAUGUAGUGGUACGUCUUCACUAUUCGUCCCACGAACCGUCUCGUGAUCCGUCCCGAUCAAGUGCCGAACGGACGACACCUUCGCGUCCCGCACACGUACAGCUCGAUGAUGAUCUCUGCCUUCUUGAUCCAGCACGAGAGUCGGGAAGUAGAUGAUCUAUCCGGCAGCGUGACGGUGUGCCGGUGAUGGUGAUGAUCUAUUCCUGCACGGCUCCGCCGGAGCUCCGCAGAAAACCGAUCUAGAGGAAGAACUACGAAGCAGAGGUUUAGGGUUGCACGUGGCAAAGUUGUCUCAAAAGCCUUAAACCUCUAGUAUAUAUAGGAGGAGGGAGGAGGCAGGCUUGGCGCCACAAGGGAGACUCCCUUGGGUUGGCCGAAGUGGAGGAGGGAGGAGUCCUCCUCCAAUCCCACUUGGAUUAGGACUCCUUCCUUAAUUUCCCACUUCUUUUGGAUUUUCCACUUUUUCCUCAUGGGCUUUCCUUGGAUGACUUCGUCAGUCCAUUAUGCCUUAUUGCACAUCCAAUAAACCCAUGUGGACCCCUUGGGGCGUGGUGGGCCCACCCAGUGGGCCCCCAAAACCCAUUCGUCACUCUCGGUACACUACCGCCAAUGCUCGAAAACCUUCCGGAAUCCAAAUACCAACUUCCUAUAUAUCAAUAUUCGUUUCCGGACCAUUCCGGAACUCCUCGUGACAUCCGGAUCUCAUCCGGGACUCCGAACAAAACUUUGGUCACCAACGAAUAUAACUCAACUAUACCGAAACGUCACCGAUCCUUAAGUGUGCAGACCCUCUGGGUUCGAGAACUAUGCAGGCAUGACCUGAGACACUCUCUGGUCAAUAACCAACAGCGGAACCUGGAUGUCAAUAUUGGUUCCUACAUAUUCUAAGAAGAUCUCUAUCGGUUGAACCUCUAUGUCAAGGAUUCAUAUAAUCCCGUAUACUAUUCCCUUUAUCCUCCGGUAUGUUACUUGCCAGAGAUUCAAUCAUCGGUAUCAUCAUACCUAGUUCAAUCUCAUUACCGGCAAGUCUCUUUACUCGUUCGAUAGUACAAGAUCCCGUAACUAACUCUUUAGUCACAUUGCUUGCAAGGCUUGUUGUGAUGUUGUAUUACCGAGUGGGCCCCGAGGUACCUCCCCGUCACACGGAGUGACAAAUCCCAGUCUUGAUCCAUGCCAACCGAACAGACACCUUUGAAGAUACCUGUAGAGCACCUUUACAGUCACCCAGUUAUGUUGCGACGUUUGAUAACCCACAAGGUAUUCCUCCGGUGUCGAGGAGUUGCAUGAUCUCAUGGUCAUAGGAACAGAUACAUUGACAUGCAAAAACCAGUAACAAUAAACUGACACGAUCAUAUGCUACGUUUAUAGUUCGGGUCUUGUCCAUCACAUAAUUCUCCCAAUGAUGUGAUCCCGUUAUCAAGUGACAACACUUGCCUAUGGCCAGGAUACCUUGACCAUGUUUGAUCAACGAGUUAGUCAACUAGAGGCUCACUAGGGACAGUGUGUUGUGUAUGUAUCCACACAUGUAUUUGAGUUUCCAAUCAAUACAAUUCCAACAUGGAUAAUAAACGAUUAUUAUGAACAAGGAAAUAUAAUAAUAACCAACUUAUUAUUGCCUCUAUGGCAUAUUUCCAACAGGGUUAACCGCCAUACAUUGGCGUCUAUAUUUUUUGCCAUCAUCUUGGCUACUGAGGCUGAUAACAAACUUCUUUCUCAUCCGCUGUUAGUUUGUAGACGACAAAGAAGCUCAUUACUCUGACCUUGAGUGUCGAAAGUUGGGUAGUCAGCCAGCAAACGACAAAGGUGUUUGCCAUCCGUGACCUGGUCAUUUGUCGCCCGCUAUGGCAAACGGCAAAGAAGUUGUUUCCUGUAGUGAUUCUCUUGAAACUCAACAUCAUAUAUUCUUAGUCAUCAAAUUUUUUUAAUGCAUCAUUGAGUCCAAGUAAGAGCUCCACAUACUCAAUUAUCAUAUAAACUUCUAUGUUUUCUAAUACUCAAAGCAUAUUUUUAAAAUAAAUAGCAUCCAUCGAACACAGAGUAAGACAGGGGCUUAAUGUUUCGCCUCCCAACAUAUUUAUCCUAAAGAUAAUUGUCAACAAUAAUGAAUCAUGAUCAAAUGUAUUUGAGUGGAUAUAUAUAUGUUUGGAUCUUUCCCCACCACAUGGUGCUUGCCAACUAGUAGAGUGAGGUUGGAAUAAUAAGUUGACUCAACAUGAAAAGUAAGUAACAUGGAAGUAAAUAGAUUGUCCCUUCACAGAGGGAUCCUGGAUUUCCAGAGGUGCCAUGGCUCAUUGUUUUAAAACAGAGAUGAAUACGUAAUUUUGGGUGAUGUGCCUUUUGUGUCAAUGUUAUGACAAGAGUUUUCAACAUCUUCCAUGCUAAUCACAUUAUUGGCGGUUCCCAAACAUAUUUCGAAUUUUACUCCCCUCCACCAUUCCAACACAUUCCAUGGCUAGCCGUAUCCACGGGUGACCCCCAAAAAAUCAACUUUCUAGGGGGAGUGCUCGUGUAAUGACAAGUGAAUAAACAUUGAGCAUGAGAAUAACUCGCUUAGCAUCGAAGAUAAUGAGAGCCCUAUCUCUCCAUGAGCAGUACGAGAACACAAAAUGGAUGCUUAUUUGAAUCUUUAGAGUUGGCACAUGCAAAUUUACUUAGAAUGGUAGUGGAAUACCAUAUAUAGGUAGGUAUGGUGGACUCUCAUGGAAGAAACUUGGCUUAAGGGUUUGGAUGUGCAAGUAAAAUCUCUACUUAGUAUGAAGUUUUGGCUAGAAAAAGGUUCUAAACAAGGAGCACACGUUGGAGGAUCCGUAACAAUAUAACUUCUAUGCAAAUAUAACCAAACAUAACCAUUACGUUGUCUUCCUUGUCCAACUUAAACUAUUUGAUCAUGUUUGAAAAAUAAUUAAUGGGUAUUGACAAUAUAAAAAGAUGUCCAAGAUAAUAUAUUUGUAUGUGAAAGUUCUCUUUCUUAUACUAAUCAUUCAUGAAAUGCUUGUAUGACGAAUAUUGUAGUUGUCAAACUUCAAUAGAUUUUAUUUCUAAACCAAAUGUGAAACUUCUACAAGACAUAAAGCACAUUGAUAAUUUCAUAUUUAUGAUAUUUCAUUCAUUCAUAACUUACUCUUAUAGUAUAAGUGAAACACAAGAGUAAACAUCAAACUACUCUCAAAAGAUAUACCUGAAGAUCAAUGAGUAGUUAAACAAUUAUGUAGCUAUGAGAGGACUCUCUCUCAACAAAGAUUUUAAGAUUUGAGUAUUUUAUUCAAACAGGAAGGAAAACAAAUGACACUACAAGAAUAUCACAUAUCAUGUGGAAAAUAAAAAUUUAGGCUCAACAUAGGCUAACCGAUAGUUGUUGACGAAGAGAAGUGGGGUGUGUAGCAUCCCCAAGCAUAUAUACUUAAUACUUAUUGAAAUAUUUACUUGGGGUUCCUUGGGCAUACCCAAACUUGAUCUUUUGUAUAUCUUUCAAUCCUCUCAUAUCUCGGUUUCACCUAGGUCUCAAAAAUGCCAGCCACACAAAACUUGAAAAGAACUCAUGAGAUAGGUUAGUGCACAUAAGAAUAGAUCAACACUUCAUGCACAGACAAUACAAGUUGAAUAAUAAUUUUCAAACAUUACCUAUUAUAUACAAUCAUUUCCACAAUUUAUAUCUACCAAUAUAGGCUAUGGAAACUAUAGGAUAAGUAGAUACAAAACUAUGCCAGCAAUCUGUCUAAACAGGGCAGUUUGUAGCAAUUAAUUCGAAAAGUGUACCUAUGUUACUAAAACAAUUAUGAAACUUUAGAACAUGAUAAAUAAUUUGUAUGACAGCACUGUGUAAAAAAUUCCGAAAUUUCCAUGUUCGAGUAAAAUAUAAAAAUUCAAAUAGUACAACAAAAGUUUUUGUUUUUGUACAGCACACAUCACACAUGCAAUUCAUGCAUUGUAAAGGUAAUGCUUAGAACUUUUUAAUGAAAACAAGAAUAUAUAUAACAUAUAACAGAUACCAACAAUAUAAACUGACGCUCCAAGCAAAAUACAUAUCAUGUGACGAAUAAAAAUAUAGCUCCAAGUAAGAUAUACCGAUAAUGUUGGAGACGAAAGAGGGGAUGCCUUCCAGGGCAUACCCAAGCUUAUAUGCUUGAGUAUUCCUUGGAUAUUACCUUGGGGUGCCUUGGGAAUCCCCAAUAUUAGGAUAUUGCUGCUCCUUAUUCUCCUUAUAUCGGUAUCUCAACCAAAACAUGAAAAGUUCAAUCACACAAAACUUAACGGAACUUCGUGAGAUGGGUUAGUGUAAAAAAGAUAGAUUAUUCACUUAGGUACUGUCAAAACAAGAUUCAUAAUUGUUCUCACAUAAUACCCACUUUAUUCUAUCAUUCCAUAAUUUUUAUCAUUGAACAUAAGCUAUAGAAACACUAAAACAAGCAAACUAUGCAUGCAAAAUAGAAUUUGUGAAAAACAGAACAGUCUGCGAAGAUCUGAAUGGACACCAUCUUGCCUGACUCUAAAAAUUAUGAAACAAAUAGGAAAAUGCACAUAACUUGCAUGAAAAUUUUGUGUAAAAUUUUAACAAUUUUUUGAGUCACGAGUAAAAUUACCUAAUUCAUAGACUAGAUGCAAAAGUUUCUAUUUUUUCAGAGAAUCAAACAAAAAAGUAUCCACAAAAUACUGUGUAAAAAUUUCACAUCAUUAUCACGCUCAAGUAAAAAAUGAAAAUUCCUGUACUGGAGUCAAAAGUUUGUGUUUUGGUUCAGCAUCAAUUCUAAUCAUCUUGUGAGUCAUCCCAAAGGGUUUACUUGGCACUUUAUUGAAAUAAAAGCUAUAAACCAUGACUACCAGAGUAGCUUAAUCAUGUUAACACACAAAAACGGGAAGUAAAAGUGUUGGGUUGUCUCCCAACAAGCACUUUCGUGUAAUGCCUUUUGCUAGGCAUGGUGAUUUCAGUGAUGCUCGUAUAAAAAGUAGUAACUGAGGCAUGAAAGAGAGCAUCCUGAAUCACAUGACAAGAACAUUUAACUAUAACCCAAUUUCUAUGCAUAGUGAUUUUGCAAGAAAACAAUUUAUUGUAGGAAUUACCAACUUGCGUAGGAAGGCAAAAGAAGCAUGACUCAUAGGGAGGAAACUUGAUACUAUUGCAAUUCCUACAAGCAUAUGUUCCUCCCUCAUAAUAAUUUUCAGUAGCAUCAUGAAUCAAUUAAACAAUAUAGCUAUCACAUAAAGAUUAUUUUCACGAUGCAUAAGCAUACAAUUUUUAUUACUAUCCACACAAGCAAAAAAUUUAUCAUUCAAAGUAGUGGGAGCAAAUUCAACAAAAUAACUAUCAUGAGAUACUUGAUUGAUACAAUUCAUGUGAAAAUUAAAAUAAUGAUGACAAGUUUCAUGGUUAUCCUUAUUAUUUCUAUCAUAAAUAUCAUCAUAAUAAUCAUCACAUAUAGGAGGCAUGAUUUCAUCAUAAUAAAUUUUCUCAUCAAAAUUUGGGGGACUACAAAUAUCAUUUUCAUCAAACAUAGCAUCCCCAAGCUUGUGGCUUUGCAUAUCAUUAGCAUUAUGGAUAUUCAGAUAAUUCAUACCAAUAAUAUUGCUAUCAUGCUCAUCAUUCAAGGAUUUCACUUUAAGGAUUUUCAUAAAUUCUUCCUCUAGCAAUUGAGCACAAUUUUCCGAACCAUCAUUUUCAUGAUAGACAUUGUAGAGAUGAAGCAAAUGAGGCAACCAAAAUUCCAUUUUUUUGUAGUUUUCUUUUAUCAAAUCAAACAAGUGAAAACAAGAAACUAAAAAAUUUAAUUGCAAGAUCUAAAGAUAUACUUUCAAGCACUCGUCUCCCUGGCAACGGCGCCGGAAAGGAGCUUCAUGUCUACUAUGCAACCUUACUCUUGUAGACUAUGUUGGGCCUCCAAACGCAGAGUUUUGUAGGACAGUGCCAAUUUUCCCUCAAGUGGAUGACCUAAAGUUUAUCAGUACGUGGGAGGCAUAGGAUGAAGAUGGCCUCUCUCAAAUAACCCUGAAAUCAAAUACUAGAAAUCUCAUGUGUCCCCAAUACACCCAAUACAAUGGCAAAUUGUAUAGGUGCAUUAGUUCUGCGAAAGGAUGGCAAUACUUUCACUUUGUGUAGUAUGGAUAGUAGAUAUAGGUUUUUGUAAUCUGAAAAUAUGAAAACAACAACGUUGCAAGUGUAAAAAAGCAAUCCAAACGUUGUACAGAUGCUUCAUAAUAAGGCCUAGGAUUCAUACUUUCACUACUGCAAUCUCUCAACAAUGCUAACAUAAUAGACUCGUAUGAUUAUCCAAAGAAUCACUCUAGAGUUCCUAUCUGUCGGACAACAAUAAGAUGAAAUUGGUGUAGGUAGUAGAACCACCCAAAGUUAUUCCUUAUGAUCAAAUCCUUUGAGCUAUUCCUAUAAUUGUCACAAACAACCCUAGAGUUAGUACUAGAAUAACACCCAUGAUACAUAUCAAUCAACCUAAUGUCACCUAGAUACUCCAAUGUUACCUCAAGUGUCUGUGGGUAAAUUAUGCGACAUCCAUCAAACAAUUUCAGAUCUAUCAUAUUUAGUCCAACACAAUGAACUUCAAGGAGCACCCCAAGAUUCCUAUCGGAGAACAUAGUAUGAAAACAUGCAAUUAACCCUUAUGCAUAUAUCCACAAGGUCCCCAGAACCCACAAGUUGAUGCCAUAACAUAUAUCAAGUGAAUCACUUGAAUACCCCAAUGUUACUACGGGUAUCCGCAUGCAAGACAUACAUCAAGUGUUCUCAAACCAAAAUAUUCAAUCCAACAUAACAAGAUCUUAAAGGGAAAUAUUCAAUCCAUCACAACAAAGUAGCAAGGGAAUAACAUCAUAAGAUCCAAUUGAUUAACAAGGCUCAUGACACAUCAAGAUCGUGCCAUAUCAAAAACAUGAGAGAGAUAUUGCACACAUAGAUGAUGAAGAUGACCACCAAAGAUGAUUGACAUCCAUCAAGUACAUACCCUCAGUCCUGAGGGUGAACUACUCCCUCCUUGUCAUGGCCUCCACCGGGAUGAUGAAGAUGGCCACCAAAGAUGAUUUCCCCUCUCCAACAGGGCACUGCAAAUGUUCUAGAUGGGUUUUCAUCGAUACACAGAGCUCUGGCAAUGGAGCGGAAGGUCACUCUUUAUUUCCGGUUUUUUUAGUAUAUAUAGGAUUUUUCAGCGUUGGAAUCACGCCAAACGGAGCCACGUGGACCCCACAAGUCAUUCGGGCGUGGCCUAAGGGUGGCGCCCUGUUGGCUUGUGUCCCACAGGUGGCUCCCCUCCAGUGGUUCUUCGCUCCAAUAUUGCUUAUUUCCUCGAGAGAAAAAAUAAGAAAGUUUCGGGGGAUUCCGAGAACUUUCAUUUGCCGCACAAAAAAAACAUCAUUGUAAUUCUGCUAAAAACAUCGUGAGCCCGAGUUUGUUAUAAAUAAAUCAUAUAUAGUGCAUAAAAACCAUAUAAAUGUAUUGUAAACAUAGGCAACAUGGCUUGAAUACUUCAUAAAUAAUCGAUAUGUUGGAGACGUAUCACCAUCCGAUUGGCGACGCAUCUCCCGUCACCUCUUGAUGGUGGUGCCUGCGCCUUCUAUGGGAGUCCAUGAUUAAGGGGUCCUCCGGUAGUCGGCUUACUACGAUGGGCUAUGCCUAUGAUGGGAUGGGCUGUNNNNNNNNNNNNNNNNNNNNNNNNNNNNNNNNNNNNNNNNNNNUGUGCGAUUGUCUCGUAUUCAAGAACGAGAACACCAAAGACCGGCGUGGCGACCAAGUAAAGUAGACUAGGUCGAUUGCAUGUAACCCUAGCCCCCGAUGACUAUUAUGAUAGCCUGGCUUAUUAGGGAUGAUAGAUUACUCAUAUCAAUAAGGAAUUCCUUCUUUUCCGGGAGCCCAUUCAAAUAGAACUCCAAGCAUGCUCGGCUUGGAGUAAUUCUAGGAUGGGUGACCAACCGGGAAGUUGAUCCCGGGUGCGCAUGAGUGAGGACAAAGUUCGCUGAAAAGACUAGUAUUCAUAUGUGGGGCCAGUCUAGAUCCUACCAGGAGUAAUGACCUCCGACGGGUGUGUCCGGGGUANNNNNNNNNNNNNNNNNNNNNNNNNNNNNNNNNNNNNNNNNNNNNNNNNNNNNNNNNNAGAUUCAUCUGGGAAUCCCCCAUGGUUUAGUAGGUUUCGUCGGAGUUCAUCUGUGUUCAUCGCCAUUACAAAUUUUCUUAGUUCUUCGAUGAAAACUUUCCCAACUGUUUACGUUGUGGUAGAUGUAGGGAUCCAUUUCCUCUAAUUUGUCUGAAAUGCCUUGUGGAAUCUAGACUCAAAUAAUGAACUAUUGUUGCUCCAUACUGUAAUGUCAUCCAAGCGCCACUAAUUUUUCCCUUUUUAUGGAACCAUUGGUAGAUCCAUAUUUUUAUGCCCUUCAGUGGGAAUCGGUUUGUCCCACACUUAGCAGAAACUAAAGUCAUUAUUCUCCUUUAAGCCGCCUUUAUGCUCACACCGGCUCCUUUGAUAUGAUCGUAACUCGCCACCUAGGUAAAUCGUCUUUAUUUUACCACCGUCGGCGGGAGUGUCCGGGGCAUUACAACUAUAUAAACUUGGGGGACUCGUCCAUGUAGACAGAUUGAUUCCAUCUAGGGUGAAGUAUACAUGAUCUCGAGGUAGACUCUGUAAUCAUCUUGCACGUCAAUAUAAUCAAGCAGGACGUAGGGUUUUACCUCCUCAAGAUGGCCCGAACCUGGGUAAACAUUGCUCCCCCUCUCUCCUGCAACCCAUCGAUCUAAGGUCCACAGUUAGGGACCCCCUACUCGAGAUCUAUCGGUUUGGACACUGACAUUGGUUCUUUCAUUGAAAGUUCCACUGAUUGGAUCACCGGAAGGAUCGAUGGCGAGCCUAGUCAUCAGCGAAGCGAUCGUCAACAGGGAUGUCUUCGUCCGCGAAGAAAUCUUCGCCUUUGGAAGCGUUGUUCUACACGCUAAUUCGGUCGGCCACCUCGGUUAAAUGUCCCAAACAUAUCUAUAAUUUCUGCUUGUUCCAUGAUCUUUUGGGUGACAUUGUUAUAUGUUUUGCUACAGUUUUAUAUCAUUUUGCACAUAUUUGGACUAACCUACUAACUCACUGCACCCAGUGCCAGUUUCUGUCUGUUGAUGUCUAUUUUGCAGGAGCUUUUACCCAAUUUUCCGAUGCCCGAAAGAUCCCGGGAAAUAUAUAUAUAUAUAUAAUCAGCGAAACAGAAGCAUCCAGAUCAAUGAAGAUGGGCCAGAGGGGGGCCAGGGGCCGUCCAGGCGACCUCCUGGCGCGGCUUACCCCUGGCUGCACCCACAUGCUGCAUGGGUGGGUCCCACCUCCUCCGGUGCCCUCCUUCGGCCUAUAUUUACUCCUCCGCGAGGAAACCCUUCCAUCACAUACAUAAUCGCGAAUUUCUCCAUCGUUCCACUGCCGCAACGCUUUCGAGAUCGGGAGCGUCAGGAGACCUCUUCCCGGCACCCUGCCAAAGGGAGGAUUGACCCCCGGGAGCUUCUCCACCGCCAUGGACGCUUCCCGAACGUGUCGUGAGUAAUCCUCCUUGAACCAUGAGUCCAUGACCAGUAGCUAUGUGAUGUCUUCUCUCCAAUCUUGUGCUUCAAUAGUUACUCCUUGUGAGCUGCCCUACAUGAUCAAGGCAUCUAUGUAAUUCUCUUGCUAUUUCCAUGCUCGGUUUGUUGGGAUCCAAUUGAUUAUGGGACUAUGUUUAGAUUGUUAUGAGUUAUGUAUUAAAUUAUCCUUUUAUAUUAUGUUCCUUAGUGAUUCAUGCAUGUUCUCCGUUGCUAUUUUUUACUUUGGCCGAGUAGUAGUUUGUAACUCCAAGAGGGAGAGUUAUGCAUGAUUGUGGGUUCAUGCCCCUCAAUGUCUAGCUUGAGAGACAGAAACAUGAGACUAGGGGAUGUGUUGUUGCUACUAGGGAGAAAACAACGGUGGUUGUGACCACGGUUGCAAGGAUUGUUUACCUUACGCAUAGUUCGUUAAUGCAUUUGUCCGUUGCUUUGAGUUUACACUUUGGGUGGGGAUUGCAAUUUAAUACCAGUGAGAUAUUCUGGAUAGAUAUGUCAAGGUGGAUGAUUAGUAAGUAGAUGCUGAUGAAUAAACAGUCUACUUGUCUUGGCGUACUGCCCAUUACUAUUGAGCAUCUAACUAUCAAGUAGCAUAAUUAGCAUUGCGGUGCGUUCAUAAUUUUGUCAAUUGCCCAACUGUAAUUUGUUUCCCCAAGCAUAGUUGUUUACCGUGUUUUGGGAGAGAGACAUCACUAUUGAACAUCAUGUGACUCCGGUCCAUAUCACCACCAUUGCUUACAACUCCAUGAUUUAUUGCUUUCAUUUACUUUUCCGUUGCAAUCACUAUCACUAUUCCCGCUUGUGUUUUGAUCCUUUGCAAACUACAAGGCCGGAGAGAUUAACAACCUCUCUGUAAUCGUUGGGAGAAAAGUUAUUUGUUGUGUUUGCAGGUCCAUGUCUUCUGCUAGACAGGGGCACCGGAUACCUACUUGUUGAUCCUAGGAGUCCUCCUGGUUCGAUAAAACUUACAGUUUCCAUGUGAGGGAAAAAUUUCUCCUGACUACAUCUCAACCUUACACUUGUGGUAACCAAUGAGGAGCGAGAAGUAUAUAGAUGAUCUCGUCAUCAAGCAAAGUUUUCUGGCGCCGUUGCUGGGAACUCCAGUCUUCAAGAUAUGGGAGUUGCACGCUAUCUUUUGCUUUUGCUUUUUAGUCUUGUUAGUUUGCUUUCUAGUUUUUGCUUUAGAGUCUUAUGCCAAAAACCACAAAAAAAUUAGUUGCUUUGUUCUUGCUUGUUGCUCCUACUAUGGGUCCCACUGAAAAUACCAAGUUGUGUGACUUCACUAGUUACAACAACAAUGACUUUAUCUACACUCCUAUUGCUGCUCCCUCCACAGGAGCUACGUCCAAUGAGAUUAAACCUGCUUUAUUGAACCUUGUUAUGAAUGAUCAAUUCUCCGGUGCUGGAGAUGAUGUUGCUUUGACCUUGAACAAUUUCGUUGAGCUCUGUGAUAUGCAAAAAUAUAAAGAAGUAGAUGGUGAUAUUGUUAAACUUAACCUUUUUCCUUUCUCCUUGAGAGGAGGAGCUAAAGUGUGGCUUCAAUCUUUGCCUAGGAAUAGCAUAGAUUCUUGGGAUAAGUGCAAAGAUGCUUUUCUUGGGAAGUAUUACCUGCCUGCUAAGAUUAUCCAGUUAAGAAGUAACAUUAUGAAUUUUAGGCAACUGGAUAAUGAACAUGUUGCUCAAGCUUGGGAACGUAUGAAAUCUCUUGUUAAGAAUUUCCCUGCACAUGGUUUAACUACUUGUAUGGGUAUCCAAACUUUCUAUGCAGGAUUGAACUUUAUGUGCGAAAUAUGUUAGACUCGGUCGCGGGAGGAACUUUUAUGUCAACUACACUUAGUGCUUCCACAAAGCUAUUGGAUGAGAUGAUGAAAAUUUAUUCUCAAUGGCACACCGAGAGAGAUCCAACAGGUAGGAAGGUAAACUCUGUUGAGGAGAUCUCCUCCCUUAAUGAUAAGGUUGACAUGAUCAUGACUUUACUCACUAAGUAAGCUCCUAUAGAUCCUCAUGAUGUUCCUUUAAAUUCUUUCGUUGCUCAAGAAAGAGAGCAAGUUGAUGUUAAUUUUAUCGCUAGGAACAACUUCAAUAAUAAUGCUUAUAGGAGUGAUUUUGGUAGCAAUCCCAGACCUUUCCCAUCUAACCACCAUGGAAACAGCAACACCUAUAGUUACACUCCUAAUGAUAGAAGAAUGUCUAGAUAUGAAAAACUUUUAGAGAUAGAGAAAGCUACAAAGAAUUAUAUGCACACCCAAUAUGAACAAAACAAGGCCUUGUCUAGAAAAUUAGAUGAGCAUUCUUAUAUCUUGCAAAACAUUGGAAGACAACUUGAGAGCCUGAAUAGUGAGAUUUCCAAUCUCCAAACUAGACUCGCCACCACGGAGACCCAAGUCUCCAAUAUGUCUCACACACAUGCCACUUUGAUAAAUCAAAUGGCGUCCAAACCCGAAGUGGUUGUCUCUCAAGAAGAGGAAGAUAGGUUUAAGAGCCUUCCUAACACACUACCAUUGCUACUACACAACUUGUUGAGGAUCUCAAACUUUUAGCACCCAUCGCACCCCUAGUCCCAAUGGACCUAUUAAUGGUGAUGCUAAUACCUCAACUACAGGACAAGAAGGUCCUUUGAAUUUAUAAACUACCAAAAGAAUGAGCUUAGAUGACAUUACCACCACUUUAAUUAAUGAUAGUAAUCUUGAUUUGAACAAUUGUAGUCUUUCCGAAGAGAUAACUUUUUUUGCAAAGAAUGGAUAAAGACCCCCACACUAGUACACUCAAUAUUGCCUUCACCGAGCAUAUUACCAAUGCUCUUAUCAAACCUAGGGAGGAGAAGCACAAGCUAGAGACUUAUAUUCCUAGAAAACUAGAAGAUGGUUGGGAUCUUAUGGUCAAGAUUAAAUUGAAUAAUAUCUCUUGCUUUGCUUUAUGUGAUGUUGGAGCUAGUGCCUCCGUUAUGCCCAAAAGAAUGUAUGAUAUGCUUGAUUUGAAACCUUUUGAUCAAUGUUCUUUUGGUGUUCGUCUUGUUGAUUCUUCCAUAAAGAAACCUUUAGGGAUAAUGGAUGAUAUUCUUAUUAUUGUCAAUUAAAAUUAUGUGCCCGUUGAUUUUCUUAUUAUGGACAUUGAAUGUGAUCCUUCAUAUCCAAUUAUUUUGGGACGUCCUUUUCUCUGCACCGUUGGUGCUAUCAUUAACAUGAAAGAGGGGACCAUUAGAUUCCAAUUUCCCUUUAAAAAGGGAAUGGAACAAUUCCCUCGAAAGAAGAUUAAGUUACCUUACGAGUCCGUAUUCGGGCAAGUUAUUCUUAUGGAGUUGAUAAUACUUGAUCUUUUUGUAUUAUGCCUAGCUCAAAGGCAUAAAAGAAAGCGCUUGUUGGGAGGCAACCCAAUUUGUUUUUAAUUUCAGUUUUAGUGGUCUUGAUGUGUGUUACUACUGUAGCAACAUCAUUGUAUCUUUAUUUUUAAGCUAUGUGCCAAGUUAUAGCCUCCAAUUGCAAGAAAGUUCAAAAUUUGUGACAUGCUGUCUAGAAAGAGAUUAUGUCUGCGUGACGGAAAAAUUCGCCAAAAAUCACAAGAUAAUAUUUUUGAUCUGAAUUUUUUGGCAGCUUGCUCUAUAUAAUUUCCUUACUAGCAUCUGUUCUGAGUUUGUCGAUUUGAGUUGUAGAAGUGCCCUGAAUAAAUUAUGUACUACCUGUUGUUCUGUUUUUCACAGAUUCUCCCAUGUUUUGCGUUUUCAUCAUUUUGCAAAUCUGAAGCUUGCUUUUCCUUUGGAAAAACCUUUUUGGCAAUCAUGAGAAACAAUAGCUUUUCAUGAAAAUCAUUAUUUCCAGUAGGUAAGAAAUUAUUUUAUUAAGGGUACUAACCACUCUAAUCAGCUUAUGAUGAGAUUCGUAUGAAGGGAGGUUUCAAGUAUGCGAUGGGAGAUGAUGAAAGAAGAUACAAGAGUGUCAAGUGCUCAAGCUUGGGGAUGCCCCCAUGCACCCCAAGAAAUAUUCAAGGAGACUCAAGCGUCUAAGCUUGGGGAUGCCCCCGUGCAUCCCCUUCUCUAUCAACAAUCAUCAGUUUGUCCAUCUCCAUGCUAUAUUUUUAUCACUUCAUAUGUUAUGUGAUAUGCUUGGAGCGUCCCGCUCUUUAGUUUGGUUUAGUUUCGCUUGCUGUUCAUAACAAGUCGGAACCUAUCCUACCUUGUUUGGGAGAUAAACACACUCCAUUCCACUACAGAACACAACAUAGGUUUUUGUGCUUAUUCUUUUUGUGUGUUAUUUAUCUUUUCGUAGCUACUGUCAUGCCUAGCUCCUAUUUUUCAUGCUAUAUCUUUUUAAGAGCUAUCAUUUAGGUUGCUUUUGGAACUCUCUUGAGUUAUCAUGCUUAUGUUGUUUAGAGAGUUGGUUGGUUGCACUGAGUUGUGUGUCUUGCAUGAGUAGGUAACUGAGGUUGCUAUUUAAGUAUAGUAGUAACUUGCAAUAGUUUUGAGGUAUUGAUUUGAGUAAUGUUUGGACUAUAGGUGCCAAGAGCUUAAGCCUAUUGGUGCUAGGUGUCGUAUUUUGGGAAAUCGUGUGUUUUUCAAUAACUAAAAAUUAGUUGACAUCUCUAGCUACUAAAUUGAUCGCUAACCUCUGGAGGGAUUGGAAUAUAUAGAGUACCCUCAUAUUACCAUAAGUCGAGGAUGCGCAAGGAUAACCAAACUGCCAAACACUCCUCCUCGGGGUACUUGUCUCUUUGUGAAAUUCCUAACUAGAUAAAGAGUUACCGAUAAUAACUGUAUGAGUUCUUCGGACUAAUGUGAGUAUUCGAUUGUUGACACUUCCACUAUCCAUAUUUUGCUAGCCUCUUCGGUACCGUGCAUUGCCCUUUCUCACAUUGAGAGUUGGUGCAAACUUCGCCGGUUCAUCCAAACCCAUGACAUGAUACGCUCUGUCAUACAUAAGCCUCAUUAUAUCUUUCCUCAAAAUAGCCGCCAUACCUACCUAAUAAGGCAUUUCCAUAGCCUUUCCGAGAUACAUUGCCAUGCAACAUCCACCAUCUCAUGACUUGAUCUUCAUGUCAUACAUGAUUUUGCUUGAUCGAGGAUCCGCAUGAUAGUUGGGCCUUGCCCAAAUUAUUGCUACAUGACGCGCUAGUAUCAUUGCAUAUCUAGCUACACUGGCAGAGGCAUACAUUUGCAUACAUCAUGAUAGUUUUCACUUGUCUUUAUGUUGAGUACUUCUUAUAAAGUCUGAUGAUUUCUAUUUUCAUUCUUGUAAAACAUAGUGUAUUGCCCUAAAGAGAGGAAAAGAUCCCAAAGAGGACAAAUUAAAAGAUCCAAAAGAGGACAAAUGAGAGAUAAAAAGAAAGAUCCAAAGAGGCCACAAAAAAAUAAAUAAAAAGAGAGAAGGGGCAACAAUACUAUUCCUUGUGAAAUAUCCACACUCGUACUCCAUUGCUAUAUUUGUACUACAUAGAUAUUAUCAUUCAUGCAUAACUAUGUGCGGACCCUUACACUAUAGAACUUGGUUUGCAUAUUCCAAUGAUGAGCCUCCUCAAAUGAGCUCUAGGUCUUCGUGAGCAAGAAAGUUGGAUGCACCCCCACUAGUUCCAUUGCAGAGCUUACUAUUGGAAAUAUGCCCUAGAGGCAAUAAUAAAUUAGUUACUAUUAUAUUUCCUUGUUCAUAAUAAUCGUUUAUUAUCCAUGCUAGAAUUGUAUUGAUCGGAAACUCAAAUACAUGUGUGGAUACAUAGACAACACACUGUCCCUAGUGAGCUUCUAGUUGACUAGUUCGUUGAUCAAAGAUGGUCAAGGUUUCCUGGCCAUAGGCAAGUGUUGUCACUUGAUAACGAGAUCACAUCAUUAGGAGAAUCAUGUGAUGGACAAGACCCAAACUAUGAACGUAGCAUAUUGAUCGUGUCGUUUUAUUGCUAUUGUUUUCUGCGUGUCAAGUAUUUGUUGCUAUGACCAUGAGAUCAUAUAACUCACUGGCACCGGAGGAAUACCUUGUGUGCACCAAACGUCGCAACGUAACUGGGUGACUAUAAAGGUGUUCUACAGGUAUCUCCGAAGCUGUCCGUUGAGUUAGUAUGGAUCAAGACUGGGAUUUGUUACUCCAUGUAACGGAGAGGUAUCUCGGGGCCCACUCGGUAAUACAACAUCACACACAAGUCUUGCAAGCAAUGGGACUUAGUGUAAGUCACGGGAUCUUGUAUUACGGAACGAGUAAAGAGACUUGCCGGUAACGAGAUUGAAAUAGGUAUGCGGAUACCGACGAUCAAAUCUCGGGCAAGUAACAUACCGAAGGACAAAGGGAAUGACAUGCGGGAUUAUAUGAAUCCUUGACACUGAGGUUCAACCGAUAAGAUCUUCGGAGAAUAUGUAGGAUCCAAUAUGGGCAUCCAGGUCCCGCUAUUGGAUAUUGACCGAGGAGUGUCUCGGGUCAUGUCUACAUAGUUCUCGAACCCGUAGGGUCUGCACACUUAAGGUUCGAUGAUGUUUUGGUAUGGUUGAGUUAUAGGUGUUGGUAACCGAAAGUUGUUCGGAGUCCCAGAUGAGAUCUAGGACAUCACGAGGAGCUCUGGAAUGGUCUGGAGGUAAAGAUUGAUAUAUAGGAAGUCCUGUUUUGGUCACCAGAAAAGUUUCGGGCUCAUCGGUAGUGCACCGGGAGUGCCGGGAGGUGCCGGGGACCAUCGGGAGGGGUGUCACGCCCCAAGGGGUCUCAUGGGUUAUGGGAAGAGAUAAACCAUCCCUUAGUGGGCUAGAAUAAGUUCCCACUAAGUCCCAUAAGGUUUGAGAAGGAAAAACACAAGGUGGAAAGCUGUUGCAUGUCUCUGACUGUUGCCAGAGGACUUUGACUAGAACCACCUAAUCGCCCGUCCGCUCGACACCUCACUAAUGUUGACAACCAGCCUUAUGAGCUGGAGCUAUGGAGAUCCGGAGGAGUCCUGUCGGGUUUGCCAUCUAUCAAGUAUUAUUUCUCCCGACAAGGUGCCUUGUUCGUGGCCUUAGCUCGCUGUUGUUUGAAGGUUGACAUUGCCCAACAAGGUCUUGCCAUGCCCGGAGGCCACCAUUUUCGUGUGUACAAGUCUGGGUACUAAUGGCCCCAUUUUUUAGUACACUAAGAACAUCAUCCAAUAUUAAUAGUAUUGGCUUUCCAAUGUACUCAAGUGUGAUUUCUCACAUAAAUGUAAAGUUUAGAGUCUUUAAGCUUGAAGCUUAGCCAAUCAUGUUCCUUUCCUUCUUGUGGAUCCUCCUCACAUUUCCAUCCACAACAAUCCUUUGAACUUAAUCUGAAUCACUAGGCCGAACCAUUAGUCCAAGGGAUAAUGUAUGUUGUGAUAAAUUAUCAAAACCUCCAAGGGAGCAUAUGCGCUUUCAGCAAGCAUGGUGGAAAUCUCAGUUUCACAUACCUUUCUUUUAUAGUGAAAAUAUCAUUCAUAUAUUUUGCAUAAAAGGCAUCUUUGAAAUAUCAGUCAAACCUGUUCGUAGAAAGACUAGCCUAAGCAUCUCAAGGAAGCGCUCAAAAUCUUCCUCAUUCAUAUUUUUAGAAGGCUUACGAGGGAAUGGCAUGGGUUUUUGAUCCCAUGGCUCUCAUUCUUUCCCAUGUUUUCUUGCAAUGAAAUAUCUCUAAUCAUAACGUUUAUUCUUAGGAGGUGGUUUAUCAAGAUUAGCUACAAGUUGUACUUUCACAUCAUUGUCAGGUUCUUUAUCAUUAUCGGGAUGGGCAUCUACAAGAACAUCAUCAUUCUCAUUAUCACUAGGUGCAUCUUCACUACCAGAUUGUGUGUCGGCAUGAGAGAUAGAAACAUCAUUGUGAUUCUUAGAAGGUUUUUCUAUCACCGGUUCACUAGAAUCAUGCAAAGUACUAUCGUUUUCUUUUUCUUUUUGUUUUUUAGAUGAACUAGGUGUGUCCUUAUUAGUAUUUUGAGAAUCUUGUUCGAUUCUUUUAGGAUGUCCUUCGGGAUAGAGGGGUUCUUUCAUCAUUCUACCCCUCUAGUCACAGUUCUAAUAGCAUGAUCAUUCAAUUUAUUAUUCAUUUCAGUAAGCAAAUCAUUUUGUGACUUAGCAACUUGUUCUAACUGAGUAUGAGCCAUGGAUGAGUGUUUACCUAAACCUCCAACAUCACUAGCAAUUCUAGACAUCAAAUUACUCAAGCGACCAAUCAUCAUGGCAUUUCGUUUAAAUGCUCUUGCUUAUCAAAUUCGUCCAUGAAUUUACUAGAAGUUUUAUUUUAAGUUAAUCACUUUAACUAAAUCUAGAAGAGAAUUUACCUAUACUAGUUGUGUAGGGGUAUCAAGUCCAUGUAUUUCUUCAAUAGGUGGUAGAUUCUCAACAUCUUCAAUCUUAAUACAUUUCUCUUUCAUAGAUUUCUUAGCUUCUUGCAUAUCUUCUAGACUCAGGACUAGAAUGCAUCUCUUCUUAGUAAUUGGUUCAGGAGGUGGUUCAAGAAGUUUCCAAUCAUUAGCAUUCUUCAAAAUAUUAUUCAACAGUUCUUCAGCUUGCCCAACAGUUCGUUCGCUGAAAACACGACCAACAUAACUAUCUAGGUAGUCCCUAGAAGCAUCGAAUAGUUCAAUAUAAAAGAUAUCAAGUAUUUCAGUUUUUUUAAGAGGAUGAUUAGGCAAAGAUUUAAGAAGUUGGAGAAGCCUCCCCAAGCUUAAGGGAUGUUCCCUUCUUCAAUUUGCACAAUGUGAAAUAUUUCACAAAAAGCAGCUUGUUUCUUAUGAGCACGAAAAUAUUUUUCAUAGAAGUAAUAUAUCAUGUCAUGGCAGCUACGCACACAACCAAGAGCAAGAGAAAGGAACCACUUCUUAGCAUCACCCUUUAGUUAAAAAGGAAAAAAAGAUUAAGGAUGUAUUACUAACGAUUUUUUCCUCAUUAACAAAUAGGGUGGGAAAAUCAUUUAAUUUGGUAAGGUGUGCUAACAUUCAUAACCAUGAAAAGAAUCACAUUCUACAAAAGUAACUAACUCGACAUCACCAGAGAAUUCAUAAUCCUUAUCAGUAACAAAAACAGGAGAAGUAGCAAAUUUAGGAUCAUAUUUCAUUUUCUCCUUCAUGAAUUUUUCUUUUGGUGUACUCAACAGUUCCUUAGGAUUAUCUCUAUUAUUACAAGCAAGAAAGUCUCUAGCUAUCUCUCCAUUCAUAACAUAACCAUGAGGUACAUCAGUGUAGGAUCGAAAGUAUGUCUAGAGGGGGUGAUUAGACUACUUGACACGAUUUUUUUGGCCUUUUCCCAAUUUUACUUCAGAGGCAGCUACGACAGUAAUAGCAAGUCAAGUACACCCUACACAUGCAGUCUUAAUAGUAUAGAAGAUAAAAGUAAACAUGCAAGUGUAAAGUAGAGGAGUAAGGUAGGGAGAUGAAACGCAUGAGGUUGACACGGUGAUUUUUGGCAUGGUUCUGAUAGGUGGCGCUAUCGUACGUCCAUUUUAGUAGAGACUUCAACCCACGGAGGGUAACGGCUGCGAGAGUCCACGGAGGGAUCCACCCAUGGAGGGUCCGUAAAGAAGCGGCCUUGUCUAUUCCACCACGGCUUACGUCCACUGAGGACUAGCCUUACUCACGGUAGAUAUUCACAAAGCAGGCGAUCUCCUUGCCCUUACAAAAAUCUUGGUUAAACUCCACAACAUGAAGUAGGAGGCUCCCAAGCGACACCUAACCAAUCUAGGAGGCACCACCUCCAAAAGGUAAUAGAUGGGGUAGAUCAAUGAACUCCUUGAUCUUGUGCUUCUAAAGAUAGUCUCCUCAACACAAAUCACUCUCUCACAGAAUAUGCAUGGGUAGGAGAAGUUAACUUGGUGGAAAGGAGUUUGGGGAGGCUAUAGAUCAACUUUGAAAUGAUUGGAUUUGAAUAUCUUGGUCUCAACAAAUGAAUAGGUUGUUCUCUCUCAGAAAAUGAAUCCGGAAAUGAACUGUGUGUUCUGAGUGCUUCUCCCAGGAAUGAGAGGUGGGUGAAGGGGUAUAUAUAGGCAGCAACCAAAAUCCAACUGUUACACACAAAAGUGCAAACUCGGUGACACUGAAGUGGACAACUCGAUGGUACCGACUAGUACUAAAAGUGUGAACUUUUGAAUCUCGGUGGGACCGACAUAUAGAACUCGGUGGCACCCAAAAGGUGACUAAUGGUCAGAUGACCAAACUUGGCUGCACUGAUACUCAAACUUGGGAAUUCUGAUUUUGUUUAUCUUGGCAACAGAACGUUGGUUACACUAAACUCGGUAGCACCGAUGCAGUUUCGGUUGCACCGAUUUGUUGGAUAUGUCUAGGGUUCUGUGUGAGGUUCAAACUCGGUGGGUCCAAAGUGGAAAUGUUGGUUACACCGAAUUUGUGAACGUGGAACUUGAGAGAGUGAAUAUGUUGGAAAAAUGACUGAGUGUUUCGGUGGCUAACUUUGAGCAUUUGAGCAAUCAAUUCAUUUUCGUACCUCACCCCCUUCUAAUAGUAUUGCCUUUCGUAUGGAGUCAAAAGUGAUUUCUCACAAAUAUAAAAUGAAGAGUCUUCUAGCUUGAAGCUUGAACCAAUAUUAUUCCUUUCUUUCAUCCAGGGGUAUCUCCACAUAAACCUUAAGCCAUAGCAUCUUUUGAAAAUUUCUAAAAUAUACAUGGAAAACACAUUAGUCCAACGAUGCAUAUGUUGUGAUCAAUUAUCAAAACCACCAUAGGGAGCAAUUGUGCUUUCAAUCUCCCCCUUUUUGGUAAUUGAUGACAACAUAUAGAUCAAAGCUUCAACAAAAGAUAUAAUCAAUGAUUAGCAUUGGCGCUUUGAGAAGUAUGUGAAAAGCAAUAGCUCCCCCUAAAUUUUGCAUUAUUUAAAAUUUGCAUUUGAAUGCAAAUACACAAUCGAUUAGGAUCAUCGGUUACUCUUCCAUGUCACAUACAUCUUGGUGGUGCGUAAAAAAUAAUAGCAAUGCACAUGACACCAACAAGAUAAGUGAGUGAUCAUCACAAGGAUAGCUAAAAGAAGAUCUCCUAGCAUCACACAGGAUAAAGCGUAUGAUCAAUCACACAGAUAGGAUAAAGUCAUCCAAUAACCAAAGUUUUUAAAACCAAAUGAGAGCAAAUAGUCAAAAGCUCUCUCUCACACGAAGUCUUUGAUCUAUAUACAUUUUCCCCCUUUUGCAACAAGUUACCAAAAAGUUCAAAAGUAUAGAACUACUCGUCUCUCUGGGCAGUUGAUGAUGGAGUCGAUAAAACAACGUCGGCGAAGGCUUCUGCUGAAUGUCCUGGAGGAGUUGAUACUGAAGGAUCUUGAGCUGGAGGUAGUGCUGAAGGUGCUGAAGAUGUUUGUCUUGUCUCCUGAGCAGGAACAACAACUGACCGAGGCUUGGUGCUAAACCUAGUGGUAGUGGGAGGAGGAGACUCAUCCUCGUCAUCAACAUCAUCUUCAUCUUCAUCUUCUGAGUGUGGAAUCUCCACAGAGUCAACUUCAUGUUGAAUCUAUCUGACAAUGGUGGUCAACUUAGUUACCUUCAUAUCCAUGUUGUGGAAUUUUGUCCCCACAACUCUCUCAAGACUCUUCUGAUUUUGCGUUAUCACCUGGAUGUUCUUCUCCAUACCUUGAAUAGUGAUCAUUAGAAAUGCCAUUUGCUCAGCUUGAGUUCUGAGCUGUGGAACUGGAGGUGGCCUAUUCCUCGCAGCUUCAGCCUCUGCUGCCUCUGCUGUCAGUCUUGCUGCAGCUGAGUUGGGAUCAUUUUCAUCCAUCACAACCUCAUUAUCUUCAAAUUCAUGCUGAAGAGGUAGAUGGGGACGAACAAGUAGAUAUGCAUGCCUGCCUAGCUUGGCAUUGAUGAGCAUCUGAAUAUAAGGUGCAUAUCCACAAGAUCUCUUCUGAUCCAAAACAGUCCUUCGGAUAGUCUCAACUAUCAAGUCCAUCACUUGAAAUCUGGUAUGGGUAUCAAGUAGGUGCAGCAGGUUGAUAGAAUAUCCUCUGAUCAUGUUCUCAUCUCCUGACUUAGGCGUGAGGGUGUAUUGCAGUAUAGUGUUCGUCGUGGGAAUGCCAGCUUGCAGAAAAUAUAUUGAACCAAACUUGUCACUAAACAAGUACUGAUGUGGAAUGGUCUUGUACGUAUUGGCCAUGGAGUUGUGAUUCUGCUUUGCUUCUGCAUACACAUCUACACCUGCUACUUCCUGCUUGGGGACACCAAUGGUAGUAGCCCAUUCAGCAAUUGUGGCUUCAUACUUGUGACCAUCAGUCAUCCAGACUAAAGAGUCAUCUCCAUAGAAAUGAACAGUUGCAUAAAAUUGCAUGAUAAGCUCGUCAUUCCAUGGGGUCAUCUCAUUUCCAACAAAAAUUUCUAUGUCAACUAGCCUAAAUUUCUCUUGAACAUGUGGAAAGAAAUUCUCAUUUUCCUUGAUGUAUGCCAAGUCAACAUACCUCAUAUCACUGACACCAGGACUCUUGUCAUAUAGGACAGUCUCAUAAAAAUCUUGUUGUUCCUUGGUGUGAAACCUUGGAUCAACAACAGUUCUUCUUCUGACAGCAUAUGGAUCAAUAGCUCUCCACUUUCUUAGUCCGGCAUCCUUCCUCUUCUUCAUAUCUUCUUCUAUAGGAUGAGCAUCAUUGUGGAGUGGAAGGAAUGGUUUAAGCUUCCUGAGAACUGGAGCAUUCUCAUCUUCUUCCUCUUCUGCAACAUGGGCACUGGAUGUGGGGCCUUUGCUCUUAGCAGCUGCAGGUAUAUCUUUGGUGAUCUUCGUGAAAGCUACAACCUUCUUUUCUUUAGCAGCAGGCUUAGGAGCGGACUUCAUGGUGUGAGCCAUCAACUUAUUCUUCUUGGGAGGAACUGGGAUCUCCUGAGGAGUUUCUUCUUCAGCUUCUUCUGGAUCUUCAAACAUAGAAGUCUUUCUGCCAACAAGAUGGAUAGUUCUCUUCCUGGGCCUUUUCACACCAGCCUUCUUUGUAGGCGCUUCCUUAGAAAUAGCUUUGCCAUUCUUGGCAUACUCAGGUGCUCUCGGAUCAGUAGCACUAACAGAUAUCUUCCUGACAACUUUACUUGGAGGGGCCUUAGGAGGGGCUGAAGUUUCUUCUAGCAAAAAGUCUGAGUCUUCCUCAUCAGAAACUAUCUUCCUCCUUUGCCCGGUGGCUUCCUUGGGCAACCCAUGAGAACUAGGAGAACUUAGGUCUAAACCAGUCUUCUCUACACUUGUGCCUGAGUCCAUCUCGACACUCUACUCUCUGAAGUCAUUUUGACUAUCAUCUGAACCUAACAUACUGACACACACGCUCAGCAGCAAACAACACAACAUGUGAAGUGGAUAUAUGAAAGACAGAAUAGAUGAACAUCACAAAAUUCAUAUGUUUUUGAGAGUUUGAAGUUUGAAACUUAGGGUAUGAUCUUCUGCAGGAUGUAAAUCGGUGGCACCGAGUUGGCAUUUUCGGAGUCACCGAGAAGGCUUACUCGGUUAACACAGACUUGGCAGUCAUUUUCGGUGGCACCAAAAAGAGUUGCUCGGUCUCACCGAAUUGCUUCUCAGGAACCCUAAAACAAGAAUCGGUGGAACCAAUUUUACAAACUCGGUCUCACCGAUUUGCAUGCUGCGACAGAUCAUAUCCAAAAUUUCUACUUCUUCUACACUACGAGAUUCAUCUGGUGGAAGGAAGGGUAUGCACAUGGUGGCUCGAAGAAAAAACUUUCCCAAUGAGUAAGAAUCAGAUAGGGAACGCGAAGGAAAUUGGAUCCGUACCCUAACUUGGUGGCGGUCCAGCUAUGGCGACGAGGGCGGAGAAGAUUGCGUCGACGGCGGCGAAUCCUGGAGGCAGUGGAGCUCGGGGAGACAAAGGCGAUGAAUUGGGGUCUCGGGGGCAGCGAGGGUUUUGGCGAAUGAAACAUUUUGACGAAGUGAAGUCAAAGAUUCGGUCCAUGGAAUAUAUACCUGUGCACUGUCGGUGUCAUCGAGAUGGCAAAAUCGGUGUCACCGAGUUCCUCAACUGUGAGCAGACAGGGAAAUUCGGUCUAACCGAGUUGGCGAUUUCGGUGGUACCGAGAUUGGAAAACCUGAUCAACAUUGAAAAAUCGAUGGCAUCGAGUUUGUGGGGUUGGUCACACCGAGUUUUUCAAAGAGGUUUUGGAAGGCAGCCUUUGAUGAACGGAACUCCAAGUGCAUCUUCACACAGAGGGAUCGACAAGUGCUUGUUCAAGUUUUGUGAUAAAGCAUGAAUAGAACUUGAUAUGAGAUAGCAUAGAUAGCUAGAGAAGGGUCCUAGGAAUUCUUGUCCAUCCAAUUGGAAAAAUAUAAAUCAAAAGCCAAAUGACAACAAUUGUAUGUCCUCGAAUGAUCAAACACAUGCAUACCAACAUUCUCACAUGAUAAGAAUGAUGAAUAAAACAUGGUGAACAUGCACACACAUCCUAGCAACUAUCAAGCACUUGGGCGAUGACAAAGUCAUCUAUAUAUGAGUAUAUUGACAUAGGAGCCAAGUAAGAAUACUUGAUCAUAGGUCAUACUCAUUGUUAAGCACAAGUGGGGGGUUACAUAAGCAUUAAUAUGUUCAUAUCCUUAGCAGAUGAUUAUACUCAAGUCAUAAAGUAAAGCUUCCCCUUGAUAUGAUAUCCCCACUAAGAGGGAUCAACUAACCUUGGGUUUUGUCAUAGAAGACUUCAAGUAGGUGAAGUUGGGAGCAAUCCUUGUUGUUUUCAUACUUUUGUCACCUACAUGGGUUAGUCACAAAGCAAAAGGAACAUACGCAAGGAUAUCUAUGACAUGGAGUGAAGUACACAUGGGAUAAUGUCCAAAGAUGCAUUAAUUACCUUGUUCCUUUCUUACCUUUGAGGGAAUGUGUGACUCCUUGAACUAAUGCAUAUGGUUGAAGUUGAUUGCAUAUAGUUCUUGCCAAAAUGAAUAAGAGUGAAUUUCAUUGGCAGAGUCACCCCUCAAGAACUUCUAGUUCUUCCUCUUGGGAAUCCACAGCAAAUUGAUGGGAAUCCUUGGAGUUGUGGUAACACUUGCUGAGGUAGAGCUAGUAGUAUCCUUGGGAAUCCACUUGACCUUGGCUUGGGGUUCUUCUUCAAAUAGGUCAAUGUCAUCUUGAAGCUUUCCCUUGCCUUUGUGGUCUUGUGGUAGAAGGCCCUCUUGUGAGAUUAUUCCUUCGGAAGGAGUAGAAUCACACUUCUCUUCUUGGGAAACAACCUUGGGAGUGGGAUACGGACCUUCUUCCCAAACAUCUUCGUUGACGUUGAAAUAGCCAACACCUUGUUUCUUCGGAUGUCCUCUUUUCUUGCAAACAAUUUCCUCAAAUUUCUUACUUCCAAUAAGACUCUUAAAGACACCUCUCUCUAUAAUAACUUUCAAUAGAUCAUUUUCUUGCUCAAGUGUAACUUGUCUAAGAGAAUCGUUAGUGGAAUCAAUAGAGUCACUAGCAACCAUUAUUGGAUUUAGCUUUAGCAUUAUUGUUACUAGAUGAAGAAACCUUCUUGCCUUUGUUACUAGUGUUCCUAGAUUUAACUUGUGGAACAAAGUUAGACAAGAGUAAUCGUUUGUCUAGAUAAGAAGAACUCUUCUUUCAAAGAUCAUCAUUGAUUGCUUUUAAGAACUCAUGCUCUUGCUCCAAGUUGAGAUUCUCGAAGCGUAGCUUCUCAUGGGUUCUUGCAAGCUCUCUUUGAUCUUCUAGAGUAGUCUCAUGAGCUAACUUAAAAGUUUUUAAUUCUUGAGUUUUUCGUUCAAUUUCUUUCUUAUCAUCAUCAUUCGAUUUCUCUUGACUAGCAUGAUAAAUGGUAAGUUCAUUUUCAGUGCAUUCACUGGUUUUAUCUAGAAGCAAGUCAUCUUCUCCUAACAAGUCAUCCUCAUCAAUAUUGAAAUCAACAUAUUCAGGAUGUGAUACCUUGGGGCCUUUAGCCAUGAAGCAGUUUCCGACUCCCUCAUAUGGUGAAUCAAAUAAGUCAUAGGAGUUGGUGGAAAGAAGUGCAAUCCCGACAACACCUUCAUCGAAACUAUAGUUGGAGUUGGAGUGAUAGCUUCUCUCGGAGAGGUGACCAGACUCGGAGCCAGAGACCCAUUCACCAACAUGAUCUUGAUGUCUUCUUCUUGAACUGCUCUUGGUGUAAUUGUCCUUCUUCUCUGAUCCUUGCCUCUCCGUGAGUGUUUUCGUUCAUAGUGAUCUUCUCUACUCCUUCUUUCUCUACAAGAUGGCUCAUCUCUUCCAACUAGAAAAAUUAGUGCCAUCGAAGUAAGGACCUCCACGAUGAUAAUUUCCCUCACUAGAUGCUAUACUCUCCUAGGUUGCUAAACCAAUGAAAUGGAGACCAAGGCUCUGAUACCACUUGUAGAAUCGAAAGUAUGUCUAGAGGGGGUGAUUGGACUACUUGAAAAGAUAAUUUUUUUUGCCUUUUCCCAAUUUUACUUGAGAGGCAGCUAUGGCAGUUAUAACAAGUCAAGUACACCCUACACAUCCAGUUCUAAUAGUAUAGCAGUGGAAAGUAAACAUGCAAGUGUAAAGUAGAGGAGUAAGGUAGGGAGAUCAAAUGCAUGAGGUUGACACGGUGAUUUUUGGCAUGGUUCCGAUAGGUGGUGGUAUCGUACGUCCAUGUUAGUGGAGACUUCAAUCCAUGGAGGGUAACGGUUGCGAGAGUCCACGGAGGGCUCCACCCACGGAGGGUCCACAAAGAAGCGUCCUUUUAUAUUCCACCAUGGCUUACGUCCAUGGAGGACUAGCCUUACUCACGGUAGAUCUUCACGAAGUAGGAGAUCUCCUUGCCCUUACAAACAUCUUGGUUCAACUCCACAACACGAAGUAGGAGGCUCCCAAGCGACACCUAACCAAUCUAGGAGUAACCACCCUCCAAAAGGAAAUAGAUGGGUUAGAUCAAUGAACUCCUUGAUCUUGUGCUUCUAAAGAUAGUCUCCUCAAAACAAAUCACUCUCUCAUAGAAUAAUAUGCAUGGGUAGGAGAGGUUGAUUAGGUGGAAAGCAAUUUGGGGAGGCUAGAGAUCAAGUUUCAAAUAAUUGGAUUGGAAUAUCUUGGUCUUAACACAUGAUUUGGUGGUUCUCUCUCAGAAAAUGGAUAUGGAAAUGAAGUGUGUGUUCUGAGUGCUUCUCCCACGAAUGAGAUGUGGGUGAAGGGGUAUAUAUAGGCAGCAGCCAAAAUCCAACUGUUACACUCAAAAGUGCAAACUCGGUGACACCGAAGUGGACAACUCGGUGGUACCGACUAGUACUAAAAGUGUGAACUUUUGAAUCUCGGUGAGACCGAUAUAUAGAACUCGGUGGCACUGAAAAGGUGACUAACGGUGAGAUUACCAAACUGGGUGCCACCGAUACUUAAACUCGAAAACUCUGAUUUUUUGUAUCUUGGCAACAGAAUGUUGGUCACACUAAACUCGGUAGCACCGAUGCAGUUUCGGUUGCACCGAUUUGGUGGAAAUGGGUAGGGUUCUAUGUGAGGUUUGAACUUGGUGGGUCCGAAGUGGAAAUGUUGGUUACACCGAAUUUGUGAAUGUGGAACUUGACAGAGUGGGUAUGUGGGAAAAAUGAUCGAGUGUUUUGCUGGCUAACUUUGAGCAUUUGAGCAAUUAGUUCAUUUUACUACCUCACCGCCUUUUAAUAGUACUGGCUUUCCUAUGGACUCAAAAGUGAUUUCUGGCAAAUAUAAAAUGAAGAGUCUUCUAGCUUGAAGCUUGAGCCAAUAUUAUUCCUUUCUUGCAUCUAGGGGUAUCUAACACAAACCUUAAGCCAUAGCAUCUUUUGAACUUUUCUGAAAUAUACUUGGAAAACACAUUAGUCCAAUGAUGCAUAUGUUGUGAUCAAUUAUCAAAACCACCCUAGGAGUGAUUGUGCUUUCAAUCAGGCAUUUCAAUUAUAGGCACACACAUAGACAAAAUAGGUCAAUCAUAGCUUUCAUCAAUUUCAACAUUCUCAAGUUUUGUAGACUUAGCAAUAUGAGCAUGAAGCAUAUCGCAUAUAUAGUGGCACAUGUUCAAUUUCAUCUAGCAUAGUAGUGGCAUCACCAUUGUGAAAGUAUAGCUAGAUGAAAUUGGUUGCACAUGUUCAAUUUCAUCUAGCAUAGUAGUGGCAUCUAGCACAUGUUCAAUUUCAACAUUCUCAAGUUCUCUAGACUUAGCAAUAAGAAUGAUAGACUAUUCAUAUUAAUAAUAAUGAUAGACUACUCAUAUCAACAAGGAAUCCCGUUCGAAAAGAACUCCAAAGUUAAGCAUGAUUGGCUUGGAGUAAUUCUAGGAUGGGUUACUGACUGGCAAAUUGGUCCCGGGUGCUCACGAGUGAGGACAAAGUGCACAAGAAAGACUAGUGUUGGUCUGUGGGGCUAGUCUAGAUCCCGCCAAGCAUAACAAGGUGUUACAAUUGGUAUCAGAGCCGACCCUCGCGGUUACACGGGCAUGCAUAGGUUAGGUGCAUGGGCAUGUGGUGCAUGGAACGUGUGGCCUGUUGUGGCACAUGACAUUGAACAUGUGCCGUACUGGACGCGCGUACUUGUGCCAAGAGGGAAUGUUCAUGAUGGGUCGACGAGGACGUCGGUUCCUUUUAGUGGGGGUGUAUGUGAGAGCCUGGCCUAAUAGGAAUGAUAAACUAUUCAUAUCAACAAGGAAUUCCUUCUUUUUUGGAAUUCCAUUCAAAAAUAACUCCAAAGUUAAGCGAUGGUUCACUGACCAGGAAGUCGGUCCAGGGUGCGCACGAGUGAGGACAAAGUGCGCAGGAAAGACUAGUGUUAGUCUGUGGGGCUAGUCUAGAUCCUGGCAGGCGUAACGGGGUGUUACAAUCAUAAGUUCCAUUCAAAGUAGAAGUAGCAUCAUCAAUUACUUGCGACAUAUCAGAUUGAAUAACAUGUGGUGGUGUCGUGAGCUUACUCAAAACAGAUGAUGAAUCAAGUACAGAGCUAGAUGGUAAUUCCUUACAUGUCCUCGUCCUAGAGGGUUUGAUCUUGGUUUCAGCGUAUUUCAUAUUCUUCAUAUUGUCAAUUAAAAUCCCUGAUGAACACAAUAAAUAGAGUUAUGCUCCCCGACAAUGGCGCCAAAAAAAGGUCUUGAUAACCCACAAGUAUAGGGGAUCACAACAAUCUUCGAGGGUAGUACUUCACCCAAGUUUCUUGAUUCAACAAAACAGGAGCCAAAGAUUAUUUGUUGGUCUUGGCAGUUGAGUUUUCAAUUCAACUACACCUAGAAUUUUUUUCUGCAAUGAAGUUUUUAGUAGGAGAGUAGUGAAAGGAAUAGGAACAGUAACAUAAGCAGAUUUGUAUUGAUUGUAACACUAGUAGUAACAACGUAACUUAACGUAAACCAACAAGCGAAAAUCAUAGGCCAUGGGAGGGUUGGACAAAAGAUAUCGUGAAAUUCCUAUUAUAAGCACGCAUGACUAUAUACGAAAUACAUGCCCACAUUAUAUUGAUGAAUUGGAGCUAGUUCUAUGUCGCUCUAGUGUGUAACUGUUACAUGAUGAACAAAUGAUGAAUACAUGAACUCCGCAAACCAUGGUCAUCACCGGAGAUGAUUGCAAUUAUUGUCAACUUGGGGUCUACAGAUCAUAACACGUAAUAGGUGCAUACAACUUGCAAUAUAGGAUCCAAAACAUUCUCAUACUCAUGAAAACAUAAUAGAUUCAGAUCUGAAAUCAUGUCACUCGGGCCCUGGUGACAAGCAUUAAGCAUAGAAAACUCAUCGCAACAUUAAUCUCUGAACAUAGUGGAUACUAGGGAUCAAGCCCUAUCAAAAUAGGAAGUGAGCCUAGCUCACUUGGCUAGUGGAGUGGAUGUACAACCCAGCCACCCAAGUUCAAGUCCCCACGGGUGCGAAUUUGGGUUCUUAUUAUUUCAAAAAAAAACUCGCUGUGGGGGGGUUCCCUUACAGUUUUCCUUCAAAAAAAAGCCCUAUCAAAAUAACUCCAUUAAAUGACAAAUCCCAUCCCAAUCCCAUCAUCUUCCAGUAAGCGUAGAAAGGAAUUACUCACUCCCGGUGCUGAGCAUAAUGGAAUUGUUGAUGGAGAAGGGUUGGUGAUGACAACAAUGACAAUCUCCACUCUCGAGAGCCCCUAUCAAGCUCCAGAUCAGCCAUCUGUUGAUGAACAGAGAGGUGGUGGUAGCUUGUCUCAUAAAACGCGAUGAAAAAUUCUCUCUUAUUUGUUUCUCCAAAAAUAGGAAUUUAUAGGCUGGAGAUUAGGGUCGGUGGAGCCUCGUGGGCCCCACAAGGUAAUAGGGCAUGCCUAGGGGGGUGGACGUGCCAUAUUCUCCUGUCGGAAAGUGGUGUCCCCCUUCGAUGGAUCUUCGCUCCAGUAUUUUUUAUGUAUUCCAUAAAAAAUAUCCAGAAACUUUCGUCCAAUUCCGAGAACUUUGGUUUCUGCACAAAAGACAACACCAUGAUAGUUUGCUGAAAAUAACGUAAGUGGAUUAGUUUCAUUCAAAUCAUGCAAAUUAGAGUCAAAAAAAAAAGCAAAAGCAUUUGGAAAAUUAGAUACGUUGGAGACGUAUCAGCUCCGUCUUGUAAAACAUGAUGAAAAAUUCUCUCUUAUCUUUUCUCCUGAAAUAGGAAUUUCUAAGCCACAGAUUUGGCUCGGUGGAGCCUCGUGGGCCCCACAAGAUAACAAGGCGUGUUGAGGGGGUGCGUGCACCCUAUUGCCUUGUGGGCAACUGGUGGCCCCCCUCCGGUAGGACUUCGGUGUAGUAUUUUUUAUAUGUUCCAAAAAAUUCCUCCAAUAAGUUUCUUUCGGUUCCGAGAACUUUUAUUUCUGCAGAAAAACAACGCCAUGGUAGUUCUGCUAAAAACAACGUAAAUCCAUGUUAGUCUCAUUCAAACCAUGGAAGUUAGAGUCCAAAAACAAGAGCAAAAGUGUUUGGAAAAGUUGAUACGUUGGAGACGUAUCCUCCUCCUCAAGCAUCGGCUAGGCCGCCCUCCCUCGGCGGGUCGUUGAGAAUCUCACUCACUCUAACUACGAGGUGUGGCGUGCCCAGGUGACGCCAUAGCUGAGGGGAGCUCAUUACUUCGGCUACAUCGAUGGAUCCACGCGGAAGCCUAUCAAGUUCUUCACCAUGGUCCAUGAAGGACAAGGACGGGAAAUAAGAGAAAUGUCCAAUCCCUUUUGUACCAUCUGGUUCAAAGAGGGACAUCAGGUACUUGGAUACUUGCUCAAUAGUCUUAACGAUGAAUUUCUUGUGCAGGUUACUUCCAUAGCUACGUUGCAUGAACUCUGGGCAGCUCUUGCACACAUGUUCACGUCAGAAUCCAGAGCCCGUGUCAACAACAUCCGCGCCGCAUGCUCCACGGCAUAGAAGGGCACCCAAACAGUAGCUCCAUACUUUGCUCACAUGAGCUCAUUCGCUAAUGAGCUUGCAGCCAUCGGGAAGCCGAUCAAUGAUGACGAGCUAAUCUCCUACAUCACCAAUGGACUCGACAUGGAGUACCAUCCCGUCAUCUCCGCCAACGAGGCUCACACCGAGUCCAUUAGCCUUCACAACCUCUUUGCCUAGAUGAGAAAUUUUGACCAUCACCUCGCUCUCUACAACGAGGCAGGUUCCGGUGGGGGCUUCAAGUCCUCUGCCAAUGCUGCCUUCUGUGGCCACAUCGAUGGAGGCUCUUGUUACCGUGGGUCACAACGCAACAUGUGCAAGCCUUCGAGAGGAGGAAACAAUAUCGAUGGACAUCUAUCCUACAACAAGAACAAGGGCGGCCGCAACAACUCCUCUGGCAAGUCUUGCACGGGUGUAGAUGUCACACGCUACGAGAUUUGUGGCAAGUCGGGUAACACCACAUCUAACUCUUGGUAUCGUUUUGAGGAAGAUGAAGAAUCUUCCUAAGAUGAGAAGGUCGGAGCAGCGGAAGAUGGCUCGUAUGGCGUCGAUACAAACUGGUACAUGGACAGUGGUGCAACAAAUCACAUAGCAUGCGAGCUUGAAAAAGGGACUAUGUGUGAGAAAUACCGCGAGAUGGACCAAGUUCAUACUGCCAAUGGAGAAGGUACGAGAAUUAGUCAUAUUGGUCAUUUAGUAAUAAAACCUCCCCAUAGGAAAAUUCAUCUUAGAAAUAUUUCACAUUUUCCUAGGGCUUCGAAAAAUCUUCUUUCCGUUCAUCGCAUUGCCAUUAACAACCAUGCCUUUCUUGAGCUUCACCCGUUCAUAUUUUUUAUCAAGGAUCAGGUCACGAAGAAAGUCCUAUUUCUAGGUACAUGUGUUCGAGGGCUUUAUCCAAUGAUUCUGAAGCUUAGGAUAUUGAAUAAAAAGCAGAUGGUGUGACCAAAGUUUCUUCAACAUGGUGGCAUGAUAGAUUAGGGCAUGCCUCUUUUUAUUUAAUUGAGCAAGUGCUUAGGAAAAAUAAGCUCAUGUUUGUUGAUGAUAAUAGUUCUGAAACAAUUCGUGAUUCAUGUCAACGUACUAAGAGUCAUCAAUUACCAAGGUUAUCCCAUGUCUACAAGUAUUUAUACCAAGCCUCUCCAACUCAUAUUGUCUAAUGUUUGGGGUCCUGUGUCCACUUCUGUUGGUACACAUUCCUAUUAUGUGAGUUUUAUCAAUGACUACAACACAUACACUUGGAUCGACCAUCUUAGAAAGCAAUCUGAUGUAUUUCAUGUGUUCCAAAAUUUUAAGCACUUGUCAAAAGAAAAUUUGAUUCCAAAAUCCAAGAUGUGCAAUAUGAUUGGGGGAGGGGAAUACCACAAUCUAAAUUCGUGUUUCCAACAAAUUGGCAUAUCCCACCAUGUGCCAUGUCCUCACGUUCAUCAGUGGAAUGGAUAUGCAGAAGUAAAGCGCAUGCACAUUAUUGAAGUAGGCAUAAUAUUGCUUGUUGUUGUAUCUACGCCAUUAAAAUUUUGGGAUGUAGUUGUCCUUACCGUAGUUCAUCUCAUCAGCAUCACUACACAUCUUUACGAGUGUUCGGGUGCGCUUGUUUGCCAAAUCUUUGCUCAUACAAUAAUCGUAAGCUCAUGUUGAGAUCCAUGAAAUGAGUCUUUCAAUGUUAUAGUCCAAAACACAAAGUAGUAAAAUGCCUUGAUGUAUUCACUAGCCGUGUCUACAUUUCUCGUGACGUUGAGUUUGAUGGAACUCGUUUUCCCUUUGUACAUCUCCAUCCGAAUGUCGGAGCUCUCCUCCUAAAAGAGAUCCUUCUUUUGCCAUCUCAUCAAAUCUGUAUUGAUCAUGGGGACCAAUUAAAUACUGAUGAUCAAUUAUAGACUAAUCCUCUUACUAAUUAUGAACAUGAGUGUUGUGAUUAAACAGAAAAAAGGUGCAGAAAAUGGUGAAGAAAUCAGCCAGAAUCAUCAUUUUAUGACUACUCGACAUGGCAACAGCGGUACAUGGGUGAAUCCUCCUCAGGAUCAUGGCAUACCAACCUCGGGAUCUUCCCUCUGCAGGUUUGUCCCACUAUCUCCCACGGGAUUGGCGCUGGAUGAGGCAGACUAAUCUUCCCAGGGAUUUGCAGCGCGUCACGACGAGCACAACGACUCGACGGAUUGCAUCGACUCUCACACACCAUCCAACCAUGCCGUUACGCGCCAUUCUCUUGAUUCCAUGUGGUCCUCUGGGGCACAUACCGUGCUUGGAUGGUUCGGCACCAAACCGUGCUGCUACCUAUGGUGCGCCAGGCCGACAGGUCCCUUUCGGGAUACAGUGUUGUCUCUGGUGGAAGAUCCCCUGUGCAACUCUCCCGGUCUUUUACGCCGGCUCUUUUACCACCACGGACAAGGCUUCAAAGGGGACUAACUAAACCCAAAAUUUAUAAACGUAUUGCAGAAUUUGGUCUUACUUAUUAUAUAGAUGAACCAAAUAUUGUGGCAGAAACUUAGGUGAUACACGAUGGAACAAGGCUAUGGAAGAGGAGCACAUGACGCUUCAAAAAAAUAAAACAUGGCACUUAGUUUUGAGAAGUCAAGGUAAAAAUGUGAGAGAUUGCAAACGGGUUUUUAGAAUAAAAAGUAAAUCUGAUGGAACCAUCAAUCACUAUAAAGCUAGAUUAGUUGAAAAGGGCUUUAAGCAAAGUUAUGACAUAGACUAUGAGGACACUUUGAGCCCUGUUGUAAAGGCUGCCACUAUUCAUCUUGUCUUGUCUAUUGUUGUGUCCAGGGGAUAGAGCCUAUGACAGCUAGAUGUACAUAAUGUGUUUCUUCAUGGUGUUCUAGAAUAGAAAGUGUCAUCAGACAACCUCCUGGGUUUGAGAACAAAAAUAAACCAUUUCAUGUAUGCAGGCUUGAUAAGGCCUUGUAUGGACUGAAGCAAGCUCCUAGGGCAUGGUACUCCAGAUUGAGCUCAAAACUUCAAACAAUUGGGUUUUAUCCUUCCAAGUUUGACACCUCACUUUUCAUUUACAAUAAGUGAAAUACCUCUAUAUUUGUGCUUAUAUAUGUUGAUGACAUCAUAGUUACUAGUUCAUUAAAUGAGGUUAUUACAUGACUAUUAAAUCACUUGAACUGUGAGUUUUCUCUUAAAGAUCUAGGAGACAUGCAUUAUUUUCUUGGUAUUGAAGCGAGUAAAAUUGGAGAUGAGCUUAAUAUAUGUCAACAAAAAUAUGGGACUGAUCUUAUAGCUAGAGCAUGAUUGCAGAGUUGUAAGCCAUCAUGAACACCAUUGUCCAGCAUAGAAAAAAUGUCCUUGUCAUAAGGAGAACUCUUGGACCAAGAGGAUAGCACCAGGUACAAAAGUAUGGCUGGUGCACUUCAAUACUUAACUCUAACUAGGCCUGAUAUUUGUUUUGCCAUCAAAAAAGUAUGGCAAUUUCUUCAUGCACCUACUAUAGUACUCCCUAUGGACCUAAAUAAUUGUAGUUGGGGAGAACUAGUCUAGUUCUUCCCAACUACAAUUAUUUAGGUACGGAGGGAAUACAUUUGAAAGCUGCAAUAUGCAUACUUAGAUAUGUUAAAGACACCUUGAGCAUUGGACUAACAUUCAGCAAGUCACCAUCAACUCUUGUCAGUGCAUUCUCUGAUUCUGAUUGGGCAGGUUGUCUGGAUGAUAGAUGCUCAACAUGUGGGUUUGCAGUAUUCUUUGGUCGAAAUUUCAUUUCUUGCUGUGGAAAGUAACAAGCUAUUGUGUCCAGGUCUAGCACAGAGGCAGAGUAUACGACAUUAGCUAACGCUAUAACCGAAACUAUUUGGGUUCACUCAUUGCUGAAAGAGCUUGGGAUAUGAUCCAAGCAAGCUUCGUGCUUAUGGUGUGAAAACCUUGGUGCCACAUAUCUUUCUAAUAACCCGAUCUUUCAUGCAAGGACCGAAAAUAUUGAAAUAGAUUUUCAUUUUGCCGGAGAAAGAGUUCCUACCAAGAAAUUGGACACAUUCUCAAUAUCAAGUUGUGGAUGGUUUCACCAAGGCCUUACCCACAAGAAGUUUUGAUGAAUUUAAAUCUAAUCUCAACUUGAAUAAGUUGUGAUUAUGGGAGGGUUUAAACGAGAUGUGACAUAUGCCACGUACACAUGAGGUGCACCAUCCAUACCAUGGUCCGAUUUAGUUAGUUAGAGAUAGGGUUAGGCAUUUUUGUAUAACCACUUCAUCUCUAUAUCUUCCUCUUUUCUUCAUUUUCUAGAUGUAAUCUCAUUGUAAUCUCAACAACUUGUAUGCAUAUCUCACAGACAAGCCCCUACCUAUAUAAACAUGCAACCAUCACCUCUAACAAGGUACAACGUUCAUCGCUCAUUUUUACUUAGAUGCUAGCGCCCUUUGGGGAUAAUUUGGUGUUUUCCAUGAUCCAUCCAUAGUUAUCCUGGUUUCUUAAAUGCCAGCACCCUUUGGGGAUAAUUUUAAAAUUAAUGUUUGAUCUACAUGUUUCCCGUAGCUUACAUAAGUUAACGGUUCAAGCUAGUCAUCAUGGUGGCUUUGGUAUAGAAGAAAACAAGAAAUUCAAUUGUGUGAAUGGUGCAAGACUAUUGAUCCACUGAAUCCUAGCAUAAAUUCAAGCUUAGCUUUCCUAUUUCCGUGUCAUCGAACAUGAUCGUCGAGUGCAGGGGCCUUGGUGAGUCAGAAUCCUCAAAAACAUCAACCAAGACAUGCAUGUGCUUUUUUUGCUAAAGAACAACCUUGAGUCAAUGGAGAUCCAUAUAAAUUGUUGUGAAGAACCAAGACAACUAAGUAAUUAUGAUCGAUAGUGCAAACUUGGAUCUUGGGAAAGGAAACUCGAUUUCAAGCAUAGAUUUCAUCUCUGGCUCGUCGUUAGUAGUGACUUCAAAAAGUUCGUUUUCAAAGUCAAGGAAGACAUCCCAAAAGAUUCCGUCCUACCAAAAUGCCGCUAUAAAUAUCGGCCUCACAUCCGAGAGCACUUUGUACAUGUGCGAGCAUUUGGCUUUGAGUGUGCGUCCGUCACGCACCCUGUCAAGCUAUUUCAUUCCUACCACUUAACUAUUGGGUCAUGGCAUGCCAUGUUGCCAUCAUGUAUGUCGUUCUUUGGGAUGCACGCAUGGUAUUUCUACUUUAAGGUUUGCCCCGAUGGUCAACGUGUAACGCCCAAGAUACUAUCCUAUCCUUAUUUUCUCACGAGGACCUCGACAGGAAUAGAAGCACAUCCCAUCGUUUUGCAAGAAUGGAUAUCUUUACAAGUACAUGUACAGAAGUGAUGAGUAUAUGGAAUUGGCUUACAGUCUCCACAAGCUACAACAUGAACAACACAAUACAACAAUAUGUUCAAUCACCAUGUGGAAGAGCACGGUCCGACUAUGGACGAAAACAAACGAUAAAAUAAUGACAUCCAUCCUUGCUAUCCAAAGCUGCCGGCCUGGAACCCAUCCUAGAUCAAUGAAGAAGAAGAUGAAGAAAAAACUCCAAAUAGAACAAUCAUCGUGCUCACGUCAAAGUAUCACUUACCUGUACAUGGAACUGUUGUUGUAGUAAUCCGUGAGCCACAGGGACUCAGCAAUCUCAUUUCCGAAGGUAUCAAAACUAGCAAAGCUUAAUGAGUGAAUUAUGGUUAAGUGGUGAGGCUGCAACAAGAAACUAAGCAUUUAUUUGAGUGGCUAACUUACGAGUACAAGAAUAAGAGAGGGGUGAUCUACGCAUAAACGGACGUGAGCUAACAAUGAUCUCAAAGUGAUCCUGAACACCUACUUACGUCGAACAUAACCCCAUCGUGUCCUCUUCCAGAUGGAGAACUCAUGAGAAGAGACAAUGAGAGUUUCCCACACAGUUUUCAAGUUUUAAUUAAGUUUACUAGAACCGGAUGUUAAACAAAGUUUCCAAGUUUCCACAUAACCACGGACACGGCUUUCCGAAAGAUAUAACCCUGCAGGGGGGGCCCAACUAGUCCUUCAGAAACUACCACAAGCUAUGCCAGAAACCUCGACCAGGGAAAACCCGCGAUCUCCUCAACUUACUACUAGAAAACCUCAACCUCGAGAUAGCCCAAAGUAUCCUCGGAAUCCCUUGCACAAGACGUUUGAGAAGGGUAAAACAAAUCCAGCAAGGCCCCCAGCGAGUCGAUGAUCCUAGCCGUGUAUCUCGUUCUUAGGACACGACAGAUGAGCGACGCAUACAGUGGCCUAAUAGACAUUACCCGAGUUGCCCCAGGUUGGCCCCGCACGGUGCUCUAUUUAGGACCAACACCAUCAACACUUUCCCUCCAUGUAUUAUGUUAAGUUAAUCCACACGUAGCGCUAACUCGCUAUGUGUUACUAGCGGUGUUCAGUAUUAUUAUGUUGGGCAAAUAUAGUACCAAUGUUGGGCCUUGCCGAAAGAGUUUUAUCCCAAAACAAAAAUAUAGGGGGUCCGCAUAACAACCCCAAGAAUGUUAAGAGCACUCAAUAUGGAACUUAACACCGGUAGCCGAAACUACGGCGGAAAAAGAGGAACAAAACACCCAGCCAGAAGGCCAAGGCUUCCACCUUUUACCAGGUAUAUAGGUGCAUUAAAUUAAAUAGCUAUAAUAUGGUGAUAUAACAAGGAACCCAUAUUUUCGCAUGGAAGAAAUUGCAACGGCAACUAGCAGCGCUAUAAGAAGGCCGAGCGAGCGGUAACAUAGCCAACCAGUGUUUUGCUGGGUUGUGGAAAGGAUAGAGGCUUUUCAUGGCAAUGUUGUGAGGCUGACAUUUAAGUGGUAGGCAACGAGACAUAUCGAUAGAAACGAGACAAGCUAGCAUAGCAAAGAUAGUAAAGGUAUCUAGGGAAAUGAUCAUCUUGCCUGUGAUCUCGCUUGGAAGAAGAACGAAUCUGUGAUGCAGAUGAACAAAUGUAGUCAAAUGAAUCCUCACACUCCGACACGCUUUUUUAACUCUAUCGAGAAGAAGUAAUCCAGAAACAACAAUCAACACACGAUAUUCACCACAACAUAUGCAUGACAUGAUGGACAAAAACAUAUGAUGCAUGUCCGGUUUAAUUAUGCAAGGCAUGGCAAAUCACAACAAUUAAAUACUACACAUUAAGUGAAUCUCAACAUGCAACUCGUUGCACGUUGACGAAACUCCAUAAUUAAAUUAUUUAGUUCACUCCCAUUUAGGAACACGACAAUAUUAAAUAUUGUUAAACAUGGCAAGAGGUGAAACAUAAAUAAACUACCUAUCUCGGCAUCUGAAGUGAGGUCGACAACAACAUAUAGUAUUUUUGAAAUGACCCCAUGUGUUAAUUUCAAAAUUGAUCCAGAUCUGAACUGAACAAAUUUUAUAUUUAUUAAACAACAAAAUAAAGUUGACCAUGUUAUUCUACACAUUAUUUCUAGGCAAGUUACAUAUAUCAUUCAUUUAAUUCGGAGCGACGGUUAUUUAAUUAUGAAAUAAAUUAUUUUAGCAUGACAUUAGGCAAUUUAUAUGAAAUCACCUAUUAAAUGUUUUGCAUGGAUGUAGAUAACAUGAUUAAAUCGAUGUAAUUUAAUAACACAUAGGCAUAUGAUAUGAUAUCGAGUAUUUGUCGCCACGGCGGAAGAAUUGGGUGCCACAGCAACGAAAAGCGAUGCCACAGCAACGUUACGGUUCUGAUAACUCGAUGAGAUACCGGUACAAACAAAUUGCGAGCGUGAGUGUGUCAUGCCAAAGAAUUAUGUGGUGAUCCCAAUUACCGGGUUCCCAUGUGUAGGUGGCAUGAAAAAGAGGUACGGGCAAGGAACAAUCGCACACGAUGCAACACGAGCAUCUCAUACAACAAUGCAUUCAUCCAAGAGCGAUCGUCUCAAUGUUAUACCUUGGAAGCGUGCGUCUUCAAAGUGGAUCAAGUUGUAGUGGAAGUAGUCAAAGUAGUUGUACACGGGUCUUCGGCAACGGUAAUCAUACACGAGUUGGAGAGGUGCUUGAUGAAUCUGAGCUUCUGGUGGUCCUGGACUUGGCGAUCCGUACUUCUAGCAUACUGGUACAGCGCGUGGGUCUUGGUGGUCUCCGAGGAACUCGGUGUGGUAUUGACCAAAAUGAAUGAACACCAACAAGGUCUCGGUUCAACAGUGUGUCUCCGGGCGACGGGUUCACUUGGCUAAAAAGAACCAACCACAUCCGAAGGCAGUCGAUGUGAGGCAAGCCCUGUUGAGUAAGUAGGCAAUUUUUCGAGCAGAUUAAUCCAUGAAAUAAUUACUAACAUGGCAUUGACUAGGUUCAUGACAUACUGAUCACGGAGUAUACUAGCAAGUACUACGCAUAUAGCAGAAACAUCUACGCAUAUAGGCAAUACUACUAGUGCAGACAGAAACAAGAGAGAGACGAACACAUCAUACCCUCCGAUCGGCCAGUUGGCCGUAGCAGCAGCGGCGGCGGCGGCAGUAUCCUCUGCCGCCUUGUUCUCAGCUUCGGCCUUCUCGCGGAGAUGGUCAGCUUCGCUUGGUGAAGACAUGGCGAUGACUAGGGCGAUGCGGACGUAGACGAAGCAGACGGACGGAGGCGAGCAGUCGCGUGAUCGCUCCCCAAAAACCUAAUCGCCCCUCUCCCGUACAGGAACCGGAGAGGCGAGUUUUCGAAGGCCUGUUGUCCCGUCGACCGUGUACGCGGUAAACGGGACGGAGUCGCCGGCGGCAACAGCAGUCAAGGAAGGAACGCGUGAGGCAGAUGUGAUCUGAUUCUCGUGACGGCUAGGGUAGGCGAUAGCGUGCUUAUAAAGGCGGCUGGGUGGAGAGACGUGGGCCAAACCCACGUCCGAGUCGGUAACAGCCACGAUCCGAUGUCUCGGAUCGUUCCUUGUCCGUUACGUAUUCUCCGUUCCUGGCCGGCAAAAAUAAGCGCGUAGGUAUGAGCUCGGCUCGGCUCAUUCCCGCAACCCGCGGCGCUGCGCGGUGCGUCGCGUCGCGACGAGGCAUGGCGAGGCGGGCGGCGGAGGAGGAGUGCGCGAGGGCACCUUCUCUUCUCACUCUCCAAUAGCAUGUGGAAGAGAGACCCUUAUAAAGGGGUCCAAGUUCUCCUCCACUAGCGGGGUGGGACUAAACUUCCUACCACCUUGUCAUGCCACCACCUACAUGGGCCCUUGGAGAUUUUCUGAAAUUCUCUAAUGGGCCUAAAGCCCACUACCAACUUCAACAAUCCCCCACCAGAUCUCAAGGGCACAUCGUGUUCCCUCGUUCCAAUCACUGUUUUAAUAUACCAGCAUUUCAAUGAAGACCUCUUAAGGUUGAGCUUCACCUAGAACCAGUAGCUACACCCCUUUACAACUGAACAAUGGACUAUGCCUUGCAUUGUCAGUUUGGCGUAAAGGAGCUUCACCACAAGUCUUACUAGUACUAGACUGCCGAAGGUGACCCCUCGGGUGGAGCAUAUUAGUCACACUCCUGGCCUAUUCAUGAGUUUACUAGAGAUCACCCAAAUCUCAUAGACUGUGACCAGCAGUCAAGCUCAUAUAGGUGUGUUCCCCCAAAGAUCGCUCUGUAGGACAGCAUCUUGCUUACAUAUAAGCCUUAGAACACAUUAAGACAGUAGUCAUCCUACCAUACAGUAUCCGAGAGUAUUGCAUCUCCAACGGAGUGGGUUAGUAAGGUUACUCUCCUCAGUUCACCACUGGCUUGUUUUCCCAGGUCCUACUUCACAGGAUCUCCGAUCAUAUAGGUUGGGUUACUACCAUGGAAACUCAUGUGGGUCUCAUACCCAUCUCCCUCGAUGCACUAUCUAUCACAACACGUGAUAGCCCUUUAGUAAAGGGAUCUGCCAGAUUCUUAGCCGUUUGGAUAUAAUCCAACGCUAUCACUCCGGAAUUUCUCAAACGUCUGACACACUUCAAUCUCAUUCUUAUAUGUUUGUUGGACUUCAUAUUGUCCUUUGAACUCUUCACUUUAACAAUAACUGUUUGAUUAUCGCAGUUCAUAAGGAUAGCCGGAACCGGCUUCUCAACCACAGGUAAGUCCAUCAAAAGAUCUCGAAGAAAUUCUGCUUCGACACCAGAUGUGUCUAAUGCUGUUAAUUCUGCUUCCAUUGUCGAUCUUGUUAAGAUCGUUUGCUUGCAAGACUUCCAGGAAACAGCACCACCCCCAAGAGUAAACAUAUACCCAGUAGUGGCCUUCAUCUCAUCAGCACCAGAGAUCCAAUUCGCAUCACUAUAGCCUUCAAGUACCGAUGGGAAUCCCGUAUAGUGAAGCCCGUGAUUGACAGUACCUUUCAAGUAGCGCAUAAUUCUUUCAACAGCACGCCAAUGAACAUCGCCCGGGUUUGCAACAAACCGGCUAAGUUUGCUCACAGCAAAAGCGAUGUCAGGCCUCGUUGCGCUAGCUAGGUACAUAAGUGAACCGAUAAUUUGAGAGAAUCUCAAUUGAUCUAUAGCUGUGCCUUUAAACUUUCGAAUAAGCACACUAGGAUCAUAUGGUGUUUGAAAAAUUUUGGAGUCUGAAUAUCCAAAGCGACUCAAAAUCUUAUCAACAUAAUGGGAUUGCAGAAGUGUAAUCCCACCCUCAUCAUCUCUCAACAGCUUGAUGUUCAAGAUAACAUCAGCCACCCCAAGGUCCUUCAUCUCAAAGUUUUGAGACAGAAAAGACUUUACCUCCUCAAUUACUUUGAGGUUGGUUCCAAAUAUCAGUAUGUCAUCAACAUACAAGCACAAUAUAACUCCUUCGCCCCCACCAUGGCGAUAGUAUACACAUUUGUCAGCUUCAUUAACAACGAAGCCAACAGAUGUCAGAGUUGUAUUAAACUUCUCAUGCCACUGCUUAGGUGCUUGUCUCAGACCAUAUAAAGAUUUCAGCAACUUACACACCUUUCCUUCCUGACCUUCUAUCACAAAGCCAUCUGGCUGUUGCAUAUAGAUUUCCUCAUUUAACUCUCCAUUCAGGAAAGCCGUCUUAACGUCCAUUUGAUGAACGAGAAGACCAUGAGAGGCCGCCAAUGAGAGUAGUACUCGUAUAGCAGAAACAUCUACGCAUAUAGGCAAUACUACUAGUGCAGACAGAAACAAGAGAGAGACGAACACAUCAUACCCUCCGAUCGGCCAGUUGGCCGUAGCAGCAGCGGCGGCGGCGGCAAUAUCCUCUGCCGCCUUGUUCUCAGCUUCAGCCUUCUCGCGGAGACGGACACCUUCGCUUGGUGAAGACAUGGCGAUGACUAGGGCGACGCGGACGUAGACGAAGCAGACGGACGGAGGCGAGCAGUCGCGUGAUCGCUCCCCAAAAACCUAAUCGCCCCUCUCCCGUACAGGAACCGGAGAGGCGAGGUUUCGGAGGCCUGCUCUCCCGUCGACUGUGUACGCGGUAAACGGGACGGAGUCGCCGGCGGCAGCAGCAGUCAAGGAAGGAACGCGUGAGGCAGAUGUGUCUGAUUCUCGUGACGGCUAGGGUAGGCGAUAGCGUGCUUAUAAAGGCGGCUGGGUGGAGAGACGUGGGCCAAACCCACGUCCGAGUCAGUAACAGCCACGAUCCGACGUCUCGGAUCGUGCCUUGUCCGUUACGUAUUCUCCGUUCCUGACCGGCAAAAAUAAGCGCGUAGGUAUGAGCUCGGCUCGGCUCAUUCCCGCAACCCGCGGCGCGUCAUGACGAGGCGAGGCGUGGCGUGGCAUGGCGAGGCGGGCGGCGGAGGAGGAGUGCGCGAGGGCACCUUCUCUUCUCACUCUCCAAUAGCAUGUGGAAGAGAGACCCUUAUAAAGGGGUCCAACUUCUCCUCCACUAGCGGGGUGGGACUAAACUUCCCACCACCUUGUCAUGCCACCACCUACAUGGGCCCUUGGAGAUUUUCUGAAAUUCUCUAAUGGGCCUAAAGCCCACUACCAAUUUCAACAAGCCCUAGGUCUUGCGAGACUAGUUGAACCCAAACAAAGCAAAGCAAGGCUCUGGUAGCGGUGGUGGAUGGCUACAUGACUCCGGUGGUGGACGGGCGCAAUGGCAAACGGUGCCUGAAGGAGGGAGCAGCGGCAACAUGGGAGUAUACGAGCAGCGACUCGAGUUAGCAAAGUAACUAUAGGAGGGCAGGCAGACAGCGGGGCGACGAGCUCCAGCAGGAGGCGAUGCUCGCGACUCGCGAGGAGGUGGACAACAGAGACAUCAUGCAAAAGCAACAAGCAGUAGCAGCCAGGAGGGGCGUGAUAGGCUGCGGCACCAUGGGGCCCAAGGUGCAGCGGAUUGCCAUGGCAGUGGCUCCGUCGACCUCAGUGUUAGGGAGGCACGGGGAGGCGAGGAAGGGCAGGGGCAGACGAAGCACGACGCGAAAGGAGCAGCAGUGCUGGAGCCGCAUCACGCAAGAGGAGGCGUUGUUCGGUCAAGGAGGCACGAGGAGGAGGCCUCAGGUGCGGGGUAGCGGUGGUCGAGCUCCAUGGCGGCUGGGGCGCCCGGGCAACGGCGGGGACGCAGUGAAGUCUCCCAGCUCGCCCGCUGGUGGGCUUCAUGGCUAGAGGGCCAUGUCGGGGUAAGCACGGAGCAGCGAGCGCCAGUGAGGCGAGGGAAUUGAGCGCUGGGCGUUGCUCCUCUUUGUUGCGUGCGAGAUCGAGGAGGUGGCGAUGACGGGAGAAUGGACAAUGGAGAGGGGAUCAAGGGAGCGAUGAGGGGACUGAGAGGAGAGGGUUGAUGAUCGGGCUAGGGUUACUCAGGGUUUAGGUGUGCUUUAGGGGAAGGUUGGGCCUUGGGCUGCAAGGUGUUGGCUGGGCUUGCUCUCUCUCUCUCUCUCUCUCUCUCUUAUACUCUUAAGAAAAAAAUAGAGAGAUAAAUAAAAUUAAGAGAAGAUGUUAUGGAGAAGAAUAAAAUGGAGGGGCAUAUGUAGGGCUUUAUGAAAUAUUUCGAACCAAAAAAGUGGUUUCAACAAUUUUAAGGAAGCUAAAUGCACAAUUAUUUGACUUGAGCCAAAUGAGUUUGAAUUGAGGCUAGGCUUUUAGAAUGUCCAAACACCAUGAGAGUUUCGGAUGGAUCUUCGAAAAAAAAUAUGAAAGAAUGACCGCAAAGUUCGGGACCAAAUUUGAAGUAGAAAAGCAUGGGAUUGAAAAUGUAAGUAUGUUCAUGGGUGAUUCCAAAAUAAUGGAAUACUUUAUAGUAGCUCCCUAAAAUAUUGGGUGGGUUUGUUAUAAAGAGAAUCAUCAUGUGAAUCCCUCAAUUUAAAUAGAUCCAAAUAUCUAUGCAAUUUAUUUAUUUGAUAUGCACAAAAUUUAAUGACAUGAUGGCAUGGUGACAUGAUGAAUGCAAUAAACAAAUAAAUCACACGCAACAACGGGAUAAAACGGAAAUCUUCUGUAGCGUCGGUUCCGGGCUGCUACACAACACGGGCCAUAUUGUGACGCGGGCGGUUCAGAGUUGUCUCUCCGGGAAGGUAAGGUUCGGCGCAGUGUGAGAGGUGUUUGUGGUUGGUGAGUUUCAUCUCCUUAUUGGCAUAGUAGGCGAUGGUGGUGGUUGUGGCAUUUCUGCACCACUAGUCACAUCGGAGCCAAAGGUCGCAGAUGUGACGAUAUGCUAACUUGCUGGGGCCGAUGCCACAUGGCUAUGGCCAAGAAUUGCUCAGCAAUGGCUGUCGAAAGUCACCGGUUCAUGUCCCUACGAGGUUCACCGGCGCUGGCUACGGACGCACGCGUGGGUGCUUCCUAUGAUGGAAGCACUGAUCCAAAAUUGAUUGUUGAUGCUAGGUAAAGAGUGCACGGAGAGUCCUCCACUCUUCCUACCAUGGUGGGUGCAUCGUUAAGUGUCCAAUUGGACAUGUCUCGGUUAUGGAUACCGAGGUGGCGGUCUGCAUUGUUAGCUCUGUGCGGUUUCCAUGGCGGCAUUGACUAUGCUUCUUGGUCGUGUGAACGACGAGGGGUAAAGGGUCAAGUUGUGACAUCCCCGGAUUAUGCUAUAGUAACCCCUUGUAAUUAAGCUAAGGUAACAUGGGGAUUAAGCUAAUCCAUUUUGUUAAUUCCAAUGUGAUCACGUUUGGAAUCUAUCCCUCAUUCAAAUUCCUUUGCAAUUCAAAUUCAUUUCAGAAGUGGAUUUAAAUUUUUUGCAAACUUCAAAAUAAAAAUCAUGCUUAGGUUGCAAAUAUUCCCUAAGUUAUAUUAAAAUUGGAAGAAACAUUUUAUGGAUUAAUUUGGUGCCUUAAAAUAAAUGAAAUAAAGGCCAAAUAAAUUAUUAAAUGCCCUUUUGAUUUAUGUAAAUUUCAGAUAAAUUCAAAAGUGCCCCAAACAAUUUGUGGCAAUACCUUAUUUAGCAACACAAGUAAUGGACCCUAUCCAAUAUUUUUACAAAAGUGUUUUUGCUUACUAAAAUAAUCAAAACAGAAAUAAAAAAAUAAAAAAGGCCAGACCCCUCCCCCCCCCACACACACACAAUGGGCCUCGACCCACCUAGCCUCUAGGUCAGCCCGACCGGCACACCCCGGGGGCUAUACCCCCCAUUCCCCACUAACACCGCACCCCACUCGCCCCCACUCUCCCCUCCCCCUCCCCUCUCAAUCAAGAUCGGAUCGGGGCCCAUGCCGAGGGUGCCUCCUAAGGCUCGCGCCGCCCCGCCAACGGCGAUCCUCCUCGCCGGUGCUGCACCACCGGCGCACCACCAUGCCACCACCUCCUCGAGCCUCCCCUACGCUCACUACCUUCCCCUUCACCAGACUGUCAGCCCCUCGCUCCUCCUUCUCCCUCCGGUCCAGUGCCCCCCUCACUCUUGUGACCUUGUCCUCCCCAGCCACCACACCGAUGGCACCCCAUCAUGUCGCGACGUUCCCCUCGCCUGCCCACGGCCGUUGCCCCCAUUGUCGGCUGCGCCCGUCCCUUCCCAUGUUCCCUGGCCGCGGUCGCCCUUGCACGCUCGCUGCUGCCCCUGGCCGUUUGGAUGCUUUCUGCAAUGAAGUCGUGCCUAGGUCUCAUCCUCCAAGACGUGGUCGCCCCCACAACCCUGCAACCCCAUUCCAUGCCCCAGUCAACCCUGGAACUAUGGCAACCGGAGAAGCCCCAUUGGUUGUUGAGCCCGUCAGCUCAGAGGUCAACAAAGGCGGAACAAGUCCAUUUGAGUAGGUGUCAACCCCCAAUAAUCGUGUUGCCCUGCAAUGCUAUAUUCGUACAUUUUUAUGAUGUUGUAGUAAGUCUGGUUUAAAUAAAANNNNNNNNNNNNNNNNNNNNNNNNNNNNNNNNNNNNNNNNNNNNNNNNNNNNNNNNNNNNNNNNNNNNNNNNNNNNNNNNNNNNNNUUGUGUAACCAGCAUAGACUAGUUGACAUAUGACCCUAUAAUAAAAUUUUGAGCGUGACCACCAAAGCCACCUAACCAACUACCCGAGUGGUGUGUCACCUUGGGAGUUGAUAUCCGAGACCCCGCCCCGAUAACCCAGGUCACACAAGUGAUAAACUGUGAGUCCCUAAACCAUGCACUCUGUAUGAGGCCACACCCAUGACCAUCCAAAGCACGCCUCACCAGGUACCCUUCCCCACAGCCUGUUUUCCCCAUGAUUGCACAUUGGGAUUCAUGUGGGAAGCCUAGAUGCAACCCAUAGCAAAAACUCGUGUUUCCUCGCAGCCCAAUGUAGAGAAGCCCGAGUGUGACCACCCUUGUCCCAUAUGUCAACGCCACGAGCGUUUGACCCUUGCUGUUGAGAAUCCUCAGAUUCCCCCGGUAGACCGUUGUUGUGGGGCAAGAGAGGGAACGUUGUCCAAAGUCCUCCAAGUAGGAGCGGAGUGUGUCCCCAUGAUCGGGGUAUUUCCUACGAGCCCCAUCGCUCAUGUCUUAUUGACACCAUCGGAGUGUACGUCAGUCCAACAUUAUAUUUUCAUGAUGCUAUAAGAAUGACUGUGUGCCAUACGAUUGCCUUGAUUGCACCUGCAUAUGCAUGUCUUUGUUCCAUUUUUUCACCCAUAUUAAUUUUGUUUCACUAAGCAAAUCUCACGGACAAGAUUUAUUUUUAGGGGGGUAUUGUUUGUCACGCCCGAAAAAUUUAACCGUAUUUUAGUAAUUAAAAUAUUGCCUGAAAUAAAACUUUUCAAGAUGAUUUGCUUCUUUGCUUAUUUGAGAACCUCUUUUCUAAGACUUGUCCCUCCAAGUAGACUUUUGAAAAACAUUAUGGAUUUGAGUAUUGGUAUAAAUUCAUUUGCAUUUCAUUUUACAAAUUUAGUAGGGAAUUAUUUUUAUAAAACUCUUGUUAAAUUGAAAUAUUUUAAAGGCAUCGUCGUCCUUUUAAGAGCUUGUGUUACACUACAACCAUUUCAUAAUCCUAUUUAAAAUUCCACAAAAAUUAGGAGAUGUCAAGGGAGGCAUAUGAUUAACUUUUAUGCAAAAAUCUUUUCUUGUUCUUUGGAAAAUUUGAGCAAAGUAACCCUUUUUCUACUUUGGUCCACUUUUGCAAUUUGAACUGCAACCCUAUUCUAGCUUGCCCCUUUGGCCAUGAAAUUUUUUUUGCUUCAAGCCCAUCCUACCAAACUCUCAAAUCCAGGAGUUUAGCCCCAUUGGAAAAAUUUAGGUGCAUGAUUUAAUAGCCUAUAUUUUCUGACCAGAACUGUUUUUCUCCGAAAAUUGUAUUAGCAAGUUUCUACAUUUUCAAAUCUAACCCCGCCAUCAUUCUUAGUGUCCAAAGAGACAUCACUCUAGAAAGUUUGGUACCAGAAAAAUCUUUUAGAUGCCUCUCACAUUUCAUUAAACACCUAGAGUGCAUGGCCAGAUUUGGCAUGGUUUUUCUUUUGCAUUAUGAAGUUGGUCCCCUAUCCUAACCAGCAUGUCUACGAGGCUUGUUUAACCCUCGACCUAACCCUGGUAGGUUUGAAGAGCAUAGGAGACCUUUAGCCAAGCCUGACAUUAUGUCGAGCACCAGGCGUGAGUACUCUGGGUGCGGCGAGAGCAUACGUUUUGCACGCGGCUCCGUCGAGCCGUGAUGUCCGCCAAAACCCCGGGUAUGUGCCCCUAUGCUAGCCGCAGAGUCACGUUGCAUUGAGCGCAGCCUCGAUAGAAUUUCUUCCCUCCCCUGCGCCACUUAGAGAAACAGCCAUGUCAACCUUGGCGGCUAGCCGGCCUUUGUGUCUGCCUCUGCCAUGACCAGUGCCACCCGGCCCCUCCCAGCUCACCAGCUCAACCCUAGAGCAGCGCACAGUUCGUCCGCGAGCCCCUGCAGCCCUGCCAGCUAGCUUUGUUUCCCUGCAUGUAGCCACAUAGUGUCGCCAUCGAUCUUAUCCUCGGGCUCCGACGGAACCGACAUCGAGCGCCUAUAUAAGGAGGCCCCCGAGCUCUCUAAGCACCCCCAUCCUCCUCCCUGGACCCGAAGUUAGCUUCCCAAUGCCCCAAUUUGCCCAGAGCCAGCUGCUCUGCUCACCCCCGGCUGCCAUCGCCAACAUCCGGUCAAAUUCUAGCAAUCUCGGGCCCCUCCCUCUCCACCUUAACCACCAUUGGCUCAACCACGGCUCCUAGGAUCCAUCCUCUAUGAAAAAUCAUAUUGGUAACGAACCGUAGGCAUACGUAAGUGCCGGAGCCUCCCUUCCGCCAUGGUCGGAGGUGUGAUCAAUCCUGAGCUCUCCGACCACUCUUGUGCCCCCAGAGGAUGAGGCCCUGCCCCCUGAGCACGUCGGUGUGCCCAGCUCCGGGAAUGGUGUUUCCUAGAGCCAUCACUCACCAUCAGCACUAGCCGUCCCCUCUGGCCAUGCGCGUGAGGGGAAGAAGACGAACCCGACAGGUGGGUUCCACCUGUCGGUGGGCCAGCCUCGGCCCUAAUGGCCAGAUCCCCUGGUGCGAUUUCACUUUAGAGAGGCGUGUGCUCUUGAGUGCGUAUUCCUUCUCCCGAAAAAGUAUUUGUUGUCGAAAACGUUUUCUUCCGUGUUUUAUUAAAAACAAUUUUUACCAAUUUUUGACUAUUUAUAACUUUUAAACUACAACUCCAAAUGAGUUGAUAUUUUUUCUGUUGUUUCUCAAAUUUCAUCUAGUUAAUUGUCAUAUUUAUUUCAAAAAAAUUCAAACAACUUUUAUACACUUUUUUAGGAAUGUGUUUUGAUUUCGGUAUUUUUAAAAAUAGGAAAAUUUGGAGGGAAGAACUCUUUCAUGAUUUUUCGGGUGCACACCACCCUUCUUCAUACAAAAGGAAAGCAUCUUGAACACCGAUUUUUCUUAAGUGUGUGAUUGCUUGUUGCGAUGAAUGGAUGCAUGGUUAUGUUUCUCACAUAAAAACUUCCCGUAGUAACAUAUUUUGCAUGAAAGCAUGUGAUGCGUAUUUAUUUGUUGUUGAGCAUACAAUCCUAGUGAUGAGUGGGUACUGCCUCAUGCCACGUAUGCCAUGUGGGUCUAGACAACUUUGGAGAAAUGUUUGUCAUGGUUAAUAUGUGACUGUGAAACUGAUAUCUCAUGGCGAUGAGAGUAAUUAGUGAGGGCAUAUCGAGGUGUGAUGGUGGUAACAUUUCAGCAAACACCUAUAGUUCAUGGCGAGAUUUGGCAUGGUUUUUCUUUUGCAUUAUGAAGUUGGUCCCCUCUCCUAACCAUCAUAACUAGGAGGCUUGUUUUAACCCUUGACCUAAGCCUGGUAGGUUUGAAGAGCAUUGGAGACCUUUAGCCGUGCCAGACAUUAUGUCGAGUACCUGGCGUGCGUGUUAUUGGCGCGGCCAGAGUGCACGUUUUUCAUACCGCUCUAUCGAGCCGCCGCGUCCGCAAAAACCCCGUGCAUGUGCCCCUAUGCUAGCCGCAGAGUCACGCCGCAUCGAGCCCAACCCCGACAGAAUGUCUCCCCUGUCGUACGUCGCUUGGCGGCUAGCCGGCGUCUGCGUCCGCCUCGGCCAUGACAAGCGUCGCCCAGCCCCUCCCCGCUCUCCAGCUCACCCCUAGAGCAGCAUGCAGUUCGUCUGCGAGCCCCUGCAACCCUGCCAGCUAGCUCUGCUUCCAUGCCCAUUGCCAGAGACUAUCUUCGUUGAUCUUAUCCUCGGCCUCCGACGAACCGAGGUCGAGUGCCUAUAUAAGGAGGCCCCCAAGCUCUGUGAGCACCCCAUCCUCCUCCCUGGACCCGCACCUAGCUUUCGAACACCCCAAUUUACCGGAGCCAUCCGCGAUGCUCACAUGCAGCGGCAUCGCCGUCGCCAACGUCCGGUCGAAUUCAAGCAAUCCUGAACCCCUCCCGCUCCACCUUGGCCACCAUUAUCUCAACCACGGUCCCUAGGUUCCAUCCCCAAAGCCAAAUCUCAUCGGUAGCGAAACGUAGGCAGAAGCCAGUGCGUCGGAGCCUCCCUUCCGCAAUGGUUGGAGGUGUGCUCACUCCCGAGCUCUCCGACGACUCCCAUGCCCCCACAAGAUGAGGCCCUUCCCCCUGAGCACGCCGGUGUGCCCAGCUCUAGGAAUGGUGCUUCCUAGCACCCGCAAUCGCCGUCGGCGUCGGCCCUUCACUGUGCCCGUGCGCGCGAGGGGGGAGAAGACGAACCCAAUAGGUGGGUUCCACCUGUUGGCGGGUCAACCUCGGCCUCGAUGGCGCAGAUCCCAGGGUGUGUUUUCGCUUUAGAAAGGUGUGUUCUCUGGAGUGCAUUUUCCCUUUCCCGAAAAUUUAUUUGUGGUCAAAAACGUUUUCUUCUCUCUUUUAUUUAAAAACAUAUUUUUGACCAAACUUUGACUUCUUAUAACUUUUAAACUACAACUCCAAAUGAGUUGAUUUUUUUUCUGUUGUUUCUCAAAUUUCACCUAGUUUAUUCUAUUAUUUAUUUCAAAAAAAUUAAAACAACUUUGAUACACGUUCUUAGGAAUGUGUUUUAAUUCCGGUAUUUUCAAAAAUAGGACAAUUUGGAGGGAAGAACUCUUUCAAGAUUUUUGGGGUGCACACCACCCUUAUUCAUACCAAAGGCGAGCAUCUUGAACCACGAUUUGUCUUAAGUGUGUGAUUGGUUGUUGCGAUGAAUGGAUGCAUGGUUAUGUUACUCAGAUAAAAACUCCCAUUAGUAACAUAUUUUGCAUGAAAUCAUGUGAUGGGUAUUUAUUUGUUGUUGAUCAUAUAAUCCUAGUGAUGAGUGGGUACUCCCUCAUUGACGGGGAUACGGCCCCUGGAUAUACCAAAGCGUAGGGAAUCCCUCUCGAAGACAUCCGGGCCAGCUGGGCCCCCUACUGGUCGGCUAGCUACACGCGGCUCACCUAGCCACUGUGUGGUGGGCCGACUAGUGGUGUUUGACCCUCCCCUGGGCGCCCUCGACCGGUUGGCCACAGACGGCCCACCUGGCUAGUGCACGAUGGGCCGGCUCACAGCAGCCGGCGGGUCAGUGCCUCCUUCCGGCCAUACUGACGUACGACGUACAAGACCAUACCCUAACUGCAGGGGCACGCAUGGCUACAGUGCGCAUGGACAGGCCUGGCGCGGCUACAGGCGUCAUGAUGCAAGGCUUCGCAUGGCUACAACGCCACCAGUCACGCCCGAGACUGACCAGGCGAGGCGGACCUAUAGCUAGGGCCUACCCCUACCAACUCCCUAGCGGCCGGCACAUUAUCCGCUACGGCACACGUCCGGUGGGACCCAUGUCGGACAAGACCCGACAGCCGAAGGGACCCACGGCUACCCGGAGAGGCUGGCAGCUGGGCCCCGCACACCAUUUGUACCCAUUAUUGUAUACAUUUGGGUGCACUAUAAAGCCCAACCCCAGUCCCCUGAGAGAGGGGGGAGCAACUAGCGAAUCCUUAGACACACACCAUCGAGGCAGCGAGAGCUUCGCCUCCCUCCUUACGAGCAGCUCAACGAGCACCACUGUAUUGUGAUCUCAUAUAGUCACACCGGCAGGACUAGGGUUUUUACCUCACUGGAGGGCUCUGAACCUAGAUAGAUAGGCGUCAUGUGUCUCGCGCCAUCACACGUUCCCAGACACCGUCAGUUUCCAUUGGCCUCAAACCACGAUCUAAGACACCCUGUGCAUCUGCCGUGAAAAUACCACGACAGUUGGCGCCCAACAUGGGGCGGGCAGCGACACCGGCCGGAUUAAUGUUCUCAGCGGGACACUUCACCCCUUCUGGCGAGCGCAUAGCACAUGGCUUGGUCGUGCGCUACGGCGCGCUCGAUUGUGUCAAUGGCAACGCCCACCGCAUCGAGGACGCAUACUUCCCCGACAACGGCCCCAUCCUCGCCUUCGUGUCCCACAGCGUCUAUGUCGCCGUCGUCUCUCACGAGUACCCCGAUGAGGUGCUUGAUACGUCUCAAACGUAUCUAUAAUUUUUGAUGGUUUCACGCUGUUAUCUUGCCUUCUUUGUAUGUUUUAUGUACCUUUUUAUAUCUUUUUUGGGACUAACUUAUUGAUUCAGUGCCAAGUGCCAGUUCCUGUUUUCUCCGAGUUUUUGACUCUUUUCAGAUCUGAUUUUGGAACGGAGUCCAAACGGAAGAAAAACCCCGAAAUGAUUUUUUCCCGAACGGAAGAAGUCCAGGGGGCUUUUGGGCCAAGCCAGGUGGGCUCCAGGGAGACCACAAGCCCCCACUCCGCCACCAGGGGGAGGCGGCAGUGGGCAGGCUUGUGGCCUCCCUGGCCGCCCCCUGACCUAGGUCUUGCGCCUAUAUAUUCCCAAAUAUUCCACAAAAAAUCAGGGGAGCCUCGAAAAUACUUUUCCGCUGCCGCAAGCUUCCGUUUCCGCGAGAUCUCAUCUGGAGACCCUUCCCGGCACCCUACCAGAGGGGACUUUGAAGGUGAAGGGCUUCUUCAUCAUCAUCAUCGCCCCUCCAAUGACUCGUGAGUAGUUCACUUCAGACCUACAGGUCCGUAGUUAGUAGCUAGAUGGCUUCUUCUCUCUCUUGGAUCUUCAAUACAAAGUUCUCCAUGAUCUUGAUGGAGAUCUAUCCGAUGUAAUCCUCUUUGGCGGUGUGUUUGUCGAGAUCCGAUGAAUUGUGGGUUUGUGAUCAGAUUAUCUAUGAUAUAUAUUUGAGUCUUUGCUGAUUUCUUAUAUGCAUGAUUUGAUAUCCUUGUAAGUCUCUCCGAGUCUUGGGUUUUGUUUGGCAAACUAGAUCUAUGAUUCUUGCAAUGGGAGAAGUGCUUGGUUUUGGGUUCUUACCGUGUGGUGACCUUUCCCAGUGACAGUAGGGGCAGCAAGGCACACAUCAAGCAGUUGCCAUCAAUGGUAAAAAGAUGGGGGUUUUAUCACUGGUUUGAGAUUAUCCCUCUACAUCAUGUCAUCUUGCUUAAGGCGUUACUCUGUUCUUAUGGACUUAAUACACUAGAUGCAUGCUGGAUAGCGGUCGACGUGUGGAGUAAUAGUAGUAGAUGCAGAAAGUAUCGGUCUACUUGUUUUGGACGUGAUGCCUAUAGAUAUAAUCAUUGCCAUAGAUGACGUCACGACUUUGCCCGGUUCUAUCAAUUGCUCGACAGUAAUUUGUUCACCCACCGUCUAUUUGCUUUCAUGAGAGAAGCCACUAGUAAACACUACGGCCCCCGGGUCUAUUAACACCUAUCGUUUCCACUUUUGCUUUUACUUUGCUUUGUUACUUUGUUGCUUUCCAUCGUUUACAUCUCCGCUUUUACUUUGCUUUGUUACUUUGUUGCUUUCAGUUCUCACUUGGCAAACAAUCUAUAAGGGAUUGACAACCCCUUCAUAGCAUUGGGUGCAAGCUUUUUGUGUUUGUGCAGGAUCUUGAGAUACUCUUCCGCCGGAUUGAUACCUUGGUUCUCAAACUAAGGGAAAUACUUACCGUCGCUGUGCUACAUCACCCUUUCAACUUCGACGGAACACCAACGCAAGUCUCCAAGGCCACGGGGGAAAUCCUUGGCAUACUUGCCUAGGAAGUCCCUUAAGGCGUACCCGCAGCUGAAGGAUUCCCGGUGCCGUCGACGCAACUAUUUCUGGCGCCGUUGCAAGGGAUACACAACAGCCAUCAGAAGUAUUUCUGGCAUCGUUGCCGGGGAGGAGAAAUCAAGAUCUAUCCAAGUAGGUCUCACAAACUCUUCUCUUGCAUUUACUUUUGUUGCCAGUUGCGUCUUGUUUUCCUCUCCCCCACUUCACAUUUGCCAUUUUCAUUCGCCUUUCUCCUUCGUCGUUUUCUCUUGCCCUUGCCGUUUUCCUUUGCCGGUUUCUUGCUUGCUUCUGUGCUUGUUUGUUUGUUGAAGAAAUCAUGUCUGAAAACACCAAACUUUGCGACUUCUCGAGCACUAAUAAUAAUGAUUUUAUUAGUACUCCGAUUGCUGCCGCCACUAGUGCGGAAUCGUAUGAAAUCAACGCAGCUUUGCUGAAUCUUGUUAUGAAAGAGCAAUUCUCUGGCCUUCCUAGUGAAGAUGCCGCAUCCCAUCUCAAUACCUUCAUUGAGCUUUGUGAUAUGCAAAAUAAAAGAGAUGUGGAUAAUGACGUGAUUAAGUUGAAACUUUUUCCUUUCUCGUUGCGAGAUCGCGCAAAAACUUGCUUUUCUUCUUUGCCUAAAAAUAGUAUCGUUUCUUGGGAUAGGUGCAAAGAUGCUUACAUAUCCAAGUAUUUUCCGCCGGCUAAGAUCAUCUCCUUACGUAACGAUAUCAUGAAUUUCAAGCAACUUGAUCAUGAACAUGUUGCACAAUCUUGGGAGAGGAUGAAGCUUAUGAUUAGAAAUUGUCCCGCUCAUGGCUUGAGUUUGUGGAUGAUUAUACAAAUCUUUUACGUUGGCUUGAAUUUCGCUUCUCGCAAUAUCUUGGACUCUUCCUCAGGUGGAACGUUCAUGGAAAUCACGUUAGGAGAUGCUACAAAACUCCUAGACAAUAUGAUGACCAACUACUCUCAGUGGCACACUGAACGUUCGCCUGCUAGCAAAAAGGUGCACGCUAUAGAAGAGAUUAACUCGCUUAGUGCUAAGAUGGACGAGUUGAUGAAUUUGGUUGCUAGUAGAAACGCUACCGUAGAUCCUAAUGACAUGCCAUUAUCUUCUUUGAUUGAGAGUAGCAACGCUAGUUUGGACGUGAAUUUUGUUGGUACGAACAAUUUUGGCAACAACAAUGCUUUUAGAGGAAACUAUGUUCCUAGGCCUUUUCCUAGUAACUCCUCUAACAAUUAUGGCAAUUCCUAUGACAACACUUAUGGAAAUCACAAAAAAUUACCCUCUGAUCUAGAGAGUAAUAUCAAGGAGUUCAUCAACUCUAAAAAGAUUUUCAAUGCGUCCAUAGAGGAAAAACUACUCAAAAUAGACGAUUUGGCUAAGAGCGUUGAUAGGAUGUCUUGUGAUAUUGACGCUUUGAAAGUUAGAUGCGCUCCUCCCAAGAUCAACUUGGAUGAAACUUUGAAAGCUAUGCGUAUCUCCAUGAAUGAGAGCAAAGAAAGAACCACCCAAAUUCGCACUAGACAUGAAUGGUUUAAAAGGGUGCGUUCUGGUGAUGCAAAUCACGAAGAUCUUAAAGUGCUUGGUGUGUCUCCUCUUGAAUCUUUGUUUUCGCGUGUGAAACCUACUUAUGGAGGGGCUGGAUAUGAAUCCACUUUGGUUGAAAAACGCCCCGAUGAUUCGGAGUCCACCUAUCUUGAUGAUAAUGGUGUGGAGAGUGGAGUAGAAGAAGUCAAUAUUUUGGGUAAUAAUGAAACUCCCACCUUGGAUUUCAAGGAAUCCAAUUAUGAUAAUUGCUCCUUGUUUGAAUGCAUUUCUUUGAUGCAAUCCAUUGCAAACUCUCCACAUGCUUAUAGCCAAAGCAAAGCCUUUACCGCGCAUAUCGUAGAUGCUAUGAUGAAAUCUCUUGAAGAGAAGCUCGAACUAGAAGUCUCGAUACCUAGAAAACUUCAUGAUGAGUGGGAACCUACUAUCAAAAUCAAGAUCAAAAACUAUGAGUGCAAUGCUUUGUGUGAUUUGGGUGCUAAUGUUUCCGCGAUUCCAAAGUCUUUAUGUGAUAUUCUUGGUUUUCAUGAGAUUGAAGAGUGUUCUCUUAAUUUGCAUCUUGCGGAUUCCACUGUCAAGAAACCCAUGGGGAGGAUCGAUGAUGUUCUUAUUGUUGCAAAUAAGAACUAUGAACCCGUGGAUUUCAUUGUACUUGACAUAGAUUACAAUCCUUCAUGUCCCAUUAUUCUUGGUAGACCUUUCCUAAGGACUAUUGGUGCUAUCAUCGAUAUGAAGGAAGGGAAUAUUAGAUUUCAAUUUCCCUUAAAGAAGGGCAUGGAGAAGUUUCCUAGAAAUAAAAUAAGAUUGCCUUAUGAAUCUGUGAUGAGGGCUACUUAUGGUUUGAGCACCAAAGAUGACUAUACGUGAUUCCAUCAUUUUCGCCUAGCUAAGGGCGUUAAACAAAAGCGCUUGUUGGGAGGCAACCCAACGAAUCUACCCUUUUUCUUUCUGUUUUGUGUUUUCCACACUUUCAUAAUUCUGUUAUGAUUGUGUUUUUUUGUGUUUCUUUUUGCUUUUGUACCAAGCAAAACCGUUAUGAUUAGUCUUGAGGAUGAUCGUUUGGUCAUGAUGGGAAAGAGAGAAACUUUCUGCUCACGAAAAUAAUUUUCAUUUUUUUUCUAUAAGAGCUUUUGAGUUGAUUAUUUUUGCUGCUGAUUGCUACGCAAAUUCUUCAGACUGUCGUAAGUUUUCAGAAUUUUUGAAGUACCAGAGGUAUACGAAACAUACAGAUUGCUACAAACUGGUCUGCUGUUAACAGAUUCUGUUUUUGUUGUGUUGGUUGCUUAAUUUGAUGAAACUAUGGAUAGUAUCGGGGGGUAUUAGCCAUGGAAGAUUGAAAGUACAGUAACCCAACAUCAGCACAAGUAGAAUUUAAGUUUGCUACAGUACCUAAGUAAGUGGUGGCUUGCUUUCUUGUACUAAUAUUAUCACGAGUUUUUGUUUAAGUUUCGUGUUGUGAAGUUUUCAAGUUUUGGGUGAAGUUCUUAUGGACAAAAAGAUAAAGAGUGGCAAGAGCUCAAGCUUUGGGAUGCCCAAGGAACCCCAAGAGAUUUAAGGAUGUCGUAAAAUCCUAAUCUUGGGGAUGCCCCGGGAAGGCAUCCCCUCUCUCGUCUUCAAUCCACCGGAACGUUACUUGGGGCUAUAUUUUUAUUCACCACAUGUUAUGUGUUUUUCUUGGAGCGUCUUGUAUCAUAGGAGUCUUUUAUUUUUUUCUGUUGUGUCACAAUCAUCCUUGCUGCACACCUAGAGAGAGAGACAUGCACACACCAUGAUUUUGUCGAGCUUCACUUAUAUCUUUUGGUAGACAAUUCAGCUCACAUGUGCUUCACUUAUAUCUUUUGAGUUAGAUACUUUUGCUCUAUGUGCUUCACUUAUAUCUAUUAGAGCGCGGCGGUGCGUGGCUUGGUAGUUGAUCUAUGCUUUGAAAGUAGUCUCAAAAGGGGUAGUUAUCCAAAGGGAUACGAAAACUUCCACCUUCAUGUGCAUUAAAUAGCUAGAGAAGUUUGAUUCAUCUCAAUUAGUUUUGAGUUGUGGUUAUGGUAAUAUUGAAGUCAUGCUAGUAAGGUGUUGUGGAUCUAGAAAUACUUGUGUUGAAGUUAGUGAUUCCCAUAGCAUGCACCUAUGGUGAACUGCUGUGUGAUGAAAUCUGAGCAUGAUUAGUCUAUUGAUUAUCAUCCUUUGUGUGGCGGUCGGGAUCGCGCGAUUGUUUAUACCUACCAACCCUUCCCCUAGGAGUAUGCGUUGAAUUCUUUGUUUCGAUUACUAAUAAAACUUUUGCAACAAGUAUAUGAGUUCUUCAUGACUAAUGUUGAGUCCAUGGUUUAGAUGCACUUUCACCUUCCACCAUCACUAUCUUCUUAGUGUCGUGCAACUUUCGCCGGUGCACAAAACCCACCAUUAGCCUUCCUCAAAACAGCCACCAUACCUACCUACUAUGGCUUUUUCAAAGUCAUUCCGAGAUAUAUUGCCAUGCAAAUACCACCAUGAUAUGUGCCACCACAUCUACAUUACCUUUGCACGAUUGUAAGAUAUCUAGCAUGAUGUUUCCAUUGAUGUUUAUGCCAUGCUAGAUCAUUGCCACACUACACUACCGAAGGUAUUCCAUAUAGAGUCAUAGUUGCUCUAAGUUUUGAGUUGAAAGUGUGAUGAUCAUCAUUAUUGGAGCAUUGUCCCAUGUGAGGAAAUAAAAGAGGCCAAAGAAGGCCAUAAAAAAGAGGCCAAAGAGCCCACCAAAAUAAAAACAAAUGAGAGAAAAUCAGAGAAGGGACAAUGCUACCACUUUUUUCACACUUGUGCAUUUUGAGCGCCAUGAUCUUCAUGAUUGAGAGUCUCUCGUUUUGUCACCACCAUAUAGCUAGUGGGAAAUUCUCAUUAUAUAACUUGGCUUGUAUAUUCCAAUGAUAGGCUUCCUCAAAAUUGCCUUAGGUCUUCGUGAGCAAGCAAGUUGGAUGCACACCCACUAGUUUUCUUUAAGAGCUUUCACAUACUUGUAGCUCUAGUGCAUCAUUUGUAUGGCAAUACCUACUCAUUCACAUUGAUAUCUAUUGAUGAGAAUCUCCACAGCACAUUGAUAUGCCUAGUUAAUGUGACGAUCUUCUCCUUUUUGUUUUUCAACCUCCACCAUAUUCCACACCAUCUAUAGUGCUAUAACCAUGGCUCACGCUCAUGUAUUGCGUGAGGGUUGAAAAUGUUUGAGAAAGUAAAGGUGUGAAACAAUUACUUGGCCAAUACCGGGGUUGUGCAUGAUUUAAAUUCGUUGUGCAAUGAUGAUAGAGCAUAGCCAGACUAUAUGCUUUUGUAGUGAUAACUUUCUUUUCGCCUUGUUAUUUGGAAAGUUCAUGAUUACUUUGCUAGUUUGCUUGAAUUAUUAUUGUAUCCACGUCAAUAGCAAACUAUUGUUUUGAAUCUAAUGGAUCUGAACAUUCACGUCACAUGUGAGGAAUUACAAAGACACCUAUGCUAGGUAGCAUGAAAGCAUCAAAAAUUCAUUCUUAUCACUUCCCUACUCGAGGACGAGCAGGAGUUAAUCUUGGGGAUGUUUGUUACGUCUCAAACGUAUCUAUAAUUUUUUAUGGUUUCACGCUGUUAUCUUGCCUUCUUUGUAUGUUUUAUGUACCUUUUUAUAUCUUUUUUGGGACUAACUUAUUGAUUCAGUGCCAAGUGUCCGUGUUUUUGUCUCUUUUCAUAUCUGAUUUUGGAACGGAGUCCAAACGGAAGAAAAACCCCGAAAUGAUUUUUUCCCGAACGGAAGAAAUCCAGGGGGCUUUUGGGCCAAGCUAGGUGGGAUCCAGGGAGCCCACAAGCCCCCACUCCGCCACCAGGGGAGGAGGCGGCGGUGGGCAGGCUUGUGGCCUCCCUGGCCGCCCCUGACCUAGGUCUUGCGCCUAUAUAUUCCCAAAUAUUCCGCAAAAAAUCAGGGGAACCUCGAAAAUACUUUUCCACCGCCGCAAGCUUCCGUUUCCGCGAGAUAUCAUCUGGAGACCCUUCCCGGCACCCUGCCGGAGGGGACUUUGGAGGUGGAGGGCUUCUUCAUCAUCAUCAUCUCCCCUCCAAUGACUCGUGAGUAGUUCACUUCAGACCUACGGGUCCGUAGUUAGUAGCUAGAUGGCUUCUUCUCUCUCUUGGAUCUUCAAUACAAAGUUCUCCAUGAUAUUCAUGGAGAUCUAUCCGAUGUAAUCUUCUUUGGCG